rnacentral:lncRNA from 1 species
UUCAAGCCAAAUACAGUGUCAUAUUGCCUACUAUUGACAUAACACCUAUCACUAGUAAUCUCCACCCUCCUACAUUUAGGUUGUAAACUUUUUUAAAGAGAUCCUAAACUAAAUUAAAUUGCUUAAUUCUUAAAAUCCAUGUAGAUUCUCUUUAAUUUACAGCAUGGAUGUAAUAAGUCUAACAGGCCCUUCCUCUUUUGUCAUUCUCUUUAGCUCCUGUUCAAACCUUUCCAUGACUGGCGGAGGCAGGCAUAUAGGUAUAACAUUCCCUUCUUCUCCUUUGCUGUUCCUGAACCGCAUACAGAAGCUAAUAUUAGAUAAAGCCCUAGCAACCCCACCAUAGACUGGCUUCCCCCACCCGAAGUCGAUCUCUCCAAUCCCGGCACGUGUGACAUCUGAAAUAAGAUAGUUCCCCGGCUGCGUAAAUGAGGGACGGCCCUUGAUGACCAUAUGAUCUGCCACUGAUUUCACAUACUCUUGGCUCAUUUCCGCCUUGGCUUUCUUCAGUAACCUUAUCGCAUAUUCCAAUGGGUUUUUACAUAGCAUUCCAGCCUUAGUAAUUGAAGCUGGAUACACAAAAGCAUUUCCGUAGUAUCCUGGAGGCAGAUCGAAACCGCGCUUGCCUCGCAUAUUGAUUAAGCAUGAAAUGCGAACAACUUCAUCAGGGUCUACUGCAAAUGCAAUUGUGCGGCAUCUCCAUACAUACGCUAUUAGAACCUCAAACGUCGAGCAGGCACCGAGGCUUGCAGGAAGUCGGUUCCUAAGUGCUCUUAUCUCCUUGGGGCCAAAGAAGAAUGAUCGAUGAACCAAAUUAUUUUCGUCCAUGGUCAUUAGUGUGCCCUUGGUAUUGGUUACCUCCUCGUAUUCAUGAUGUAUACGGGUAAUUCGUGGCGGAUUUCGGGCAUUUAACAGCUCUCUUUGCCAUAUGGGCAGCAGAGAUGGCACAGACAGACCUUGAGCCAUCUCGCUUAUGGCGUCGAGGAAUUGGACCAAGCCAGGACCAUCACUCAUUGUGUGGUUUAGGCGCAAUGCAAAUAUAAAUCCUCCACACCUCAAUCGGGUCACCUACGUUGUACCAAGAUUUAUUUAUAAAUGUAUGCUUUAGCAACAUCCAAUGAUUUGUCUUAUUAAACUUAACAUUUAUUACUUAAUAACUUAAGUUUAUUAAUUUAAAUUGUUAACUUAAAUCUUAUUAUCUAAAUAUUAGGUUAUUUGAUAAAAUUUAUUUCAAAUCAUCAAAUUGACAUAUUUACCCUCCUUAAUUUUGAUUAAUAUUUAUUCUAAUUGACUUUAAUUUAUAUUUAUUUUCAUUAAUUUUAAGUAAUAAAUAUAUUUAUAAAACAUUCAUAUUUAUAUUAUUGUAGAUAUCUAAAAAUAACUAUAAAAUAUUUAUUAUAAAAAGUGGUUUCAAAAAGUUAUUUUUAGUAUUCCAGAAAACUAAAUGUUUUGACUUUUUCUAUUCCAUUAAAAAUUAAAAAAUAAGUAAUAAGUAAAAAAAAAUUAAAAACAAAUCAUCUAAAAUGUGAAAGUAAAUUACAUUUAACAUUAAGUUAAAUAAAUAAAUAAAAACAAAUACCACUUUAGUUAAAUAAGUUAUUUUAUCAAAUAUCAUUGAUGAUGGAGAAUAUUUACCUGAAUUAAGAUAAGAGGAGAACCAAGAAUUCCCCCAGAGCCAGGGACAUCAUACAGAAGCUCCUCGAAGCAGGGACACAUUGGUUGAAUUGCAUCACCAAGAUUCUCAAGUGUGGUAUCGGCAUCGGCUUCAAUGAACAAGACCCCUUCACCGGUGCAGUCCACCAUGAGUUUUCUAUUAUCCCCUUCAAUCAGCCUGCCUGCAAAUGGGUAGUAGUAAACAAGCGCCUUGCCUAGAGCUUCUUUAAUGACCUUUGCAGGGUCUUUUCCUUUCAUUAAAGGAUUGUUCGGGUAAAACAUUAUCACAGGAAUUUGAAAGCGAAGGCCUUCUUGAUCAUCUAAAUCAGAAAGCUGCUUCACCUCUCGUGGGGUAGGGUUUGUAGGCCGAACAAACUCUGGAGCACGCCGUUUAACCGAGAAUACUAGAGGAGACGAUGAUGAUGCCAUGUCCUUCCAGGCUAGGAGUUUGUUGAUAGAAUAUAGAAAAAAUGAUAAAGAGAAAAUUGAAGGAGUUUAUGUGAUGGUCUGCUUUGAGAAGAAGGUAGCUGAUAUUUAUAGCCUAUUGCUGCACUCCAAUAACGCGGCGGAGCAUCUUUCUCAGCCUACGACACGGUUCAGAUAAGAGGUAGACUUUUAGUUGUGUUUCACCUGUUUUUUUUCUCUCCAGGCCCCACUAUCUUAAUGCACCUAAAAUAUCAUUACUACUCUUUUCUUCUGCACCACACCUUUUUUUGUCUUCUUUUCUCAUAUUUUUUUUUCAUCUCUUCAACAAAAGUCUAAAUUCAAAGCUUAUUCUCCCAGGUUUGUUUGUGAUCCAAAAAGUGUUUAAAUUAAGUUCAAAGUACAUUUCAACCUCUUUUGUAGAUUUUAGUUUAUGUUCAUAUACAUUAUAAUAAUGUUUGUUUUAUAUAAAUGUAUUUUAAAGGCUAUUAAUUAUUUAUAAAACUAUUAACAAAUGUUUAUUAUAAAAAUAGUUAGGGAAGAUUUAGGAAUUAUUUAGAAAAUAUUUAUUAUAAGGGCUAUCCAUUGGCUUAAUUAUGUGUUUGUUUCACGACCCCCUUAAAAGCCAUGGUCCUUUCCUCUACGUUAUGUCUCUUUCAAUGUCAGCACGAAAAUAGUUAGGGAAGAUUUAGGAAUUAUUUAGAAAAUAUUUAUUAUAAGGGCUAUCCAUUGGCUUAAUUAUGUGUUUGUUUCACGACCCCCUUAAAAGCCAUGGUCCUUUCCUCUACGUUAUGUCUCUUUCAAUGUCAGCACGGUCCCCUCCUAUCAUAAAAUCACUAGAAAUUAUUGUACUCCAUUGUGCAAUACAUGUCCUUCUCUCUCUCUCUCCCCCUCUCUCUCUCUCUCUUUCUCUUUGUACACAUACAAAAUUUCAGUUAAUUAAAUUAUUAUUAAAUUCCUCUUUAAAAUUUUGAUUUCUUGGUGAAAUUUGAAAGACUACAAAAUUAAAUUUUACAAAACAAAAACAAAUAUGUCAAUUGAAGUUCAAAAGAGAAUUAUAAAUAAAUAUUUUUUUAUAGGUAAAUUUCUUGAACAAAAGAAACAAAUAUUUUUAUUAAAAUAAAAAAAAGAAUUAAAAAUAAAUAAAUAUUCUUUUGUUAGCAAAUCUCUUUAAUAUGGAAGAUAAGUUUCUAAAAUCAAAAUGUCAAAUUCUUUGAAUUAAACAAAUUCAAUCUUGGGAAGUCCAAAUUUAAUUCUCUAACUUCACCAAUAAAUAAUAAUGACUUCCUUCAAUGGAGGGAAUCAAUAAAAUAAUUUCAUACAAGGAAAAAUGUCUUCACAAAAAAAAAAAAUGUUUCAUAAAAUUUCUUUGUAAGUUCGAGAAAUUAUAAAAGCAUUAUAAAUGUGAUCUUGUCUUUUGACAAAGUCAUUUGGGAAUAAGUCAUUUUAAACCCUAAAUUGAUUUUCAAAGCAAAGAAACACUUCAUCAUUGUCUAUUAAAUUAUGAUCAAAGUAAAGGAAUGAGAGAAAAAAAAUAUUCUUUUGUAAAGAAUAUUAUCUAAGAGUUUGUACCCCACAAUUAUUUUAAUAAAAACAAUUGUUAGCAUAUUUUUUCUAUUAUUUUAAUUGUUUCACAAGACUUCAAACAAUUUGUACGUAUAAAUUUAUGGCAAGGAAAGUUGAUAGAAUUUUCUUUUGGUUUAGUUUUUUAGGAAAAUGUUGAGAACUAUAAAAAUUAAAGGCAUGUUUGAUAAGUGUUUUCAAAAACAAUUUUGAAAAAUGGUUUUUGAGAAUGAUUUUUAAAAAUUAUUCUUUGAUUUUUAUAGAACAAAAGUUUAUUUGAAAACUUAAAAUGUUUUCAACCUGUUCUUAAUAUUUUUAAACAUGUUUUAAAAAUAAUUUUUAUAUUUAGUAUUUUAUUUUUAAUCAUUCUACAUAUUUGUAUAAUUAUUUCUUAAAAUAAUCCUUAAAAAACAAGUUAAAACAAUAGAAAACUACAAAAAAAUGUUAUCUAAAAAUACUUUAUUUUCUAUUUUUUUUAAAAAAAAAAUUUGAUUAUCUAAUAUGUUUUCUGUGUUUUUUUUUUAACAACAAAAUACUAUUCUAAAAAAUAUUUCCAAUUAAGCACUAAAUCUUUUAGAAUACCCUGUCCCCAAACUUUCAUCACCCUUUUUAUAAGAAAAAUGGGAAGAAAUUCUUUUAACAUUUUCCUUUAUUCUUACAUUUUUUUCCACGUUAUCCAUAGAUAAUAAAAUCAUUUCCCUUACCAUUUUUAGCUUCUUAAAAGAAUAAAUAGUACAUAUAACAAAUGCUCGCUCAAUGGUUCCCAAUCUUUUCUCACUUUCUUUCAUUGGUAAAUGAGGAAAAUUGGUUAUGCAAUGCAUUAAAUUUAGCAGUUUGCAACAAUAUAUUAAUCUUGUAUAAUAUAUAUUUUUUUUUAUAAAUUGCAAAAAUAUAUAUGUCAAUUUAUUUAUAUUUUUUCUUAGAAACCAAAUGGUGAUUAUUCUUACUUUAUUUAUUUUUAUAUAUUUUUAAUUGGAGUGUUUUCUAUGUCACAUGUUGAUCUUGCAAAUCAUCAGGUUCUCUUAAAAAGCUCCUCAUAUUUGGAAAUCCACACACUGCAAAAAACCAUUAGAUAUCAAAGUUAUACUCUUCAUGACAUUCUUCAUGGUAAGUUAUAUUCAAAUUCAACAACAUAAAGUUUAUACCAAAUUAGAUAUGAAAGUAAAUUACAUUCGGUAUUAAGUUAAAAAUAAAUAAAUACUAUCUAAAUUAAUUAUUUUAACUUGAUAAUUAAAGUCAAAAAUAAUUUUAAGUUAUAAUAGUAAGUUAUUUAAUCAAAUAUCAUUUUUCGGUUAUUUAUUACAAAUGUUUUAAAAUAUUUAUUACGAUUACUAAGACAUUGAAAAGAAAAAAUGGGGGAAGAAAACCAAGAAGAUGAGUAUGCAUUAAUUUGAAAUGGGGUGUUUAGUCUUUCUAAUGGAUAUUUGUAUUAAAAAAAAUGAUACCUAAAGAAAUUAAAUUAGGUGGAUACAAAUAUAAAUUAAAAAAAAAAGGAAAAUCCCAAGAUAUAUGCUGAAAUUAUAACUUGUAAUAAAUGUCAAAAUCACCCUUAUGCUCAUUUUGUUCAAAAGUCUAUAAAGUAAUCUAAUUAUCUAUUUUACCUAAAAUUAGUUAGUGAGUUGUACCCAUCAAAAUUGUAAACAAACCUCGAUUUGUUUCAUGAUAUUCAAGUAUAAAAAUAUCAUUUUCUUUAAUAUUAUUUUUCUUCUUUGAAUAUUUUUUAAAAAAUCAAAAUUAUUUUUUUAUAUUUGAACUUCAUUGAAAAUGUGAAGAAAUAAUAAUAAUAAUAAAAAUGAAGAAAAAUUCUAAAAAUUGUCUUCCUCAUUUUUCUUAUACUCAAACGUGGAAUCCGAGUGUCAUAUCAUAUUGAGUUUGUGGAAGCUAACCCACUUACACAGCCCGAGAACCCAUCAGUAGUUGUCAUACCCAUUAAAAGCCAUGGUCCUUGCCUCUACGUUAUGUCUCUUCCAAUGUCAACAUUGUCCCCUCCUAUCAUAAAAUCACCAGAAAUUAUUGUACUCCAUCGUGCAAUAAAUUCCCUCUUGAUGGUCCAUAUAUAUUCAACAUGUGACAUACAAUUCAAAUGUACACAUACAAAAUUUUAUUUAAUUAAAUUAUUAUUAAAUUCCUCUUUAAAAUUAUGAUUUCUUAAUUCAACAAAAUUCAAGUUUAAUAAGUGAUGGUCCAUAUAUAUUGAACAUGUGACAUAUAAUUCAAAAAAGGAUACUUAGUGAAAUUUGAAAGACUGGAAAAUUAAGUCUUACAAAAAGAAACAAAUAUGUCAAUUGAAGUUCUAAAGAGAAUUAUAAUUAAAUAUUUUCCUGUUGAUAAAUUUUUUGAACAAAUUAAAAGAAACAAAUCUUCUAAUUAAAAUAAAAAGAAUUAAAAAUAAAUAAAUAUUCUCUUAUUAGCAAAUCUCUUUAAUAUAGAUAUCAAGUUUCUAAAAUCAAAAAGUCAAAUUCUUUGAAUUAAACAAAUUAAAUUUUGAGGAGUCUAAAUUUAAUUCUCUAACUUCACCAAUAAAUAAUAAUGACUUUCUUCAAUGAAGGGGAUCGGCAAAACAAUUUCAUACAGGAAAAAAGUCUUCGCAAAAAGAAAAAGGUUUCAUAAAAUUUCUUUGUAAGUUUGAGAAAUUAUAAAAGCACUAUACAUGUGAUCUUUGCCUUUCAACAAAGUAAUUUGGGAAUAAGUCACUCUAAGCCCUUAAUUGAUUUUCAAAACAAAUAAAACACUUCGUCAUUGUCUAUUAGAUUGUGAUGAAAGUAAAGGAAUGAGAAGAAAAAUAUUCUUUUGUAAAUAAUAUUAUCAAUGAGUUUGUACCCCACAACUAUUUUAAUAAAAAUAAUUGUUAGCAUAUUUUUUCCAUUAUUUUACUUGUUUAGCAAGACUUCACACAAUUUGUACUUAUAAAUUUAUGGCAUGCUCGAUGGGACAUCUUUGUCUCUCAUCCCUUUUGCUAAAAAAAUUGAUCAUUAUUAAUGCUAUGACAUCCAAAAAGAUUCAAAUUGUGCAUGUCAAUAAAGAGUAAUGACAAGAUUGUCAUUGCUUAAUCAACACACAACACUACUACAAGCCUUAUGACUCAUAACAAAGCAAAAUCAACUACUGUAGUUUCAGCAAAGUAAGCAAGUGAAAAUAUUUGUUUGUUAAGUACUAAUGCCAUUCAAUAUGUUAUAUAAGUGACCAAGCAUUGGUCUCACUACCUUUAUUAUCAAUUUGUCCCAGUCAAGAUUGGGUUUGCAUUCCCUAGUAGAUCUUCCAUAAACAACUAAUUUCAAUGGGGGUCCCCAUCAAAAUUCCACUUAGUUCUAAACUCUUUCACCUUACAUUUUUUGAAAAAAUUACAUUCAAGCCUUCUAGUGUGGAUAGUUACUCUCAUCAAAACAUGAUGGAUUAUUAAUGUAAGAACCCACCUUUGUUUAUUCCAUACUGGUUUAGCAGGAUUGAGAGAAAAAAAUCAAAAUUGUUAUUUAAUAGCUUACUCUAAUACUAAUUAAAAAACCGCUUAUCUAGUAGGGUAACACUAGAAGAGGGUGAAUGGAUGAUUUCUAAAGAUUGUUGUAUAGGAAUUGAAAUCUUAACCCAAUUUAAAUAAUGAGUGGGAAUUAAGCCAAAUUAAAGCAAUUGAGUCCUGUAGGAGAUUAUGAGUAGGGAAUAGAACAUACACAAAACAGACAAAUGAUUUUACAUGGGAAACGUCUACACCAAUUGUGGAGAUAAAAACCAUAGUGUUGAGGACCUCCAAUCUAACAAUCCACCAUAUGAGAUCAAGAUACAAAAAUUUACCUUGUUACUUAUUCUAAAGACUUACUCUCUAGUACCUAUAUCGUGAUCCAUGUCCCCGGCAUAACACCUCCAAUGCUCUAGUGGAUUCACCUUAGCCUCCUUCCAACAACCCGAAAAAUGAAUCAACUAACCUUGAGAGUUUAGUGCCAAGAAUGAUAGGGCAAUAAUAUAUAUAUAUAUAUAUAUAUAUAGAUUAUGAAACCUAAAGGAUUGAAAUAGGAUUAUUGAUUAAAAAAUAAACCAUGAAUUUCCAACAAGAAACACUACUAAAGCAUGGCAAAAUCAAAACAACAGCUCAAGUGGACCUAACCAUCGCUCAAGCACCUUGAGCAUUCAAGCACUUAUUUAAACAUUUGAGCGGUGGCUCCAGCACUCGAGCAAUUUAGCUAGUGUUUGAGUGGUCCUGUUUUAUCAAAAGUAAAAAAUAAAAAAUUUUAAACCAAUUUUGAGAAACUAAUCCAAUUCAUGCCUUAACCUAACUUGUCUCUAACAAACAUUUUCAAACUUACCUAUGACAGUCUAGUUGAAUGAUCAACAACCUCGAGUCUUCAAUGGAGAGUAAGUCACAUCUAAAAGGAUUCCUAUGCCAUAAUGAAAAGGAAUAAAAUUGUCAAUAUAUAAAACUGUCAUAGCAUACGCAUUAAGAACUUGAGUUUUCAAGUAUAAAAUAGACAAGGGUGAAAUUCUAGUGGACUUGGAUUAUUUCCAAAAUAUCAAAUUUUAGGUACACUAGAGUGCUUCCAACACUAGAAAAAAUUAGAAACUUUACCGAACACAAUUUUGGAAACUCGACCUUGGAACGUUUAAGCAUUGGAUAAGUGCACUUGAGCACUUCCAACACUUGAAUGCCUCUUGCUAAUGUUCAACCACAACAAUUGAGUGCCCAAUGCAUUAAGUGUUACAUCUGAGUGCUCGAGGCAUUGAGUGUCAGAUCUAGCCUAUCUAGGUGCUUGAGCACUCAAUCUCAAGUCCGUUUUUAAUUAACGUUUAAAAGCAUUCAAUCUAUUAUUCCCUAGAGUCUAUUUUAUGUCGGAUGUUAAAAGUCAUCAUCCUUUCAUAGCUCUCUAUACUUACCCUAUGUUAUUCCUUGUUGACUCUAUAGGCUCCUCGAAUCUUCAACGGAAUGUAAGAGGAAAAUAUAAAAAGUCCUAAACUGGAAUGAAUAGAAAAAAAAAUCCCAAUCUAAUGCACUAACAAAAUGCAAAAAUGCUAAGGAAAAACAAUUUUGUUAUAUUGGUUUACUAUAAAAUAAAAUUUAAAAAAAAACAUAAAAGAAAAUUAAAUAUAAUUAAAACGAGUUAAAAACUUUUGCCUUUUUAAAUUAUUUAAUCUUUGUAUAAAAAGAGUAAAAAUAAGUUAAAUGAGUUUAAAGUAGUAUAUAAAAAUAAUAUAUUUAAUUUUAAAUUUAUUUAUUAUUUUCCUUCACUGUUUUUUCUUCUUUUUUUUUUUCCCUCUAUUUUCUUUCUCUUAAAUUUUCUAACAACUAAACAUAGUCUAAUAGUAUCUAUGGAAUUUCUAUACCUUUCUUUUUCUUAAUCACUUAGUAGCACAAUUAUUAUCUCGAUCACAGGAAUAAUGGCAGCCGCUGAUGAGGUCUUUUUAUGUUUUGAAUUUGCAAUCCAUUUUAAUUAUCUUGUUUUCUUCGUUCCUUUGGGGAAGAAAAUUGUAGGAGAAAUAUAAAAACAAGAAGGUAAGGAAAAUUUAUAAAUUUUUCUUUUAUUUGGUUAGAUACGAAAAAGAAAAUUAAAUUAUUGACCGAUAUAUUUACCCUUGAAUUUCAUCUUUUGUUAAAGAAAAAGGCAGGGAGGAAAAUCUUUUAACAUCAUUCCUUCUCUUUUCCUUAACAUUUUUUUCACUUUUUUUUUACCAUAAUUGCUCAAGGAAAAUUAUUUGGCAAAAGUGUGUUUCCAUGCAUUUAAAUUAAAAAAAAAUCAUAAAUAGGAACCCAACUUUAUAAAGUACAAAUUUCAAGCAGUUGUCUAAAAAUAAUUAGCAUUUCAUGGUCUUGGUCAAAGGUACUACCUAUAACCAUUAAAGUAUACUACCUUUUAAUGAUAUAUAUGUAUAUAUAUAUAUAUACACUAUCUUUGACCAUUCAGAUAUACUAAGCUUUAAUGAUAGAUGUACUAUUUGUUGAGAUAUUAGGAAUGUUUAGACAUUAGGAAAGUUGAGAUAUUAGGAAUGUUGAGAUAUUAGGAUAUUAGUUGUUCUUUCCUUAUAUAAUUCAUUCCUUGUAUCAUUCUUUCCCAUUCUUAGAAUGAUGAUUACCCUUUAUAUAUACUCUGUACAUGAACGAAUGAAAUAAUUAAUGAAAAACUAUCAUUCAUCCAUUUGAAGACUAUCUUUUAUCAUCUUAAGCAUUACCUUUGACCAUCUUAGGUACUACCUUUGAUUGGUGAAUAUAUAAAAUUUGAAUUUUUUUUAAAAGGUUCCUAUUUUAUGAUUAUUUUCAUACAAGUGCAUGGAAAUCCAGGAGAUUCCUUCCAUUAGUGGAAACUUAUGGGACAAGUCACUACCUUCUAACAAUUUUAUGGUUGUUGUAUUGUGAAGGCAAGCAAAAUAUGCCCAAGUAGUCUUGGUAUUGGUUGGUUAGAGUUGGUGUAAAAAUAAAAAGAGUUCUUUACUAUCAAUAAAGCUUGUUUUCUCUUUAGGCCCAUCUAAUUCCUUUAUCCCUUUCUUGAAUUGUUUCUCGAUUUGUUUAGAAAAGAAACGAGAGAGUAUUUCCCAUUGUUAAACUAGUACCAUAUAAGAUUAAGUUAGUUCCGCUUUGGUUGUGAAGUGCUGCCUCACUUUUUCCAAAUUUUUUUCCUCAUUUUUUCCUUAAUAUCCUUAAUACUUUAUAGGAAGUAUGAUAGAUAAUUUAAACCACUUAGUGGUAAGUCAAAAGGAAACAAAACAACCGCUCAAGUUCAGGCACAAGUCAAUAACCCUGGAUUAGAAAUAAGAUGUGUAUGAAACACUGUACAAAGUCUGUUGACUUUUUGUUCCUAAUUUCUAUAAAUACAAGAAAUGACUGAAAAAGAUAGCUCAUCUAGGGACUUCUAUGACGGAAGAGUCAAAUUUUAAUAGACUUAUACAAAGUUCUAAUUUUAUAGUAUUUUAUCAUUAUACAAUUAUAAUUGAAAUAGAAUAUUUCUUUUAAAAUUAUUUAAUCUUUAUAUAAAAGCGUUAAAUAAGUGAAAAAACUUUGAAGUAAUAAUUAAAAUAAUUUAUUGACUUUAAAAUUAUUUUUUAUUUUUCUUAACUUUUUCUUUCUUUUACUUUUCCUUAUUAUUUUCUUUUAUUUGCAUAUUUUUUUCUAACUUUUCAAGAAUUAAAUAUGGCCUAAGUUUCCAUAGAUAAAAUGCAUUAAUCAAAUAUAGGUAAAUAAAAAACAAAAAGAUACACUUCACUUGAUUUUUUUAAGACUCAAUUAAGUUGUUGAUUGAAAGGGUGUAUGGUAAAACUUAAUACUUACAACUUAAAGACUUUGAUUUUAAGUUACGUUAUACUUAAGUGGUUGACUUAAAGCUUAUUAUCUAAUUUUUAUUUUAAGUAUUAAAGAUGUUUGAUAAAAUUAAUUUAAAACUUAUUUUAAAGCAUCAAAAUGACAUAUUUUUCAUCAUAAAUUAUAACUAGGGCAUAGGAGGUCGAGUAACAAUGGAGGUCAUGGAAUAGCAAAAGAGAUCAUGAAGGUAUUAAGGACAAAUGGUCGGGAUAAAAAAAAAAAAAAAAAAAAAAGUAAAAUGAAGAUGUGGCCUUCUGAAAAAAUGAAUUAUUUUUAUUUAUUACUUAAAGUUAUUUUUUACUUAAGUCAUAUUAUUAAGUUAUUUUACAACAUAUACUUAAUAUAGUUAACGACUUAAAUUAAGUUAUUAAGUCAUUUUAAAUUAUUAAAUUGAUUUACCAAACACUCAUUAAGUUAAAAUAGUUUUAAAAUAUUUUUUAAUAUUAGUUAGAAAGUUAUCAAUAUUUUAGAUCAUUUUUUAUAUUCAUUUUAUCUUCUUUAUUUUUAUCAAAAAGUACUUUUUGGAAGCCAAACGUAACCUUUAUCUAUCUAUUAACAAACAAUAUUCAAAUGAAAUCUUUAAAUGUGAUGUUUUUUAACCCCUUCUCAAUAAUAUUCACAUGCUGCAUAGUGGUGUAAAGGAGGACAAAAAGUGUACCAGUUGUAUCUUGUGGCCUGAAUCACUUUACUUUCUUAAAAGAACAUGUGAAACACAACAAAAAAUUUGUCCUUCGUCCGGGCUGAAACCAAAUAUUAUACCUAAUCUAAAAGUAGUAUUAUUUGUAGAAUAUUUACAUAAUCACAUAAAGUAAUCAUACAUGAUUAAAGGAUACUAACAUAGAAAAUCACUAUAAAGAACAUACCUGUUUGAGCCAUCAUAAUAAAACAAGUGAUUGAUUGUUGCAACCAAGUCUUCCCCUCUAUGAUCUUGAUAACAACUAUUAUGGCUUUAUGGGAAAACAGAAAGACCCUUUAUCUAGAUUAGAGAGGGGACUUAGCAUAACUCAAUAUUGGGUUCUCAUUGGGCCCUCCCAUAAUGGGCUUCAAUGAGAUCCAUAGCCUACACUUGCCACUCAACUGAGCUUCUACUCAAAAGACGCAAAACCCAAUCCAAAUAUGAUCACUAGUUAAUUGGGCUCAUUAUAUAAUAGACUAUCCAUUAACCCAUUUUUUUCAAAUACAAAUUAUUCAAUUAGUGUUAGCCCAUAUAAAAAUUUUCCAACAUUCUCCCACUUGGGCUACAUUAAUUGUUUUUUGAGGAUUCAUUAAAUUCAUUUUGAAAAUAAGACUCUCGGGUUAGGUACAGAAAAGUUUAUUUUGUGUGGCCAUACUUUUUUUAAAGAAAUGAUAGUCUCUAAGUAACAUCUUGAUAAACUUAUCUAGUCCAACAUGGUCUUAAUAUUUGACUAUGAUGGUCUAUAUGUUAAUCUCAACAAACAUAAUGACCCUUAUAGUCACGAAUAUUUAUAACCAUAUCGACAUGGAUCGUAAACCCAAUAGUGUAGUAAGAAAUCAAUGGCAACAUGUGAUCAUCAUCUAUAUGCAUUGUUUCUUAUCAGUCCUCAUUACAAUUUAUCGGCAAAAUGAAAUUGUAAUUGCAAUUUCUCAACAAAAUGAAAUUGCUGCAAUUUCUAAACAAUAUGAAAUUGCUUGACUUUAACAAGUCAUAUGUCACCAACAGUGCACCACAAGAUCUUAAAAUAGUGGUAUUUGUGACAUCCAAUAGUAUACAACUAUAAUUCUUAAGGUUCAAUAUCUUAAGAUACCAUGUUGUAUGAAAUUCAAUUACGACAUGCUAUAAUAUAAUACUUAAUAAUGAUGAUCAUAAUAAAAAGAUUUUAAUUUUGCAAGUCGCAUAACAAUAAUGAUUAAUGUUUACACAAAACAAUAAUUGAAAUAAGGGAAAUCACAAAAGCUCCCACUAAACCAAAGAAUCAAAAGAUUUAAUGACACCCAUAUUCACAACAUGUUCCUUGAACGUUAUAGGCUUUAAACCUUUGGUUAGAGGAUCAGCUAGCAUGGACUCAGUUCUUAUGUGCUCAAUUACAAUAUCUCCUUUCUUCACUAAGUCCUUAACUGUAAGGUACUUGAUUUCUAUAUCCUUAGAACUCGUAUUGAUCUUAUUGUUCUUGGAGUAGAACACAACUGCAUUAUUGUCUCAAUAAAUCACAAUGGGUCGAAAGAUGGAAUCAACAACUUGCAACUUUGAAAUCAGAUUUCUUAGCCAAACAACUUGAGAUGAUGCACCAUAACAAGCUACAAACUCAGCAUAAAUGAUUGAGGAUGCAAUUAGGCUCUAUUUGACAAUUUUCCAUGAAAUGGCUCUACCAACUAACAUAAAAAUGUAUCCUAAAGUAGAUUUGUGAUCAUCAGAACAACUGCCCAAAUAAGAAUCUGAGCAUACAACUACCUCAAGAUUAUCCACCCUCCUAUACACAAGCAUAAAAUCCUUCGUUCUUUAUAGAUAUCUCAUGACUUUCUUUGCAGCAACCCAAUGAUCAUGUCUAGGGUUCGAUAAAUAUCUACCAAGAACAUUAACAAUGAAGGUGAUAUAAGGUCUCAUACAUACUUGUGCAUACAUCAAGCUACCAACAACACUAGCAUAAGGAAUAGUCUUUAUGGCAUCCUUUUCCAAAUCAAUCUUUGGACACUGUUCAUUACUGAGUUUAUCUUCCUUCACAAUAGGUACAUCACCAAUUUUGCAUGUCUGCAUAUUUAAUCUUUUAAGCACACGAUUGAUAUAGGCUCUCUGAGAUAGCCUAAGAAGGUUUUGAGAUCUAUCACGAUAAAUCUCAAUACCCAACAUAAAAUAUGCUUCUCUGAGAUCUUUCAUGUUAAAAUUAGUAGACAAAAUACGCUUGGUAUCAUUCAAGAGAUUCACAUCGCUACUAGUAAGUAGAAUAUCAUCGAUAUAGAGAACCAUGAAAAUGUACUUGCUCCCACUGACUUUCAUGUAAAGGCCCUAAUCAAACUUGUUCUCUAUAAAACCAAAAGACGUCACAAUUUUGUCAAAUUUCAAGUACCACUAAUGAGAAGCUUGCUUGAGACCAUAAAUUGACCUUUUCAAUCUGCAUACCAUGUUCUCUUUCCCAUUUGCCUUAAAUUCUUUAGGUUGUGACAUGUAGACUUCCUCACUCAAAUCACCAUUGAGAAAAGUUGUCUUAACAUCCAUGUGAUGAAGCUCUAAGUCAAAAUGAGCUACUAACGCCAUAAUUAGCCUAAAGGAAUCUUUGGUAGAGACUAGUGAGAAAGUCUUUGUGAAAUCAAUGCCCUCUCACCGUGUAUACCCUUUAGCAACCAAUCCAGCCUUGUAUCUUUCAACAUUUCCUUUGUUGUCUCUUUUGGUCUUGAAUACCCAUUUGCAUCCAAUGAGUUUAUAUCAUUUGGGAAGAUCAACAAGUUCCCAAACAUCAUUUGUUUGACAUAGACUGCAUCUCAUCUCUCAUGGCAAUCAACCAUUCAUUUGCCUUAUCACUAUUGAGAGCUUCACGAUAAGUAGUAGGGUUCACUUUUUUUCCAAUGUCAUAGUCUCCCUCUUCGAGGCAAACAUAAUAAUCAUUCAAAAAGGCAGACCUUCUAGUUCUUUGCGAUUUCCUCAUUUCCACAGGAGGAAUCUCAUUUACAAUAGGGGUUAUUUCGACAGUGGGGAAAUUGACAAUAGCAACUCCUUGCUGAAUCCCAGAAUCAAAAGCUCCAACAUCAAGGUUGAUGUCUGAGACUGACAAAGGUAAAGAAAUAACAUCCAUGGGUUCCACUCUUUCAUUGGAUUGAGAGGGUAUACUAUCAACAACAUCUAACUCUAAAAACUUUGCCACUUGAGGCUCAACAACUCUAGUGCCAUGAGUUGAACAAUAAAACUUGUAUCCUUUUAAGUGACUAAGAUACGUAAUAAAGUAGUACCUAGUAGUUCUUGAAUUUGUCUUCUUUAAAGAAGGAUAAUAGAUUUUCACCUUAGUUGGACAUCCCCGUACUUUAAAAGGAUUCAAACUAGGUUUUCUGCCUGUCCAUAGUUCAAAUAGUGUUUUAGGCACAGACUUACUAGGAACACGGUUCAGAAUGUAGGUUGUUGUUUUAAUGGCUUCACCCCAUAAGUAUUCUGGCAAAUUUGAUUUACUCAUCAUGCUCAUUUUCAUUUCCAUAAGAGUGCGGUUACACUUUUCUGCCAUGCCAUUUUGUUCAGGACUACCAGGCAUAGUAUACUAAGCAACAAUACCAUUAUCUUGUAAGUACCUUGCAAAAAGUCCCUUUUGUUGUCCAGCGUCACUAUGCUUCCCAUAAUACUCACCACCUUGAUCAGAUCUUACAAUCUUGAUGACUUUUCCUAGUUGUUUCUCAACUUCAGUUCGGAAGACUUUGAACAUUUCAAGAGCAUCUGCCUUUUCUUUUAUCAAAUAUACAUAGUCAUAUCAGGAGAAAUCAUCAAUGAAUGUAAUGAAGUACUUGUUGCCACACAAGGUAGUAGAGUAAGGCCCACUAAUGUCUGUAUGAACAAUCUCCAACAAAUUUUGACUACGAGUUAUACCCUUUUUCUUAGUCUUUGUCAAUUUUCCUUUCACACAAUCAGCACAAAUUUCUAAGUCAUCAGAAUCAAGGCGAGGAAGAAUCCCAUAACUAAUUAAGCGUUCUACUCGUUCUUUAGAUAUGUGCCUCAAACACUUAUGCCAUAACAAUGAAGAUCUUUUCUUAGUCAAAGGUCUUUUAGCAACACUGUUUUCAACAUUGUAAGAACAAGCAGAUAACAACGACAAUCUAUAAAGCCCGUCAGACAAAACACCAUUGCCAAUCACUUUAGAGUCAUAAAUCACCUCAACUCUUUUAUUUGCAAAAGUGAAACUAUAUCCAGCUUUGUCGAGUACUGAAAGGGAAAUUAAAUUCCUUCUAAACCAAGGUACACAAAAAACAUUGUCCAAAACAAGUUGAAAACCAGAAUCUAAUUCUAAAACAACAAUCCGAAUAUGCUCAACAUCAAUCUCGAUGUCACUUCCAACUUUAAACUUUGACUCUUUUUCACUUGGCUUCCUCAAAUUUCUUAUCCCCUAUAAAAAAGUUGCAACAUGAACAAUAGCACCACUGUCAAGCCACCAUGAAUCUAAAGGAAUAUUAACUAAAUUAGAUUCAAAACAGACAUAGGCAGAUAACAUACCCUGUUCCUUCUUUUUCUUCUCUAGCCAAUUCUUAAACUUAAAGCAAUCGACCCUCUUGUGACCUUUUUUGUUGCAGUGAUAACACUUCAGGUUUGUGUUAUUGGCAUUUCCAUUUCCAUUUUUCUGUUUCUCACUCCCACUCUUCUUGAAAUUCUUGCUUUUCUUAUGACUAUGGAAAUUGGGCUUUCUAGCCUUUUCAACUCUCUUAUGAUUAUUUGGUUUUCCAAGAGCAACAAGAUGAGCAUAUUCAUUCUUUUCUCUUUUUAGCUUUUCUUCCUCGGCCACACACUUAGUGAUCAGGUCAUUCACACCCUAAGACUAAUUUAGGGUGUUGUAUGUAGUCUUGAUUUGGCUUAAAGAAGAUGGUAGAGUAUUGAGGGCUUGAUGAAUAAUAAACUUAUGGGGAAUGGGAAUGUCUAGUGCUUUCAAUUUAGUUUGAAGAUGCACCAUUUUUAGGAUAUACUCACGAACCCCUUUCAUAUCAUUAUACCUCAUAUUCAUCAAUUCAUCCAUAAAAUACCCAGCUUCGACAUUGUUAGAUGUCUGGUAUCUAUUUCUCACAUCAACGAGAAAUUCCUUAGCAUUGUUGUUCUCAGGUAUUCCUCCAAGGAGAUGCUUAGCAAUGGACCUCUUGAUUGAAAUGAGACUCAAACGGUUCGAUCUUUCCCAUUUCGUAUAAUGAGCUCUCAUAGCUUCAGUGCUUUCAUUAGUAGGCUUAAGAGGUUCAUCUUCACAGAGAGCCAUGUUCAAGUCCAUCAUUCCUAAAAAAAACUCUAUGUUUGAUCUCGAUCUCUUAUAGUUUGACCCACUUAGAAUUUCAAUUGUAGCAUUAUUGUUGUUCACAACAAAGGAAACUGAUUGACAAAAAUUUGCAACUAGAUCAAUUAUGGGCAAUAGGUAAAAUGCUUAAAUAAGCAUAAGAAAUACAAUAUAAGAAUCAAUUGUAUUAUCAUAAACUCCCCUUUGGGCAGAGUCCAUAAUAAACAACUAUUCUCUAAGUAUGAUGAUCAACAAAUAAUUCAUUAAAGUUUAUUUUCUUUGGGCAAACAAAUUUAUCAAAUUAUUUAUCUCAUUCAAUAUCCUCAUGUUGUUAAAUUAAUUUGCACAAUAACCCCAUUUGGGGAGGCGAUUGUACAAAUUAAUCUAAAAUUUUCCCCAUCAACAAAAUAGGAACUCAUAAACUUGCAAAUUUUGAUGGUUAAAUCACUUUGGUGAAAUAACCUCAACAAUUCACAUGCAACGUUCCAAAAUUGGGUAAAUUUAAAAACAAUAAUGCCUAACAACAAUAGUGCAUAUUAGUGAUAUAUAUGCAUAUGAUCAAACAAGAUGAAGUACGUCACAAAAUGUACUUUCAAUGAUCAAUGAUCAAUUAUAGUUGCAAGAAUUUGAACAACAAUUUUUAUUUUUUUAUUACACUUUAAACUAAUUAUUUAACUAGUUUAUGUGAUUUAGACCAAGUAGGAGAGUAUGCUUGAAAGAGUUUCACUCUAGAGAGAGUGAGUACUACACUCCUAUUCCAUAUAUAUUAGCAUAAUUUCUGAUAAAUUCUCAACAAAAAAUUAUACCAAAGAAUAAAUUUAAGCUAAUUAAAUCACAUAAAUAAAUAAUAAUUAUUUAAUAAAUAUUUUUGACCCCCCAAAAAUAAAAUAAUAUAACCAAAAAAUAGAUGAUAAAAAAACAAGCGCAUAGGAAAAAACGGGGCUCAAAACAGACAUCGGAUGAGGUUACACGCGUCUCACACACUUGACCCGCAAGUGGGGAAUGUGCGGCACAUGUGGCACGUUUGGCAUGUGCUAGAGGUUAUCUUCAACCUCCAGCAGCGGGUCAAAAAACCUGCUCGGGUUAAAUGACCCGGUUGCUACCCAGCUUACAAACAAUUGUAAAAAGAAUGUUUUUCGAUCGGGAUCUCGAGGGGUUUUAAACUUUAGGUUGUUUCUAACACUCUAAGUCAUUUAAUCAUCAGAAAACAACUUAAAGAUCUCCAUAAUUGAUUAACAAAAUUCAGUUUUUAUACCUCCAUAGACAAGAUCGAAAAAUUCUAUUUCAAAACCUAUUUCGACCUCAUUUUACAUGUAUUUUUACCUUAACAAUAUAAGAAAUCUCUCUACAACAAUUAAUUAAACAAAAAACUUCUCAAUCUUGCUCAAUUUAAAAAAAAUAUAAAACGAAUUUUCUAGGGUUCAUACCCAUAUUUUCGAAUUUUCAAUUUUCAUCAAAUUGAGCCAAAAAAACCGAAAUUGAUGCUACAUAUCAACUAUAAUAUAUGUAAACAACAAAAUCCAAGAGUUUAAUUCGAGUAAAACACAAUAAUUUGAACAAAUAAAUUUUUUCUUGAAUCUUUAAACAAGAAAAUUCAGAAAAUUUAAAAACUUAAUUACUGCCAAUUUAAACAACGAAAUUGCAAAUAUAAUAUACCAUAUUGAAGUUUGUGACAAGAGGAACAAAAGGCCUAAAGUUUCACAAUCAAAAUAAACCAAAAAACCAUACACAGUCAUGGAUCACAGAUUCGGCUCCAAAAAUAAAAUAAAAUAAGAAACUAAAAAUUUUAUUUUCAAUUUCCAAUUGUAGAUCCUAAAUCAUGUAAAUCUAGCUUUGAUACCACAUGUAGAAUAUUUACAUAAUCACAUAAAUUAAUCAUACAUGAUUAAAGGAUACUAACAAUAGAAAAUCACUAUAAAGAACAUACCUAUUUGAGCCAUCACAAUAAAACAAGUGAUUGAUUGUUGCAACCAAGUAUUCCUUUCUAUGAUCUUGAUAACAACUAUGGUGGUUUUAUGGGAAAACAAAAAGACCCUUUAUCUAGAUUAGAGAUGGGACUUAGUAUAACUCAAUAUUGGGUUCUCAUUGGGUCCUCCCAUAAUGGGCUUCAAUGAGACCCAUAUGCUACACUUGCCACUCAACUGAGCUUCUACUUAAAAGAAGUAAAACCCAAUCCAAAUAUGAUCACUAGUUAAUUAGGCUCAUUAUAUGAUAGAAUAUCCAUUAACCCAUUUUUUUGCAAAUACAAAUUAUUCAAUCAAUGUUAGCCAAUAUAAAAAUUUUCCAACAUUAUUCACUAGGAACGUGUUGUUCAUUUGUACAUGUAUGUGUGGAUGUCAUGGGAAAUGUGUUGUUCAUCCUAAUAUGUACAGGUGCAUGCAUAUUCAAAAGAUUUAGCAAAGAACAAAUAAUCUUUCAUUUUGCUCAAAAUUAAAAGAGUUUCUACCAUUUAGUUCAUUUUUAUCCAAAUAUUUAAAUCUUUUUGUAAGGAAAAAUGUGAAGAAAAGAAAAUAAGGAGAAAAUUAGAAAAACAAAAAAAUCAAAGUUAAUAAAUUAUUUUUUAUAUACUGAUUGACAUUCAUUUAAUUAUAUAAAGAUUAAAUAAUUUAAAAGCGUAUAAGUUAUCGGGAGCCAAAUUUGACAAAAAUGCAGUAGCUUUUAAAUUAUUGUUUUUUUGUCAAAACCCUUGGCGUGCCCUUAUAUAAACAAUAGGGACUUGUAGCUAGGUCAAUCUUUAUCGUAAAUUAAGCAAUACUUAAUGUUCUAAGAUAAAGGAAAAAAUAAAUAAAUGUGAAAACAAACCCUUCUAACCAUAAAUGUUCCAUAAUAGCAAUUCUCCAUAGCUUGUAAUUGCCAAUUAGAAUCAAAUAACAACUCUCAAUUGCCAAAAAGAUGAAUACAAAUAAACUCAUUACAAGAGUAUAGAUCAUCUCAAGCCUUUUGAUGAUAGAAUAUAUGUGUCAUGCCCCAAGUUCUUUUUAAGGACGUGAUGGUCAUCUUAUAACUAAAAAAAUCACCAAUUACCAAAUUCUUAUUCAGAAUAGUAAAAUAUAUUAUAAUCCUCAAAAUUUAACUUUAAAAAAACUAAUACAUCAACCACUUUGCUAUUGUCCUAACAACUUCAAACCCAAAUGGUUCAAACAGUAAUUAAUUUCUAACAUUUAAACACUUGCCAAAAAUAAAGCUUAAACUAAAAUCCUAAUAAAAAAACAAAUUUCCAAUCUAACCAUCACUCUUUACCCAAACCGAGAGUACCUGGAAAAAAAUAUCAAUGGAAGAGCAUGAGUUCAAGCCCAAUAAGAAAUAUUAAUACAGUUUCAUGAAUCAAACAUUUUUUAUUAUGAUAACAAAUAGGAAAUAUAGUGUACAAUCUUUUUUAUAAAAACUUUGAAUUCAAACAUGCUAAAGCAUCCAAAACUUUUCAAUUAAACAUUUUCAUAUUUAUAUCAAUAGCAAUUUCAUAUCAAAUCCAAAUGAAAUGCAUUCAAAAUAUUUUUACUCUAGUUAUCAAAUAACAAAUAGUAUCUAAUUAGGUAGGACUUUAUUGCCCAAUUAGGUGAAACUUUACAAAUAGGAUACUAUCCUCAAAUUUGUUCUUUUUAAGGUGGAUGGAACCAAACACUACUAGUAACCUCUAACCAAACCCCUAGAGACUAGGGUUUAAAACAAUUACAUUCUCCACCAAGAAAUGUAAAGGUUAAUUAGCAAUUAUAGCUCAUUAACUAAAGUGAAAAAGGUCAACAAUUAUAACUCAUUAACUAGGGCAAAAAAUGUCAACAAUAUAACCCUUUGACUAGGGCAAAAUAAACCAAAGUCAAACACUUUGUUUCAUUUAUUUAAACGUAUAAAAACAUAAUAUCUUCAUUUUUUUAUUAUAAACAAAAGAAAAUAUUCUUACAUAUUUUCAUGCAAAAUAUAAUUGAUCCUUGCAUAAAAACAAAAAUAACAUUUUACAUAAUUCAAAAUAACAUAUAAAAAUAAAUUAUUUUAUUUUAGAAAAUCUAUAUUAAUUUCUCCUACCUCAAAAAGCACUCAAAACCCUUAAAGAAUUUAUUGUUGAAGAAUCUAAUUUUCACCUGAAAAUAACAUAAGAAAUAACAACUAUUACUAUUAGCUAUUUAUCUAAAAUUAAAGGUUUGACAAUCUAUAGACCCCAAAAUUUGUCCAAAUUUUAUUUUUACAUUAAUUUUGAGCUCAAUUUUGUCUUUAGAUUUUAAAUCCUGAUUACAUAUGAUAUUUUUGACCCACUCACUAUCUAAUUAUUAUUAUUAUUAUUAUUAUUAUUAUCAUUUUUCUUUUUCUUUUCUCUCUUCUCUCUCCUCUCUCUUCCUACCUUCCCCCAACUACCCCACCCACUCUCUCUCUCCUCCCAUACCCCUCAUUCCCAUGACCCAUACCUCCUCUCUCAUCUCUUCCCAAUUCUCUCUCCUCUCAUGUUUGUUUUUUCUUUUGAUUUUUGGUUCCCAUUUUAUUUUUUUUUGGCAAUGGUCGGCUCCCCAUCUAGGUUUUUCUCUUCAUCUUCUUUCUGACAUCACUCCACUCACAACCCAACUCCCCCACAUGGUAGUGGUGGGCCCCUUGAUUCUCUCAAUUUCUCUUCUUUUUCCCUUAUUUUCUCCAUUUUUUGCUCCACACGGUCAAUCAGGACCCCCCCCCCCCCUCCCCAGAUUUUUUUCUUCCCCAUUUUUUUUUCUUCUAGGUUUUUCUCCCUCCAAAGACCCAUGACCACUUUCCUCAGGUCCUCCGCUCUCUUCUCUCUUCUUUCUUCUUUUUUCUUUUCCUUUCAUUUUGUUCCACAUUUUUUUUUCUUUUCGAAUUUUUUUCCUUCCAUUUUCUUUUUCUCAUUUUUUUUCCUCCCUCUCUCUCUCCAUCCGCCACCCUCAUUGCCAUUGUUGACCACCACCAGCCUCUGCCGGCUAGCAAUCCAACCAUCCAUAGUUCUUAAAAACAAAAUGGGUAAAUUUCAUUUUUACUUUAUUCUCAUUUUCACUUUUUCAUCUUUAUUUAUUUUAUUUUUUUGGUUUGCAUAGUAAUUGAUUUGGACUUAGGCCUAUUGCUUAUUGGUUAUUUGUUUGGGUUUAUUGGAUUGGGUUUGAGAUAUUAUUUCCUUUGGCCAUGUGUAUUAUUAAUGUGAGUUUGUUAAUUGAUAUGAAUUUUGGGCUCACAAUGUUGGUGAGAUUUGUUGGAUGACUUGAAUAUUUGAUAUGGGCUUGGCCAAUUUGAACUAUUUAAUUUGGACAUGGGACAAUUGUAGGCUUGAAUAUUAAAUUAGGCUUGAAUUAUGGGAUAUUAAGUUUAGGCCUAGUGGAAUUUAUUUUAAUUUAUCAUGUUUUGGAUUUGAUUAAUUGAGCAUAUAUUUUGGCUAUUAAUUUGGAAAUUUUGGAUUAGGGCUUAUGGCAUGUGAGAUAUUUUUGUUGGGCUAUAUUUUCUAAUUUAGGUCCAUUUUUAUUGGCAAAAAUUUAUUGGACCAAUUUGAAGUUUGAAUUUGGGAUUGAAUAAUUAUUUUGGACUCUACAUAUUUUUGGAUAUUUACAUUUGGGUUAUUUUUGUUUUUGCAUGUCUACAAUUUUGUUGGUUGAAUACGAAUUUAUGACAUGUGGAGUACAAAAUUUCAUGGAAGAAAGUGAGACUCGAAAAGUUGUAGGAAGACAUUGAACUUGUUGUAAGCUUGUUUGGGUACACAUUUUAUUUCCCACUUUUAUUUUAUUUUAUUUUUAUUAGUUUUUGUAAAUAUUUAUUAAUAUAUAUUUACUUGUUGUGUACAGAAUUAGAUGUCGAACAAACCAGAAAUUUUGUUUAAAUAAGAUGAAUACUUCAGUAAAUAUGUUUUAAUUAAAUAAUAAUUUUAAAAUAUUUUUCUUAAUAAAAGAAAGUUUUUUUAUUAAUAAAAAUUCAGAAAAAUGCUUUUAGAAAAAUAAAAAUAAAAACUUUAAUAGAAUUUGAAAAUUUAUUUUUAAUAAUAAUUGUCCAAAAAUUUCUUUGUUUAAUAAAAAUUUGCCAAAAAUUAUUUUGUAAAUAAAGUUGUCCCAAAAAUUAUUUUUUAAUAAAAUUGUCCAAAAAAUGUCUUUUUUUAAAUGAAUUAUUUUUCCUUAAUUAAAAUGGGAUUAAAAGUAUUUUUUUAGAAAUAUAGGAUUUAAAUAUUUUUUUCUUUUUAAUUAAAAUUCCUUUUGCAAAUAAAGUUGUCUUUUUAAAUAAUUUUUAUAAAUCACUUUUCUUAAAUGAAAACAAAUUGAAAUAUUUUUGUAAAUAAAAUUGUAAAAAUUCAUUCAUUUUUUUUUUUUUUUGUAAAAGCAAGUAAAAAUAAUUUUUGUUGCCAAAUUGAAAGUUUGUAAUAAAUUCUUUUGAUACAAUAAGUGUAAAUAACAUUUUUUGAAAAUUAAAUACAAAUGAAAUUGAAUCAAAUCACUUGAAGAAAAUGUUUUGUAAAUAAAUAAAUUGAAAUCACUUAUUCAAAAUUGUUUUUAAUAAAAUCCUUUGAAAUUCUUGAAAAUUAUUUUUUUAUAUCUUUUUUUAUUUAGUUCAAUAAAUCAUUUUGCAUAAUUCUCUUAUUAUUUAUUUUGUAUAUUCUUGUGAUUAGAUUUCAUCUUUAUUUGUGUAUAUAUUGAUUUUCAUUAUGACUUGUACAUACUCAUUUGCAUGAUUAUUUUUCUCGAUAUCCAUAAUUAAUUAACUAAUUGCCACAAUUUUCUUAAUUCGUUUAGUAGAGGUCAUACAUAUACGGGCUUAGAGGGAUGCUACGACUCACCACCGUACCUUACCAAUAGGUAACCUAACCCUUGGAUCCAGAUUAUGUUUUUGCAUACAUGUCUUUUCCUAAUAAGGAGUCAUACAUGAUUUUCUUUCUUAUUUUGUUUUCCCUUUAAAAAAAUUAAAUAAGUGGCGACUCCAGGUCUUUUUCUAAAAGUCAAUUUUUUUUCACAAAUAAAUGAAAAGUAAGUUUCGCCAUUCGAGUGGGGACGCACAUGAAAAACAUAGGUUCACAAAAUGGUGACUCUACUAGGGAAUUUGAGGGUCAAACUUAAACUCGAGUUAAGAAAAAUGUGGCAUUUGAUUGGUCGAUCAAUGGAUACCCUUCUCUACAUGUCUUUGUAUGAUUGGGUGUUGAUUACACAUUGAGAGCUUUGAUAUAUUUAUUUGUGAUGCAUGUUUGGUUAUUAUUGUUCAUUGGAGAUGUUCACGUGUUGAUUAUAUCGAUUGAUUCUCUUACCUACUUUUGCAUAGUGACUCUUCUUAUUGUAUGAUUAUCUUACUUUCCUUGACAUGUAUAUUCUCAUUUUUGUAUAUCUCGUUCACAUUGGUGUGAUUGAUUCUCUUUAUUUUAGAUUGAUUACUACUCAAAAAGUGCUAUUUGAUAGCUUGUAAUUAACUCUUUUAAACACUUUUGAGUAGUAGUUAUCACCUUUUAACUCAAUUAACAUAUUAAGGACCCUUGCAAUCAAUUCUAAUCAAAUUGUGUUAAGUUUUGGUGUUUUGAUAGCUUUUUGAUCACCAAAGCAAUCCGAGAUUGAGGAGAGUUCUUUGGAAUCCAUGACAAAAGAUGUCCGGACAGGGCGUCCGGACACACCAUCGGAGGGUGGCGGGAAGUGAGCUGUGGCAGGCUGUCGGAAUGACGUAGUAAGGCUUGUGCACUUUAGCCAAUGAUCCGGACAACAUAUCCAGAUAGGAUAUGCUAUCGUCCGGGGUGUGAUGAUCGCGAGUGCCGUGUGCUUAUCCUUGAGGGAGUCCGGAUAGGGGAGCGCGCCGACAUUCCACUCGGAUGUCUCACAUCUGGAAAUCUGCUCCGCCGACAUUCCACCCGAAUGUCUUACAUCAGGAAAUCUACUCCACCGACAUUCCACCCGGAUGUCUUACAUCCUGAAAUCUGCUCCGCCGACAUUCCACCCGGAUGUCUCACAUCCGGAAAUCUACUCUGCCGACAUUCCACCCGGAUGUCUCACAUCCGGAAUUCUUCUCCGCCGCCAUUCCAUCCGGAUAUUUCGCAUCCGGCGCUUGACGCCGGAUAGGAGAGGAGGGCGUUUCAACUUCCCCGGUCAAACAUAUCCGAAUCCUUUGAUAGCGCUUACCCGGAGAGUUUUGCAGCCAUUUUGCACAGUGCCGCGGUGUUCUCCUGAAGCUUCCCGAUAUGUCUGACCGACAUUUUAAGAUAUUUUUCUGCACAAUGCCGCGGUGUUCUCCUGAAGCUUCCAGAUAUGUGCGACCGACAUUUUGAGAUAUUUUGCUUUAGAUAUUUGAUGUCUAAAUCCCCAAACUCUCAUUGUAACCCACCAAUUAUAGGAUUCCUUAGUCUUUAAGUAAGAACAAAGGGUAAAUAACCCCUUAUAUAUAGUUUGUAAUUUCCUUUACAAAAGACAUCGAUCAUAAAUCGAUCAAAUAGAGAUUAAUCCUUUGUACAGUUUUGGAAGGAAGUAAAAUACAGAGCACUUGCUCUACUUUUCAUAUAUAUUUUUGUUUUCUCGUUCUUUUUAUUUCUAGCCAAUCAAACUCUGAGGAUUUUUCCUCAGAGGACGAGAGGCUAGACUUUUUGUCUCUUGGAGUGAAGAAAGCCAGGUAAGUUUCCAAACACAAGAAUUGGAAGUUUUGUUGUUUUAGUUUUUAAUGAAGAGAAAGUGUAACCCGUUAAUGGUUUUUAUCUUUUUAGUUAACUUAAAACGCCUUUAAAUCACCUGGGUCAACACUUGAUAAGGCAAGUGAUCUCCAUCCAUUGAGAUGCACUAGUUUAUCUCUUGUGAGCCUUUGGGAGGUGGUUUAAAGGUAGGAUUUUCUAGAAUAGACAACACUUGGUAAGCUUUUGGACUCCAAGGAGACAUCCAUUAGUUAUCUCUUGCGAGCUUUUGACGGGUAAUCCAAGGUUAAAGAUCACCUUGAAUGGCAAGUGCUAGGUGAGAGGUAUGAGCCAUCGCAAGAUGCAUCAGUGAGAGGGAUUUAGUGUUUGAACCCAUUAAAGGGAAGCAUCUGUACCACACCGGUUCGAGAAAUAACUAUAUGUUAAAUCCCUAAUGCGAGGAAAAGAAACAAGUGACCGGAACUUCCUUUUUGUACAAGGAACCUGAGUCUAGUGAUCUAAACUCCAAGAAACACUUUUCUUUGUAAGUAAAAUUAGUUACUAUUUUUGGUUAGUUUAAAACCAACCUUUUCCACCAUAGAUUAUGUUUUCUUUUACAGCUAACCUUGAAAUGAAAAGGCACCAAGUCAGCUUUGAAUUAAUAUCAAUUGUGAAGUGAAAACCCAUCCCAGUGAAUGAUCCUAGAGCCACUAUGCUAUAGUAGCUUUGUCUUUGCUACCCUAGUUAAUGGUGUAAUAGGUUAUAAAUUUUGUUGAUUACUCCCUCAAUCAAGGAGCACUAGCUGGACACGAAUCAGCUGAGACACCAAUUGGGCACGAAUCAAAUGGCGUCGUUGCCGGGGACGAAUCAAAUGGCGCCGUUGCCGGGGAUCAAACGAAUCAUAUAUUAUCUUGUUUAUCUCAACAUAUUGUUUAUUCUUGUUAUAUAUCUUACUUGCUUAUCAUAAUCUUGCCUAGCUUGUGUGUAGAUAUGAGUGAUAUACUUGUUAUUUGCAUGACUGCUUGGUGCAUGACUAUUAUUCUUCUAUGCGAUGCAUGUAUUGCUUGUCUGUGUGGGAUACACAUCUAUUCCCUUACCUCUAACUCCCUAGUCUCGGUCAACCUUGUUUCCCUUGAUCUCGUAUUUGAUAUGAGACUUGUUACUUUGUUUACUCUUCAACCGAGCUAGUGAUUCAAAAUAGGGUUUAGUGAUGGGCAAUAUCUAUGUUUGGAAGCAUUCUAGAGGAGGUCAACACAUUGAUGCUGAUUGGAGUUCGAUCUUUGAAGACGUGUAUAGCUCAGAGCUAGAUUUUAGGAUAUUUGUGUGACCAGUUUGUUUUCUCUGUGUUUAGUUUGAUAAGAUUUUCGGAUGUGCCCACACCAUUCACUAUGAACCUUAGAUUACCACUAAGUGUUGAGAAUUAUGAGAGCUUUCACCAUAGGAAACAUCCCUUGGGAUGUCGAGUAGUGCAUGUGUGGAGGUGAUGACCACCUUGCAUGGAAGCGUCCCAUCUUUUCAGAGAUGUGUAGAGGGUUGUGUACUGCCAAAGGGUAUGAUCGUUUCUGUUAGGGCUCCUUUAAAAUCCACUUUUUCUUUUUAGAGCCGCCUUGACCUUGUGGGUUGAGCCUUAGAUCAUUUGAUUAGGAUUUUCUUUCCUACACAUGGGCGCAUUUGAGAGCCUUCAGGGUUGCUUUAGUCACAACAUGGAUCUAGUACUCCAUCUUUUAGUCUCCAAUCGAGAGUGCUUAUAUAUUGGUGCUAGUUUGAGUAUCAGUUGGACCACCCCUUGUUGUAUGGUUUUGGUUUCUUCUUAUCGCUCGGUGAGUCUAGCACACUUUCUCCCUAGGACUUUAGAUACUUUUUUUUUUCUUAAGUUGACACAUUCUUUCAUUUUGUUGUCACUUUCUGCUUGACAUUUUAGGAUAUGCUCAUUGAUUAUGCUCACAUUUUUACAUUCUUCACGUUUCAUGAGCUUGGUACUUCAUUCUUUGGUCGAUUUACCUAUUUUUAUUUUCAACCCGAUAUUUUCAUUACAGAAAGGUGAAAGAUAUGUUUUCACAUUCACACCAUUUUUAAGAGGUUUGCCUUUAUCACCUAAUCAUUUUUCUUUAUUGAGCUUGGGUUGAAAGUGAAUCAGAGAUAUUUUGUUAUAGAUGGAGUAUCGAUCUCAUGGUAGUGUUGUUUUUCACGCCUCAUUCAUUUUCUGGAUUAUUGAUAAAGAUUCUUUAGUCACAUUGUAGCCAUCUCACAGUGGACACCUUUAUGACCUUAGAGUUUAUGUCAUUUAUCCGGUUUUAGAUUGUCAUCAUAGAACCAUAUAUCAUAUGAUGUGUUGUACUUUUGACUUGGGACAUGUAUUCAUUUGCACAUUGUGGUCUUGAGGCCUAACCUAUCAUGGAGGAUAUUGAACUUAUUAGUCUAGGAUCGGAGAUUUGACCAAGGGAAUUUGAGACUAUGACCCAUCUUCUUAUCAUCAGAGCAAUACCUUACUCACUCCCACACCUAGACUUUGCUUCAACCUACAUCUACCUAUUGUGAAUUUUACACAACAUCACCCUUGACACCAUUACAUGACCUUUCCAUCCCUAGUUGUUCUAGCUUUGCAUAUCCUUUCUUUGAUUCGACCAAGUAGAGUGUGAGGAGUUUGAGCCCAGGGUUGAUCUUUCAUGGUAAGGGAUGACUUAUGAUCUUUGGGUGGCUUACGACGUGAGGAUUGGUCGAUUGUCUGAUGGGAUUGUCACUUAUUCUUCCAUCAGUAUAGAGAUUGAUUUUGUAUGAUGAGAGUUGGCUUGUGAUGAACAGUUGUGCCUUAUGAGAUCUUCAUUUACUUUGCUUUGAGAUGAUUAUCUUUUAGAUUAUUAUGGAGCAUUUGGAGUAAGGUUUGGUACACGAUUCCAGAGGGUUGAUGUGGUUAUAUCAAAUGGACAUUGAUCUUCAGUAUCGAUCAUUUAAGGGUUUGAGAACAUGAUGUUUGAGACCGUGGUUGUAGGAUGGGUGACCUUCAUUUCGGUUAGCUCACACCCUAUUACCUUUAUUGACAUCUAGACCAUUGCUAGCCCUUUGAGUCUCGCAUGAGCAUCAUAACCUUUUCUUUCUUAUAGCCUUACUUACCUUUUACACCGGGGUAGGGGCCCUCUGGUGUAUAUAUGCUUUAUUCGGAAGUCUCAUGAGCCAUGGACUUAUUGACUCAUCUUCUUCACUAUUUUUUUGUUAUCCUACCAUCAUUUUUCAUCAUACCUCUUUGUUUAUAUCCUUUGUCUUUGUCAUCGCAUUUCUCUCUAUGCCAUGAGUGAUGAUCUUUCACAUUUCAGUGCAUGGAUGACGGUCAUGUCCCCUUCCGUUCCUAUGUCAUGGACACUGGUUUGGAGAUCUUUAGUUGAGAAGGUCAUCUUAUCAAAGAGAGUUCAUGUACAUUAUUGUUUGAGAGUAUAUUCAUUUCAUUAUGUAUUCUCAGAGGAUCAUUGUCUUCUCCAUUAUUACAUACAUUAGUGAUUUGACUAUUCUCCAUGAUUUGAUUUGAGUGGAUUAGUGCUCAUUCAUUUUCCUUCGAUCUGUUUGUUCUUCUAAUGAUAUUUCAUUCGCCUUGCUUACAUUGUUCUCUGUUCAUAGUGAUUUACAUUCUAUGUUCGAUAUUUUUCAUACAUCAUUCUUGUACAUCCCAUUAGCAAUUCAAUAUAUUCCUUUCUUCUCUUUCAUCAUUGAUAUAUUCAUCUUUGAUUCUUUCUUCAUCAUUGAUAUAUUCAUAUUGGACAUCCUCAAAUCCAUGAUUUAUGAGACUCUCUGUACAUAUUGCAUUUUACACAUGAGGGUAUAAGGUUUUAUCAUUGGGAUUAUUGAGCCUAGUUUCCCUUCAUUUCUUCACCUUAUUACCCUAGCCUGUCACAUCUUGAGUCUUAAGACCACCCUAAGGCCAUGACAUCACACAUUGCGUUUAAUAGCUCUCACAUGGGCGAUACUUAGGAUCGGUUGGAGAGCAUUUUGAUUAUGAUGGUUCGGGAGUUGUGGUAUGACCCCACACUGGGGCAUAGCCACUUCAGAGAGUUUUUAUCGGGUAUGCGUCCAUUUUGCUUAAUACAUUCUAUUAGGACACACCUUUCUUGGUUCGGGGUUGAUUUUUUAGAUGACCAUUAUGUCGAGGCAUACUCUUCUUAGCUGAUGAUGGAUUUUGAGUCCUGGUCAUCCCUUUUAGGAUAUCAGAUGUCCUUUUUCACAUUGGAGCAUGAGACAUGAUUGGUAUAUUUCAUUUGGUGUACUUUACACAAGGGUAUAUUUCUUAGUUGAUGAUGGUUAGAACUAAUUCUUCUUUAAUCUAUUUUUUUUACCUAAGUAAGUCAUUGGAUAAACAUGUGAAAAUUGGCUUUUACAUGAAUAUAUGAAUGUGAAUCUAUGUCUCUUUGAUUUUGUAUUUUUGGUUAAUGGAUGCUUAUAGCUCACCUUUCACAAUACACACACUUACACUAAUAGAUGAUCACAUGUUUAGGCUUAAUUAGACACUUGCUUAGGACACUUUUGUAUCAUAAUUUGGCACCUAAAAUAGAUCACUAAUAGUUUUGUAUACAGCCGCACUUUAGGUUCACCUUUAGAUUCACAUUAGUUCACAUUCACACACUUUCACUUCUUUUUAUUAUUUGUUGUUUGAUAUCUCAUGUGUUUUAAUGAUUUUAAAAUUGUUUUCAACUCUUUCCAUAAAUAAAUCAAUCCUUCAACCUCAUUCAAAAUUCAUCAUUUGGUUAUUAGGUAUGAAAAUCUAUUUUUCAACAGUCAUGCUACAAAUUUCAAUCGAUAUGCAUUUUUCCAUUAUUUUUUAAAUGAAUUUCGAUUUUGAAAUACAUGAAAUAAAUUCAUGGCUCCACAUCAAUGGGGUAAUUCCUUACCUUGGUGGGCUUAUCUAUGAUCACAUGAGAUUAAGGAAGUAUGGAUAAUUUUCAUGGGCAUUACUUUGGCAAGUGGUAAAUCCCUACAUUCAAGUUUUUCAAGAACAAAUAUUCAAUUGUCUCUUGGGGUAAUUUGUUCAACCUUUGAAAUAAAAAAUUAAAUUAAGAUUAUUUAAAGCCUUCCUAAAAGUUUUAUAAUAAUUGAAUGAUGUUGUAGACUUCCUAAAUGUGUUAAUAUAGUUUUGUUUGAGUUCAAAAUCAUUUUUCAAUUAAUAGAUAUAAAUCAAUCUUUCUAUUGGUUCAUUUUCACUCUAUUCUAAACACUUGGAAUUUUUUUCUAAAAUUAAAUUAUUUAAUUCAUUAAUUCCUUUUUAUAUUUUUCCUUUAAUCUAGACUUCUUAAAUUUAAUCUUAGGCACCUAAAACACUCAAAACUGAUCCCCUAAGUAGGAAUUGUGUUUUUUGUUUUUUUGCUCCUAUUGUACAAGUUCUUUUCUAUAGUUAAGGGGAUGGUUUAUUAAUUCUAAAGAUGUUAUGUGUGUGAUCAUGCUUUGUGACUAUUUUUCAUGUAAACUAGUCAUAUUAAAUAGGUUGUAAAAUUUUUUUUUAAGACUUUCAAGCAUCUCUAAAUUAGUCAAAUAAAUUAACUUUUGCAUGUCAUUGAAAUAUGCUCUAUUCUAAACCAAUUGAAGUUUAUGAAAACUAGUAUUAAACAAAAUAUAAUUAAAUAAUUUGACCUUUUGGAUUGUAAUCUAGACACAUAGGAGAGGUUGCCUAAUUUUUUUCAUGACGAAAUCCCACUUCUAGAUAAUGUUUUAGGAUUUAUUUUAUAAACUCCUAUGUUCUGAUCACAUGAUGAUUAUUUUGUGUAGAAACCCAAUUGUGAUUUAAUUUGGUACUAAUUGGCAUAUAAUUAAUUAAUUUGAACUUGGGGAUUGUGAUAUAGACAUGUUAAAGAUGUUGCACAAUUUUUAUUUUGAUGAAAUAACACCUCCAGAUAUUUACUUGGAAUUUAUUUUGUAAAAACCUCUAUUCUACUUUGUUAAUGGUAUUUUGUAUAUUUUGAUAAUUUGAUCACUUUUGUGCAUUCUUGUGAGCUCUUUUGAUUAUUGAUUCACAUUGUAGAUAUAUUAUACACACUAGCUGAACCUUCCUUUAGAUCAAAAUUCUUUAUUUAAUAUUUUAUACAAACUAAUUUUUGAAAGUGAACACAUGAUUAACUAAUUCUAAAAUUUUAAGCAUGAUUACUAUAUCUUGUUUCCUUGUCAUCUUUUACUUCAUGAUUUGAGAUAUGUUAUAUAUUAUGUUGUGGGAUUUGAUUCAUGCCUAAUUGGUGUGCCAGCUGAUUCGUGUCCAGCUGGUGCUCCUUGUUUGAGGGAGUAAUCAACAAAAUUUAUAACCUAUAACACCAUAUACUAGGGUAGCAAAGAAAAAGCUACUAUAGUAUAGUGACUCUAGGAUCGUUCACUGGGAAGGAUUAACAAGCUAUCAAUGAUACCAAUUCAAAGUGAAUUGGUCUUGUUUCAUUUCAAGGUUAGCUUAAGAAAUAAAACACAAACUUUGAUUGGUAAAGAUUUAGACUUAAACUAACUAACACAACAAGUAAUGGGAAUAACUUAGGAAGAAAAACAUUCCUUGGAGAGUUAGGUUUACUGGGGUGGUUCCUCAUGCAAAAGACAUAGCUCCGGUCAGAUGGUUCAUUUCCUCGCGUUAGAGAUUCAACAUAUAGUCACUUCUCUAACCGGUUUUGUACAGAUACAUCCUUUAAUUAGAUUUCAACUUUAAUUCUCUCACUGAUGCAACUUGCAAUGGUUCAAGCCUCUCACUAAGCCUUAACCAUUCAAGGUGAUCUUUAACCUUGGAAUUCCCUUCUCAAGCUCGCAAGAGAUAACUAAUGGAUGUCUCCUUGGAGUCCAAAAGCUUACCAAGUGUUGGAAAUUCCAAAAAAUCCUACCUUAAAGUCACCUCCCAGAUGCUCGCAAGGGGUAAACUAGUGCAUUUCCAUGGUUGGAAAUCACUUGCCUUACCAAGUGUUGGCCCAGGUGACUCUAAGGUGUUUUAAGUUAACUAAAAACAUAGAAAUCCCUAAAGGAUUUCACUUCCUCUUCAUUACUGGCUGAAACCACAAAGUUUGCAUUCUUGCACUUGGAACCUUCCCCGGCAACCUUAGCUCCAAGGAAUUAGAGGUUUAGUUACUCAUUCUCUUGGGAAAACUCCUCAGAGAGUUCAUAACUUAGUAAGAAAAUAAAAAUACAAAGUGAGAAGGUAAGGCAAUACAAAGAACUGAACUUUACUUGCUUACCCAAAACUUUACAAAAGGAUCUCCUCUCUGAGAACAGGCUCCCGAGAGGUACUUAUAUGAACAUAAUAUAAAACUAAUUAUUACAUAGAUAUUUUCUCUUUUUACUAACUUAAAAGCUAAGGAAUCUUGUAAUUGGUGGCUUACAAGGAGUAUUUUGGGAUUUAGACAACAAAAAUCUGAUGUAAAAUAUCUCCCAAUGUCGGUAGCAAAUAUCGGGAUGCUCCAGGAACCAUUUCGCAAGAGAAAAUGGUGUCUGCGAGAUUUCGCAGACACUCAAGAAGGGCUGCGAAAUCACUUCGCAACAAAAAGCUAUUCUCGCAGGGCUGCGAAGUUGGCUUCCACCUUGAGGUUCUCAGCUCCCAGCUUGCGGCAUAUAUCGGGCAACUUCAGAGGGAAAUACACCCUACUGUACAAAAAGGCUGCGAAAUCACUUCGCAACAAAAGGUUGAUUUCGCAGCACUUUGCAAAAUGCUUCCUUCAGCUUGGAGUGAUUGGCUUCCACUGGCUGCAACUUCUUCGUUUCAACUCUGAAUUGCACACUGUUUGAAGCAUUGGAUUGUUGACUUCUUGAGCUUUGAAAUGGUAUAUAGCAUGUAUCAAUUGGACUCCAAAAAAUGCUCCAAAAGUGGCUGCUACGACUGUCAUCAAGAAUAUGCUUCAUGGCAGAUUCUCUUUACUUUUUCUCCUUGCAUUCUGGAUUCACUCUUGGCAAAUGACUUCCAAGCUUUGCCCAAGAUUCCUCAUAAUUCUCCUCAAUCUUGAAUUGCUUUGGUGAUCAAAAUACUAACAAAAACACCAAAACUUACAUAAAGUGAUUAAAAUUGCUUUCAAGGGUCUUUAACAUGCCAAUUGAGUUAAAAGGCCAAAACUACUACUCAAAAGUGUUUAAAAGGAUUAAUUGUAGGCUAUCAAAUGGCACUUUUUGAGUAGUAAUCACUCCCCCCAACCGACAUAUUGCUAGUCCCUUAGCAAUAUAGGAGAGAAAAAUUGAAAAUAAAAAACAAACUAACCUAUAAUGUACAACAUCAUGCUGAUCAAAAACAAUUCUCAAGUGGCAUGAUGAUCUAAUUCUCUCAUGAAACAUUAAAGAAAUAUAAAAGCAAAUUUCAACAAGAGUUAUAACAAACUAUGCUAAACACUAUCAAACAAGGGAAUGCAUUAUGCAAACUGAAGUUUUAAAAUCAUUUCCACUUUCAAAGAACCAAACGUUAUUCUUCCUCAAAAAUCUAUGUGUAUUGGUUCCUUAGCUUCUGAGAAUAAUAUGCUAAACUAAUCUCUCCCCCCAACCUAUCUCUUUUCAACACUUAGCAAACUGACCAAAAUCAAUAAAGAAAGAACACACUUUCUCUUUUUUUUUUUUUUUAGAAGGGGCUUAAUGGGGUACUCUUUCUGAAUUGUCCAUGUAAUGGGGGUCCAUUGAUGACUCCCAACCAAUUAAGGUUUAGGGCACCAAGCUUUAAGGAUCUUUCAACCACUAACUCCUCGGAUUUUUCCCCGGACUUUUGAGAAUGAAUUUCUAAUACCCAAGCACCUACCACAUGCUAACUCCACCUAUCCACCCUUGUAACGAGCAUUGAGGUCGGUGACUCCCAACCAAUUAAGGCUUAGGGCACCAGGCUUCAAAGAUUUUCACCAUAUACCCCUCAGACCUUGCUCGGGUUUUAAGGCAAGAAAACAACUUUCUUUAUUUCAAAGGCUCAUUGGCCUUUUGCAGGGUGUUUCAAUUUUAUCAAAUGAGGUCAAAUAUACCAAGUCCCAAAAUUAUCCUAAGUCGAGAGGGAAAUAGCUUUUCAUGUUAUAAUCGGAAUCUAAUGUGCACAGUGUGUGAAUAGCUUAAAGUGGAAGAACUAAAUUCAAUUUCAAUAGAAGCUUCAACAAUUGAACCACUUUAGUGAGCAUAAUCCAUACUCUAAGUCAAGUGAAAAGCAACAGUUCAAUUUCUCCUGUUUUAAUUUGAAAAUUUUUCCUCAAGAUUCAUGGAGAAUAGAGUAAAAAGAUUAAAAAGCAAAAACUACAACUAAUUUACCAAAAUAAUUGCAUUACUAAAAAGGCUUAGCAUACUUCCUUUAAUUUAGCAUAACUUCCUUCCUCAUUCCCCCCCAACUGAACUGAGCAUUGUCCUCAAUGUGAUAUGAGUGAUUGUAAUUAAAGAGAGGAAGGGGUACCUCCUGAGUGAUAUCAAAUUCGAAUACUGAUUGGAGAAACCACAUGUUUCAAAAAGAAUAGAAUAUGUGAGAAAAGGAAAUAAGGAUAACUUAAUGCUAAAGGUUAACAAGAAAUAUUAAACUUGUAUUACUUUGAAUCCAUUUAAGUACAAUGUAAAAGAAAAGCAAUACAAGCAAUCCCAAAUAUAGUACCAAAAUAAUGGGAUUUCUUUCCAACUAAAAAAAAAACGAAAUACAUAAAAGAAUAUAUAUAUAUAUAUAUAUAUAUAUAUUCUGAUGAGUGGGUGGUGCUGGGGCUAGGCAGAUGGGUCUGCCUCUUCAGCUGGUGCUUCAGAUGGGGCCUGAGGCUCUGCUGGAUGAGAGUGUGGCACUGCUGUGGUAGAUGUGGAGGGCUCAACAGCUGGUGACAGGUCGAAAUGAAGCUGGAGCUGCCUUAAGAUGGCAGUGUGUUGAGCCUGAGUGGCCAACAUCUGCUCUUGGCAUGCUCUAAUGGCUGCCAUCUCUUGAGCAAGACUGCUCUGAGAUGCUGUGAGGGUCUCCAAUGAAUGGCACAACUCUCUGUAUUCAGAAAUGGGAAUGACCAUCCUCGGUUCAACUGAAGUGGAUGGCUGAGAUGAAGCUGGAGCAGCUGGUGGAGCUCUGGGAAUGGCAGGAGCAGCAACUGUUAUACCCUCAGGUAUGUGUCAUGGGGAUGCUCUCCUAGCAGCUGGCUGUGGCCGCUCAGGCUGGUCAACUCUAUAAGCUGUCAUGUUGUUCCAUUUGUCGAGAGUAAAUAGCUCACGACAAAUGCGUUUGUGCUCCAACUGAGGCUCAAAAGGAUACCCCAAGUGCUCCAGAAUUUGGUAUAGCAGCCUUGGAAAGAGGAGGGGAAUGGUAUCAGCCCUCUGAAGCUUCUUUUUGUGUACUUUCUCUUCGAAAUAGAGAAGGGCUGUCAGAAUUAGAUGAUGAGGCCCAAAGAAAAAUCCCUCAGACAUCUUGUACAGGGCUUCUAAGAGGACUCCUCUUCUUUGAGUCCAAUGCUGCAAUGGAUAGAGGUUAUGACGCAAAAAUGCAUCAAUCAGAAACAUGAUUGGAGGAAGCUCCCCCUCAACAGAUGUGAUCGCGUAGCAGCUCCUCUGGACAGGGUGUGCACCAUCUCUAGUUCAGUAUGACUGGUCCAAGCUUUAAAAUUAUCGAAUUGGCUUGGCUCGUAGGGAAUUUGCAAGGCUUCAGCUAUAUGGCGAGCUCCCAGCAUGCCAUGCCUCCCAUCAAUAGUGAAAUGAAUUAAAGUUGGAUCCCUGACCUGUUUGGUUGUCAUGGAUUGAUAGAAAUCCAUGGCUAUCCUGGGGUAGAAAAAGUCUCUUGGAGUCAGUAGGUGCUCCAUGUGGUAUCUCCUCAGCAAGUUGAAUGACUGUGCAAGCUCCGACUGAAAUCGGAAUGUGGCUAUGUCAAAGCAUAGCUCGGAGUGGAAUAACCGACCUCUACAAUCCAAAUUUCCCUCAAUUGGGGGCUGAGUUAGCAUUGGCCGCCUGAUUACUUCUUCCAGAGCUAUUUCAGAUGGAAUUUGGGGCUCGGGAAGUGGCGGCUGAGGCUCCUGUGGUUCUGCUUGCGGCGCCGGAGAUGGCACCGGAGGCUGAAUUGGCGAGGGAAUCGGCGAGAGAAUUGGAGUUGGAACCGGCGAGGGCUCUGGAGAUUGCUCAGUCAAGUCAAUGGGUUAUGAGCUUUCAACCCUGGGUCUCUUUUGCAGUGGCCGACCCCCUGACUUGGUAAGGUAACGCCUUGCCGGAGGCUUUGGCGGCGCGGACUUCACCGGAGGAGGAACUGCUCUUGGCUGCGAAGGCUCAGAAAUUGGCUCCUUUCGCAAGCUUUUCUUGCGGCUUGAAGGAGAGGAAGACUUGGCCCCUCUGGUUCAGGCCAUUUCGGGUUGCCGAAAUUUGGCCGGAACGGAUGAUCGGGGAAGAUGACUGGAGGCUUGCGCGGUGAGGCUCAAGGAAGGAGAUGAACAGCCUGCGAGAAUGGCGCGCUCUAUUUUGAAACCCUUUUCGCAGCUCAAAUGACCGGUAUAUAUAGUAAUAACGGAAGACUAAGGGUCAGUUUGAGUUUCGCAGAAAAAUGUCAAUUUCGCAGCAAAACGCCAUUUUCGCAGCCACUUCGCAAUGCGUUUCGCAGCUGCGAAAUGAAUGUAACUGUGCUGCGAAGUGGCACACGUGUGCCAAAAUCGCUUUCGCAAUUGCGAAAUACCCUAUGGAAUGGGACUUUUGUUGCGAAAUCUGGGCUUUACCGCUUCGCAACUGCAAAAUGGGGGCUCCUGUGCUGCGAAGUGGCACUCGUGUGCCAAACUCGCCUUUGCAGCUGCGAAAAUUCUCGCAGAGAAUCCCAAAGUGUUGCGGAAUGGUUUGGCAACAAAAUGCUCAAUUCGCAGAAUAUUUCUUUAGGUUGCGAAAUCUCGCAGAGCUCUGUUUUUGCUCUGUUUUUACUCUGUUUUUGCUCCGAUUUCGCUCCGAUUUUUUUCUUUCAAUUUCUUUGCAUUUUCUUCCACCUGGGAUCAUUCAAAAAGAUUAAAACACACAUAAAAACAUGAUUUAAGAUCAAAAACUAAGAUCAAAAGUAUGGAAAAAAACUUGGAAAUUUACAAAAUUUACAAAAAUUUUGGACUGUGGUAAAACCACGUCCACCAAAACCUUCUUUGCUUAGGCUUUUUGUGGUUCAAGGAGGUUUAUUUCCUCCUUUUCUGGUUUGAAUGGCUCCAUGAAUGGCUUGAGACAAUAUCCAUUGACUCUAAAGGUGUCUUUGCCAUUGGAAUUCAAUAAUUCCACCACUCCAUUAGCAAAUAUUCGGUGAAUAAUGAACGGGCCUAUCCACCUUGACUUGAGCUUCCCAGGAAAGAUAUGGAGUCUUGUGUCAUACAGUAAAACUCUUUGCCCUUUCUGAAAUUCCUUGUUGGAGAUUAGUUGAUCAUGCCACUUCUUCAUCCUCUGUUUUGCAACUUUGGAAUUGAUAUAAGCAUUAUUUCUUAAUUCCUCCAUCUCAUUAAGGUCUAGAUAUCUCUUUUCUCCGGCUCUGAUCAAGUCCAUGUUCAGCUUCUUUAUUGCCCACCAAGCUUUGUAUUCAACUUCCAUAGGGAGAUGACACGCUUUGCCAUAGACAAGACGAUAGGGAGACAUGCCAAGAAUAGUCUUAUAAGCUGUUCUAUAUGCCCACAAUGAAUCAUGAAGCUUAAUAGACCAAUCCUUUCUGCUGGAGUUCACUACUUUCAUCAAUAUAUUCUUUAUUUCCCUGUUAGCUAGCUCAACUUGCCCGGAAGUCUGAGGAUGAUAAGGUGUAGCCACCUUAUGCUUCACUCCAUACUUGGAUAACAGAGCUUCAAAAGGUUUGUUGCAAAAAUGAGCACCUCCAUCACUGAUUAUGGCUUUGGGCACCCCAAAUCUUGAGAAAAUGUUCUCUUUAAGAAACUUGAGAACCACCCUGUGAUCAUUUUGUUUACAGGGGAUUGCCUCAACCCAUUUAGAAACAUAAUCCACCCCCACCAAGAUGUAAGAAUUACCAAAAGACAUUGGGAAAGGUCCCAUGAAGUCAAUGCCCCAUACAUCAAAUAACUCAACUAUUAGAAUGGGGUUCAUAGGCAUUUGAUUUCUUUUUGUUAACUUUCCAAGCCGUUGGCAUCUAUCACAACUCCUACACAUGAUGUGGGCAUCUUUAAAAAGAGAUGGCCAAGUAAACCUUGAUUGCAAUACCUUCAUGGCUGUUUUCUGAGAGGCAAAGUGGCCUCCACAUGCAUUCUCAUGACAAUGAGAUAGAAUCCCUUGCUGCUCAUCUUCAGGGACACACUUCCUUAUUAUCUGAUCUGCACAAUACUUAAAAAGAAAGGGCUCUUCCCAAUAAUAAGCAUGAAUUUUGGCAAAGAAGUGUUUCCUGUCCUGUGCAUUCCACUCACUUGGAAUUUCACCAGUUACUAAAUAAUUAGUAAUAUGAGCAUACCAAGGAGUUUUCACUAGGAACAUGAGUGAUUCUUCAGGAAAAUCAUCAUUAAUAGGCAAAGGAUGGGAAUUAUGUGUUAUAACUAACCUCGAAAGGUGGUCAGCUACCACAUUCUCCACUCCUUUCUUAUCUUUGAUUUGGAGAUCGAAUUCUUGUAACAGAAGAAUCUAUCUAAUCAACCUUGCUUUUGCAUCUUGCUUUGUCAAUAAAUACUUCAAGGCUGAAUGGUCAGUGAAGACAAUGAUGAAAGACCCCACUAAAUAAGCACGAAAUUUGUCCAAAGCAAAUACCACAGCUAACAAUUCUUUCUUUGUAGUUGUGUAGUUCCUUUGAGCUUCAUUCAAUGUUUUACUUGCAUAGUAAAUCACAUAGGGCUUCCCGUCUUCUCUUUGGCCAAGCACAGCUCCUAUAGCAAAGUCACUGGCAUCACACAUCAGUUCAAAAGGUAAUUGCCAGUUAGGGGCUCUCACUAUUGGAGUUGUUGUUAAAAAUUUCUUCAAUUGAUCAAAGCUAACAACUCACAAAGAGGUUUUGAAAGACUUGAAAAACCUUUAAUAAAUCUCCUAUAGAACCCUGCAUGGCCAAGGAACUGCCUUACUCCUUUUACAGUUGUUGGGGAUGGUAAUUUGACAAUAAGCUCCACCUUUGAUUUAUCAACUUCAAUGCCUUUUUCAGAGAUGAUAUGGCCAAGGACAAUUCCUUGACGUACCAUAAAAUGACAUUUCUCCCAGUUGAGCACCAGGUCUUUUUCAAUGCAACUGUGAAGAACUGCUUCCAAAUUAACUAAGCAUUCCUCAAAUGUACCUCCAUAUACGAUGAUGUCAUCCAUGAAAACCUCCAUAAUUCGCUCCACCAUAUCACUGAAAAUACUCAACAUACAUCUUUGAAAUGUAGCAGGUGCAUUGCAUAAACCAAAAGGCAUUCUCCUGUAAGCAUAUGUUCCAAAUGGACAUGUAAAAGUGGUCUUUUCCUGAUCUGCCACAUCAAUUUCAAUCUGAAAAUACCCUGAAUACCCAUCCAAGAAGCAAUAGAACGGAUGUCCAGAGACUCUCUCCAGCACUUGGUCAAUAAAUGGCAAUGGAAAAUGAUCUUUCCUGGUUACAACAUUCAACUUUCUAUAAUCAAUACACACCCUCCAACCUGAAGUGAGGCGUGUAGUAAUUUCUUCUCCUUUUUCAUUUUGAACCACUGUGAUCCCUGACUUCUUUGGUACCACUUGAGUAGGACUCACCCAAGGGCUAUCAGAUAUAGGGUAAAUGAUUCCUGCUUGAAGUAGCUUCAGCACCUCAGCUCGCACCACCUCUUGUAGAUGAGGAUUCAAUCUUCUUUGAAGUUGACGAAUUGGCUUUACUUCCUCCUCCAUAUAUAUAUGAUGAGUAAAACUAAAGGACUAAUGCCUUUCAAGUCGGAUAUUUGCCAUCCUAUUGCCUUCUUACACCUCUUGAGAACUUCUAUUAAACAAUUCUCUUGAUGAUUGGUCAGAGAUGAAGAUAUCACAACAGGACAUUGAUUAUUUUCUUCAAGAUAUUUAUAUUUCAGCUCCACAGGUAGAGGCUUCAGAUUGAGUUUUGGAAUUUCUUUUUCAGCAGCUGCCUCUUCUUCUUUAUUGAACAAAGGUAGAAUCUCUUCUAUCUUUCUCCAACUUUGUAGAGUAGCAAGCACAGUAGGAGAUUUAGACAAACCUUCCUCAAAAUCUACAAGACUUUCGUUCAACUUGUCUUGCAUAUUUUGAUUACAGUGCUCCUCCACCAAAGUAUCAAUAAUGAAUAGCUCUUCUGGACCUUCUUCUUCUUCUGGAGUGAUUUGCUUUUUAGACAUAUAGAAAAUAUUGAGAUCCAGUGUCAUGUUGCCAAAAGUGAGUUGCAUCAGCCCAUUCCUGCAAUUGAUGAUUGCAUUUGAGGUAGCAAGAAAUGGCCUUCCAAGGAUGAUAGGAACUAAAUUAGCUUCCUUUACAGUAGGAUCUGUAUCAAGAACAAUAAAAUCUACUGGAUAGUAGAAAUUAUCCACUUGAACCAAGACAUCCUCAAUUACCCCCCUUGGAAUUUUUACUGAUCUAUCUGCUAGAGAUAGAGUGAUUGCUAUUGGCUUCAAUUCCCCAAGUCCCAAUUGCUUAUAGACGGAAUAUGGAAGCAAAUUCACACUUGCCCCCAAAUCUAACAAGGCUUUUUCCACUAUCUUUCUUCCAAUCAUGACUGAAAUGGUAGGACUUCCCAGGUCUUUGUACUUCAAAGGAGACUUACAUUGUAAGAUUGCACUUACUUGCUCAGUCAAGAAGGCUUUCUUGUUUACAGUCAACCCUCUUUUGAUAGUACAUAAGUCCUUAAGGAAUUUUGCAUACGUUGGAACUUGUUUAAUCAUAUCUAGCAGUGGAAUAUUGACUUUCACUUGUCUCAAUACUUCAAGGAUUUCAGCUGCAUUUCUAAUUUCCUUUUUCCCAUGUAAUGCUUGAGGAAAAGGUGGAGAGGUUGAUUUCUUCAGCAUUUCUUCCUUCAGAAGUUCCUUCUCUGGAAUUGCAUUCAUUGUUGAAUCAGAGUCCUUCGUUUCUUCACUAAUCUCAUUCUCUUUAUCUUCCAUUUCCUUCCAUUUCUUUAUCUCUUCCUCUUUCUCCACAUAUGGCUCGGGUGUUGGCUUCUCAAUUUUUUUACCACUCCUUAGAGUGAUCAAGGCUUUGACAUCUUUCGUCUGCGAUGAUUCUCCCUCUUGGAUUUCCACUUCAUAGACACCUUUGGGGUUCUGGUGGGGUUGAGAAGGAAAUCUUCCCUUUUCUUGCAGUGUAUUCAAAUUUGUAAGCCUUGAAAUUGAAUAUUGGAUGUUAUCAAACUUUUGGUUCAUAUCAUUUUGCAUUCCAUCCAUCCUUUUAUUCAACAUACUCUCCACUCUGUCAAUUCUUUGAUAGAUUUGAGCAUUGGUGGCUUCUUGGUUUCCAAUAAAAUCUCCCACUACCUUGCUGAGAUUAGUCAUUGCUUGUUCAAGACUUGAAGAUUGUUGAGAUGGUGGAUCCGACUGUUGGUAUUGAGUUGCUCUGGCCUUCCAUGAGAAAUUUGGAUGAUUCCUCCAACUUGAGUUGUAGGUAUUUCCAUAAGGCGCAUUGUUAUUGGGUCUGAAUUGUCCAACAACAUUUGCUUGAUCUCUAAACAUUUCCCUUUCAGCUGAAAUUGCAGGGCAUUCCUCCACCAAAUGUUCAUAUGAUUGACAAUUAGGACACAACUUCACUUGCACUGAUGCUUCAGCAACAGCUUGCACUUCAUGAAUUCUUUUCAGCUCCAGCUCCUCCAAUCUUCUUGUCAUAGCUGCCAACUUUGCUUUCAUAUCAUCAUCUUCUUUCAAGGUAUACAUCCCAGCCUUUGCAUUGAAAGCACUUAGUUGAGACUUCAUCUUACCCACUUCUCCUUUGGUUGGUUCAUCCCAUCCCCUUGAAACAUCAGCUACAUAGCUCAAGAAAUCCAUAGCUUCCUCUGGAUUUUUGCUCAUGAAAUCUCCUCCACACAUUGUCUCGAGGAGUUGCUUCAUUGAGGAGGACAUACCAUCAUAAAAAUAGCUCACCAGUAACCAAGUAUCAAAGCCAUGGUGAGGGCAAGCAUUUAUAGCUUCCAUAUAUCUUUCCCAACACUCAUAGAAUUUUUCAUUCUCUUUAGCUGAGAAGUUUGAAAUUUGCCUUUUCAAGCCAUUUGUUCUAUGAGUGGGAAAAAAUUUCUUGAGGAAUUCAACUUGUAAGUCAGUCCAAGAACGGAUACUCCUUGGCCUUAAAGAAUUAAGCCAAAUUUUGGCUUUAUCCUUUAAAGUAAAAGGAAAUACAUCAAAUCAAUUGAAGCUCCUCCCUCUUGGAAUGUAUUACAAACAUCUUCAAAUUCCUUGAUGUGUGCAUACGGAUUCUCACUUUCCAUCCCAUGGAAAGUUGGUAGAAGUGGAACAAGAUACGGUCUGAUCACUAGCUGCUCUGUAGGGGGCACUAUACAUGAUGGUGCACUCAUACGAGGUGGAUGCAUGCGGUCCCUCAUUGAUCUGAAUUCAUUGAGAUUGUCUUGAUGACCUUGGUGACUAUGCUGAUCUUCAGGUGUAGCUUCCACGAUAUUCAAGCUCAAUUCGAAUUCGUUGUUAUGAGGUGUAUCACACUUAAAAAGCCUUCCUCCAUUGUCUCGUAUCCACUUUGGCAUACACAACUAGUAUCUAUCUACAACUUAAAUGAAAAUAAAGGACAACAACAGAAACAGGGCUACAACAACAAAAUUAAAAUAGGCUAAAUUUAAAAGAUAAACUUGGAUUAUGAAUAAAUAAAGAAAGAAUGAGAAUUAGUAAAGUGAAAGAAACGUUACCAAACUUGUGAUGGAAAUCACAAGUGCUCAAAAAUGGUAUCACUAUAAAAUUGACACCUUCCUCGGCAACGGCGCCAUUUGAUUCAUGCCUAAUUGGUGUGCCAGCUGAUUCGUGUCCAGCUGGUGCUCCUUGUUUGAGGGAGUAAUCAACAAAAUUUAUAACCUAUAACACCAUAUACUAGGGUAGCAAAGAAAAAGCUACUAUAGUAUAGUGGCUCUGGGAUCGUUCACUGGGAAGGAUUAACAAGCUAUCAAUGUUACCAAUUCAAAGUGAAUUGGUCUUGUUUCAUUUCAAGGUUAGCUUAAGAAAUAAAACACAAACUUUGAUUGGUAAAGAUUUAGACUUAAACUAACUAACACAACAAGUAAUGGGAAUAACUUAGGAAGAAAAACAUUCCUUGGAGAGUUAGGUUUACUGGGGUGGUUCCUCAUGCAAAAGACAUAACUCCGGGCAGAUGGUUCAUUUCCUCGCGUUAGAGAUUCAACAUAUAGUCACUUCUCUAACCGGUUUUGUACAGAUACAUCCUUUAAUUAGAUUUCAACUUUAAUUCUCUCACUGAUGCAACUUGCAAUGGUUCAAGCCUCUCACUAAGCCUUAACCAUUCAAGGUGAUCUUUAACCUUGGACUUCCCUUCUCAAGCUCGCAAGAGAUAACUAAUGGAUGUCUCCUUGGAGUCCAAAAGCUUACCAAGUGUUGGAAAUUCCAGAAAAUCCUACCUUAAAGUCACCUCCCAGAGGCUCGCAAGGGGUAAACUAGUGCAUUUCCAUGGUUGGAAAUCACUUGCCUUACCAAGUGUUGGCCCAGGUGACUCUAAGGUGUUUUAAGUUAACUAAAAACAUAGAAAUCACUAAAGGAUUUCACUUCCUCUUCAUUACUGGCUGAAACCACAAAGUUUGCAUUCUUGCACUUGGAACCUUCCCCGGCAACCUUAGCUCCAAGGAAUUAGAGGUUUAGUUACUCAUUCUCUGGGAAAACUCCUCAGAGAGUUCAUAACUUAGUAAGAAAAUAAAAAUACAAAGUGAGAAGGUAAGGCAAUACAAAGAAUUGAACUUUACUUGCUUACCCAAAACUUUACAAAAGGAUCUCUUCUCUGAGAACAGGCUCCCGAGAGGUACUUAUAUGAGCAUAAUAUAAAACUAAUUAUUACAUAGAUAUUUUCUCUUUUUACUAACUUAAAAGCUAAGGAAUCUUGUAAUUGGUGGCUUACAAGGAGUAUUUUGGGAUUUAGACAACAAAAAUCUGAUGUAAAAUAUCUCCCAAUGUCGGUAGCAAAUAUCGGGAUGCUCCAGGAACCAUUUCGCAAGAGAAAAUGGCGUCUGCUAGAUUUCGCAGACACUCAAGAAGGGCUGCGAAAUCACUUCGCAACAAAAAGCUAUUCUCGCAGGGCUGCGAAGUUGGCUUCCACCUUGAGGUUCUCAGCUCCCAGCUUGCGGCAUAUAUCGGGCAACUUCAGAGGGAAAUACACCCUACUGUACAAAAAGGCUACGAAAUCACUUCGCAACAAAAGGGUGAUUUCGCAGCACUUUGCAAAAUGCUUCCUUCAGCUUUGAGUGAUUGGCUUCCACUAGCUGCAACUUCUUCGUUUCAACUCCGAAUUGUGUACCGUUUGAAGCAUUGGAUUGUUGACUUCUUGAGCUUUGAAAUGGUAUAUAGCAUGCAUCAAUUGGAAUCCAGAAAAUGCUCCAAAAGUGGCUGCUACGACUGUCAUCAAGAAUAUGCUUCAUGGCAGAUUCUCUUUACUUUUUCUCGCAUUCCGGAUUCACUCUUGGCAAAUGACUUCCAAGCUUUGCCCAAGAUUCCUCAUAAUUCUCCUCAAUCUUGAAUUGCUUUGGUGAUCAAAAUACUAACAAAACACCAAAACCUACACAAAGUGAUUAAAAUUGCUUUCAAGGGUCCUUAACAUGCCAAUUGAGUUAAAAGGCCAAAACUACUACUCAAAAGUGUUUAAAAGGAUUAAUUAUAGGCUAUCAAAUAGCACUUUUUGAGUAGUAAUCAGGAUUUAGCCUAUGUUUUUAUAUUCAUUAUCAUUAUUUGUGAAUUAACUCAAUCUUCUUAUGAAAGCGUUUUAUAUGCUAUCAAGGUAUGCUUCCUCUUUUCCCUAUCUCCUUGUUUCUAUUAGUGUGUAUAUUCUAUUCUCGUGAUUGAUCUAUCUUGUCUCACUACUACAAAAAUAAUUUAUGAUGUCACUAUUUAUGGUGUCGCAUUUAUAAAUAAUGACACCAUUGAGCUUAAAAUUUAUAAAGGUGACACAUCAUAUAAAAAAUCUUCAAUUAGGGUAGUUAGAUGAUGCUAAUUUCAUAUUUAUGGUGUCAUUUUUUGGAAGUGACACCAUAUGAAAUAAAAAAAUUUUAAAUUUUAUAACUCAAUGAGCCCUUUUUUAAAAUAGUGAAUAGGAAUAAUUUAUGAAAAGUCCAUUGUUUCCAUAUAUACAUUAACUAAUAUAAAAGAUCUUAUUGCUUAACCCUAACCAUUGUUUUCUUCUCCUUCUUAUCACACCCAUGGUCGGCACACCCAUAAUUGAUAUUCUUUGCUUCGUAAAAUCUCGGGUAAGUCAAAACCCUUAUCUAUCAUCUUCAUUUUUUUUUAUUAAUGCAAAAAUCUUUGUUAAUAUAAUUGUUUUAUAUCUCUUGAUUUAGUAUAUAUAUGAUGUGGGUUUUGUAAAUGGUGUUUUUAUCGAGUUCCAGGGAAGUAAAAACUAGGUUUAACAUUCUAACAUAUUUUUCGUUUCAUUGCUAAUAAGCCCCAAAACAAAUGAAAACAAGAAAAAUGAAUGAUUUUUAAAAUUUUUGUCUAAUUGAGAAUGAGAGAUACACUAGUUUGUAGUAAUUUUUCACAUGAAAUAAUAUUUUAUUGAAGACUUGACUAUAUAGUGUAUUGGUUGUAAUUUUUCACAUGUGAAAAUAUUUUAUUGAAGACUUGACUAUAUUUGAUACCUUUUUCCAUCGUGCUAGGAGCUUUAUGGUGAAGUCUAACAACAGAGAUUGACAUCUACUACAAGAUGAUGCUCAAUUAAUCCAAAAGCACUUAAGCUAUUUAGGGUUUUCUUCGGUUAACCUAAGAAAACAUUCCCACUUUCUUUGUAUUGAGUCACCUAAAUGGAAUAGAAUAUUGAGUAUCAGAGUGGUAAAGGGUAUUAUAAAUAUGACUUUUUUUUUAGAGUCACCUACAUGGAAUGAAUUAUUGGUAGGUGAACAAAAUAUUGGGAUGAUUGUAAUAGUUGAAUUAGUAAAUGGAAGAGAAGUGUAUGUUGCUUUGUUUAUUCUAUAAAAACAAUAAUUUUAGUAGUUGAAAUUUACAUGCUUUGUUGUUUUAUAAAAACAAUAAUUUUAGUAUUUGAAAUUUUAAAAUGUGAAUGAAAUGCCUGAAAAUAUGUUUUGAAAAAUAGGAUAGUAAUAAAUGGAAAAUAGCUCAUUUCCUAAAAAUAUUUUGAUAAAUUAAAAUAAUCUGUGGUUAAAAUAUAUUUUUGUGAAAGUAUUUAAAAAUGAAUCAAAAUAUUAAUAAUUGUUAUUUUGUUUGAAAGUAAUUUAGGAAUAUAAAAUAAUAUUGGGGAUAACUUUUAAGUUUAAAUUGGGUUAUAAAUGGUUAAUUUUUUUAGGACUAUCUUUUUUGAAAAUAAUCCAGUGAUAAUUUUUUAAAAUAAGAAUGUUGAAAAUAAUUUUAAAAAUAAAAUUUUGUUAGCAAUGAUUUUUCUAAAAGUAUUUUAGGCAUAAAUGGAAAUUUCUUGUAUGAAAAUAAGAGAAUUUAUAUAUAUAUAUAUAUAUAUAUAAUAGACAUAAAAAUAUGCAAAUGCGACUCGGAGGUGAACAAGACUCAACUCAAUCUGACAAAACAAUGACCGAUCGAUAUAGGUGUGGUCCCGACUCAAAUUGAACACAAACGGAUAGAAAGAUGGUCGAUCAAUAUGGGUGCGGCCCCAACUCAAACUGACACGACGAAUGACCAAUCGAUAUAGGUGCGGUCCCAACUCAAACUAAAUCGAAACUGACAAGAUGAAUGACCGAUCGAUAUAGGUGUGGUCCCAGAAACUGAACUAACAUGACAAGGAGAUGACCGAUUGAUAUAGGUGUGGCCCCAAACUCAGACUAACACGGAAAAUGACCGAUCGAUAUAGGUGCGGCCCUAAACGCAAACUGACAAGACAGUGACCGAUCGAUAUAGGUGCGGUCCCGACUCGAACUGAACAUAAACUGAUAGAAAGAUAGCCGAUCGAUAUAGGUGCGGCCCCGAAAACUCAAACUGACACGACGAAUGACCGAUUGUUAUAGGUGCGGUCCCAACUCAAACUAAAUUGAAACUGACAAGAUGAAUGACCGAUCGAUAUAGGUGCAGUCCCGACUCAAACUAAACACGAAAAGUGAUAGGAACAUGGCCAAUCGAUAUAGGUGCGGCCCCGAAACUCAAACUGACAUGAAAAUUGACCGAUCGAUAUAGGUGCGGUCCCGACUCAAACUGAACAUGAAAAGUGAUAGGAACAUGGCCGAUCGAUAUAGAUGCGGCCCCAAAACACAAACUGACAUGGAAAAUGACCGAUCGAUAUAGGUGCGGUCCCGACUCAAACCGAACACGAAAAAUGAUAGGAACAUGGCCGAUUGAUAUAGGUGCAGCCUCGAAAUGCAAACUGACAUGGAAAAUGACUGGUCGAUAUAGGUGUGGUCCCGACUCAAACUAAAUACUAAAAGUGAUAGGAACAUGGCCGAUCGAUAUAGGUGCGGCCCUGAAACGCAAACUGGCAUGGAAAAUGACCGAUCGAUAUAGGUGCGGUCUUGACUCAAACUAAACAUGAAAAGUGAUAGGAACAUGGCCAAUCGAUAUAGGUGCGGCCCCGAAAUGCAAACUGACAUGGAAAAUGACCGAUCGAUAUAGGUGCAGUCCCGACUCAAACUGAACACGAAAAGUGAUAAGAACAUGGCUGAUUGAUAUAGGUGUGACCCCGAAAUGCAAACUGUCAUGGAAAAUGACCGAUCGAUAUAGGUGCGGUCCCGACUCAAACUAAACACGAAAAGUAAUAGGAACAUGGUCGAUCGAUAUAGGUGCGGCUCCGAAACGCAAACUGACACGACGAAUGACCAAUCGAUAUAAGUGCAAUCCCAACUUGAAAAUUCAAACAGACAAGAUGAUGAAUGACCUAAUCAAAUGGCCCAAAGCCAAAGGAUAACCUAGAUAACGAUGCAAGAAAACUCGGCCAGAGGGGAUAUGCCCUAGUCUGACAACUCAUGAGGAUCAACAACUAGGUCAAAAGAUAAUGAAGCAUGUGAAAGGUCCUAUGAUCUUAGGGAAGGAGGGUAUGCCCCAGUAUGCAACUCGUGGGGGUCAACAACUAGAUCAGAAGGUGAAUGAAAGUCUACUGAAAGGUCCGAUGCUCUCAGAGAAGGGGGUAUGCCCCAGUAUGACCACUCGGAGGGGUCAACAACUAGAUCGAAAAGUGAAUGAAACCUGUGGAAGGUCCGAUGCUCUUGGAGAGGGGGUAUGCCCUAAUAUGAUGACUCGAAGGAGUCAACAACUAGAUCAGAAGGUGAAUGCAGCCUGUGGAAGGCCCGAUGCUCUUAGGGAAGGAGGAUAUGCCCUAGUAUGCAAUGAUGAACAGACAGAUAUGCAAAAUGCCUCAAAACUAUUGUACUCUGAAAUAUGCUCAUCCAUCAUGUAAUGAAAAUGUCCAAUCUCAGAUAGGUAAUGCCAAACAAGACCAUGUAUCGUGACACCAUGCUGACAAAACAAAACUAAUUAGUGAAUAACAAUAAUAAUGAUCAGUGCUCAAAAUGCAAAAAGCAAGCAAAUCAAUACUUAACAUGCCAACUGUCAAAGUGAAAACAUCGUCACUAAUAAGUCAACAAUCUAUCAGGCCCUGCCAUCAUGGAAGAUAUUGAACCUAAAGUCUGAAAGAUGUAUGAAAACAACACCAAGAUGAUUGAGGAUUGAUCUACAUCUCCUCCUAAUCAAGAGAGGGGUGAGGUCAUGUGUCACGAUGGGAUGUGUAGGAUAAAAGAAGGUGAUGAUCAAGCUCUGGUAUGAUAGAAGGCAUGAGAGUAUCUAGGGUGAAAUGUCUGAGUACGAGAUGAAAGGUAUGUAAGUAUUCGAGAUCAUCCAAGUAUGCCGAGAAGACUAGCCCAAGGCGUCAAUAUCUCCAUAAUCCAUCGAAAGCUGCAGUCACGAACAGAAAAUCAAGUGUCGAUGUCAAAACCUCCAACAAGGUGGCUAUGCCCCAAUAUGCAAUGAGGACAACAUGAAAUAAUCCAAUGAUCUCCAUAUCACUUGUUAGAUACUCCAAUGUCAAGAAUCAAUCUGAUCUCCCUCCAAAAGAUGGAUAUGCCCUAGUGUACAAGAUUCGAUAGGGUGAUUAUGCUCCAAUAAAAAAUACUCUCCAUCUCGUCUAUACCCCAGUGUAAAGUAGUGUAUCCGAACUGCUGAGGAAUACCAUGCCUAGUACGGGUCAACGAAUCAAUCAAUCUCUACUCCUGGUGCUAACAAUGGAAACAUCUCAACAUAAUCCAUAUGAAUCAAAAUCUCCGGGCUCUAUGAAUGUGAAUGAGGUGGCUAUGCCCCAGUAUAAACCAGCUGAAGUGACUAUGCUCUAAUGAAAAAUCAAAGUCCAUCACCAAUGAGAGGGAUACGCCUCAAAAUAAAUCGUCAUCUAAAAAAUCAACCAUCAAUGAGUAGAGUGUGGCCCAAUGCAAAGUAUCGAGUAGAGUGACUGUAUCUCCAAUAAAAGUGCUCUCUGAAAUGGUUGUGCCCCAGUGUAGGGUCAUCCCACAACUCCUGAUCCAUUAUAAUCCAAGUGAAAAAGUGAACUAUCUAUACCUCAGUGCAAGGCAUCAUCCCAAAAGAAAACGUCAUCAAUGAGCGGGGUAUGCCCCAGUGUAGAUAACGUCGCCUAUGAAAAUCCAUCACUAAUAAGAGGGGUAUGCCCCAAUGUAAAUCAUCAUCUCAAUUCCCCAUCCAUCACACUCUAAGAAAUAAUCUCCAACCAAACUAGAGUAUUGCCCACGUGGGAGCUGUCAAACAUAAGGUGAAGUAUUAGCCUUAGGGUGGUCUUCAAACACGGGACAUAACGUAGGCUAAGGUAAUAGGGUGAAAGAAAUGAAAAGAAACUAGGCUCAAAGAUCCCAAUGAUAUAAUCCCCAUACCCCUCGUGCAUGAGAUGCAAUGCGUAGAAAAUGUCAUGAGUCCCGGACCUAGGGGUCCCCACUUAAAAAGUGAUGAUGAAUGAAUGGUCACAUCGAAUAAGCAAGAAUAAAGUGUGGAUGUUAAACCCAUGUCAAACAUCAAACAGGAUGAGAAAAGAAAGAUAAAAGAUGAGGUAGAGUGAAACGAAGGAAUAAAAUAAAGAUAGAAGAAGGCGAAGAGAUAGAAAAAUGAGUGAUGGUCAACCUACAUCAAAGCAUGGAAAGUAGUCACAUCUAAAAUAGAUAGAAUGAUGGAUAGAGCAAGGAUUCGAAGAUACUAAAGAAAAUGUUGCUCGUCUCUCUCACAAAAAUCGAAUGAGCGACUCAUACUAUCACCCAAAACAUAUACCAAGAUAGAAUCUCAGAAAGAAGCUCUCAUAUGAACUCUCUCUAACACAUGAACUCAAUGAAGCAAACUGGCACAUCCAUACACAUGCCCAAUGAAGAAUGAUAAAAUGAACAAUGCGCUAUCCUUUUUUUUUUUUUUUUUUGCGCAUACUCUGAUCAAUAGUGAAUGAUCUCCCAUGAAAUACAUAGCCAAAUGAAUAAACUCUCCCCAUGUACUGAUGUAACAUGAAUCCUCACUAACAAGACAACCACUCAAAAUAAGAUAUCUGAACCACUGCUUAUAAGGCGAACAGAGGGGAAGAACGUGACAAUCUUCCAUGCAGUGACGUGUGAGAAACCACCACUCAAGGUGAAACAAGGAUAAUGUCGAGUAAGUAAUGAUGAAAGAAAAGACAAAGAAUGAAUAUCACAAGUGGUGAUAUGUGAUAUCGGGAAAUAGUGAUGAAAUGAUGUCCAAGUGGAAAAUAUCACAAUGAAGAGUGAGGAAUGAGACAUGAAUAUGUAUGUCAGGUCUAGAACUCAUGACGUAUCCAAUCAUAGCAUGCAAGCACUAUAGGGUCCCCAACCCAGUGUAAUAGGCAAAUGAGGUGAUGAAAGAAAAGGCUACAAUGCUCGUGUAAAGCUCAAAGGGCUAGCAACAGGUAACUCUAUAUGUGAGGGUGAUAUGGUAAACAAGCUCCUGAAAUGAUGGCCACCCAUCCUACGACCACAACCUCGAACAUCGUGCUUUCAAGAUCUCACAUGGUAAAUACUAAAGACUAGCACUCGUCCAACAUAGUCAUGGCGACUCCUCUGAAAUCGUGUGAAAGCUCUCACUGAUGCUCUAUGAUAACCAUCAAUGUCCUCUGAUAAUCAUCUCACUAUAUCAUUAUAUGCCACUCGCCAUCGUCUCGUAAAAUAACUCUCUCUGAUCAUACCAAAACACUUGAAGUCAUGUGUAACGACUCAAAUCUGGAUACUCCCUGAUGAUCCCUCUGCCUCAGCAAUAUCAUCAAGAAUUCAAACCACUCUCUCAUCGUGAUCCAUCCAUCAUCAUGCAAAGCUCACCUCAGGUCUAACCAUCUCGGACUCUACCUGGUCAGAUCAAGGAAAUGAUGGAAAGAAUAGGCAAUGGUACUAUAGUAUACAAAGACGAAUAUGAAUGGUAAGGUCGUAUAAUGGUAUCAAGGGGUGGUGUCAUGUCGAGCUCAAAAUGGGUAGUUCAUCAAGUCCACAAAGUCAGGGUAUGGAUAUGGAUAUGGUACUGCUCUGAUCAGAAAGUGAAAUGAGUCAUAGUCUUGAACUCCCUAGGUCGAUCUCCUGAUCCUAGGUCAAAAGGCUCAAUAUCAUCCAUGAUAGGUCAAGCCAGAGUGAUCAUGAUGUAUAAGUGAAAAGAUGUCUCAUAUUGAAAUCAUAACACACAUCAACACAAGAUAUGUAAAGCACACUCACGAGAAAAAUGUCACAUACUCAGAUAAAAGAUCAUAUCACUAAAUGAACCAAUGAGUACAUCAUGUGUGAAACGAAAAAGGACUACAAACGACUGGACUCUCAACAUGAAAAUAUAAACAAUGACCCUAAACCAAAACCACACUUAACAAAACAAAAACAACUCUGAUGAACCAAAAACUGGACUCGACAAAAUGGAAAUGACUCUGAUGAUGACCAUAAUAAAAAAUGAAAAGUGCUCUGAGUUGAACUGCUACCAAAUGAUGUACCCAAUGUCGACUGAUCCAAGUCCUUAACCCGGGAUGUCCCAAAAUACCAUGCGACAAUCAAUACCAUCAACAUCCAAAUCAAUCUACUGAAGACUAAGAGGAGGAGGAACUACAUGUGUAGAAUGCGUAGGCAGAGGAUUGGUGGUCACACUUGGCCCAGCCAAGUUGACCAACCCUGAAUCGAUCAAGUCCUGUAUCGCAUGCUGGAGUGCCGAACAACGCUCAGUAUCAUGUCCCUGAGUCUGAUGAUACAAGCAAUGCUCAUGGGAGCAAAAAUGUGGAGGAAUAGGAUGUGGCAAAGGGCGUGGCGCCAAAGCAACGAUCAAACCACCAUCUCUGAGCUUCUCAAAAGCUCUAGUCAAAGUCAUGCCCAAUGGGACAAACUGUCUCGCGGGCCUCUGUGCAUAUGGUCUAGGCGGUGGGUGAGUAGCGGCUCUCGGAUGUGAUGGUCGUGGUUGCAUAGUUGAGUCUUGUUGAUUUUGAGUCACCAUCUUUACGUUUUUUUUACGUUCAGAGUCAUUUCUCCUCAACUGUAUCAUUUAGGGUCACAGUUCUUGGUAUUCAUAUUCACUGGCAUUGCACAUCUAACCUUCAUGGUUUUGCACUUGUCCUCAUUCUCCUCACCUCAUUACCCUGUGCUUAUCGCUUAUUCAUCAUUGUUCUUCCAUAUUUUCCCUUCCACUACACAUGACGCAAUCCUUUGAGUUCAGGGCACAUAUUUUGGUCAUGUUGAUGGGCACCCUACGCCUAGCAUUCUCAUGUGAUACACGUAUAAGAGUCUCCUUUGGACGCAUUCUUUCUUGUAUUUCAGGGUGGUUUGACUGUUACUCAUCUUUGAUAUUGAUCCUCGAGUCACUUUUGGAGACGUCUUAGAGGGAGUUUGGGUCUUUAGUGUGGCUUUAGAGGCAUUUUGAGACAUCAUUUUCUCUUAGGAUUAGAGCCUUUUUGUCCAUCUGUUGGCCUGAGUGAAUUCAUGUCUCACUAACAUACUUUUGAGGGUCUCCUUUGUUCUUCGGUAAAGUCCACUUCAUUCCACUCAUUAUUCAUACUUUCUUUUCACUUCAGUGUUCAUAUUCCUUGUACUCAUGAGCUCUACCGAAGAUGGGUAUUUUAGGGAGCAUUCUUUACCACCUUUCCUAUUUUUGGCAACACGUGCAUGAGAGGGUGGAUAGGCAGUGUUAUUUUUUGGAGACAAUCAGCGGAUGACGUGUGGCAUGAGAAUCUUCAAGGCAUUGUGGUGGAGCGGGUCUGUUAUGCAAAAGCUGCAGGGGAGAUAUUGGGAGGGAGGAGGUUUUGCUUGAGAAGGAAGCUACCAGAGGGAAGCUGAGGGGGGUUUUGGUUAGAGAGAGAGAGGUUUUUCUGGAGAGAAACCAGAGGAGAGAGUGGCUUGAGAGAGGAAGAAAGAGUUUGAAAAGCAAGUCUGCUUAAGGAGAAGGACUGGAGAAAACAAGCUAGGUGUCUGAAAAGGGUUGGAGCAGAAAGUAAGUCGUAUCAUCUUCGCUUAAGGGCUCAGGAAUGGCCAUUAUGAGCAUUUUCACUUUGCAUAUCUUAAUUUUCCUCCCUUGACAUUGUUGAUCUUAAGCAUAAUUUGUUGGGUUUUUGUUGACCUGAAGCUCAUAUUAUACUUGCUCUACUUUGUCCUUUCUCGGGUUUCUCUGUUUUCUCUCUUAGAUGACUGAGGUAUGGUUUACUUUCUUUAAGCUUGAUGUUUGAUUAAAUACACAAAAGGUUACUGCGUGUCCCACCAGUUGGCAUCCCGUUCAUCAUUCAUGAAAUGUGGCUUUGCCUGAAUAUUCCUUAGGUUUUAUGAUUUUCAUUUUUUUUUCUUUUAAACAAAUUCAUCCUUCACACCUCUCUGCUCUCAUGAAACUAAUUGUGGAAUGCCUUGAUUUCUGUUUCGUCAUCUGAGAGAAUAUUGGAUGCUUCAGACUUGGUGUAUGAUUAUUGCUUGAAGUCACUUGGCUGGGAUAUUAGAAAUGCCCUGGCUGCCACGAAUGAAGACAUUGGUGAAUUCAAGCGUAUUGACGUUCUAUUAGACAGUGUUCACAGCGGCGGUGCUGGAGUUUUCAGGGGCGUUGCUGUUGGGAAUCCAUGUAACCAUAUAUAUCACUCAGGCUGUACUGUUCUUUGGUUGAUUCAGCACAGUUCAUGCCUUGUUUGUCGUCAGGAGUUGCCUUCAUAAGGUCAACAAAGUUUAGAUGGUGGGUCAUUAACCACUAAUCUACAGUUUUAUGAUCCGCGACACGGAGAUCCUUGCCAAGCACACCGGAAUUUGCAUGGUCCAGCUGCUGGUGCAGCACUUGCAGGCUGUAUGUAUAUAGGCAUGCUUGCUUUCAUUAGGGCAACUGGCACAAGGGACGGUGUUUCUGUGUUAGGUCAUGUAGUGUGUGAGAUUUUUCCACCUCUAGGAUCAGCUAGCAUGGUCUUGCUAAGUGCCACGUCGGGAUUGACGGCUUCCAUGGGAAAAUCUUUAAAAUGCUAUUCCAUUGUUUGUGAUGUUCUUCCUGUCAGCCUUACUAAUUACCAAUUGAUUAAUCAUUUUCUGAGGUGUAUUUGUUGGUUCGCUAGCUGAAAACGGUGAUGCAAAGGGUGAUUUAAGGCUCGCAAACGACGCCGAUAUGCUGACCAGGAUCUGUGAUAGUUGCUGAGGCAGAAGCUGCCAUGAAGCGAACUACACUCGUAGACAACACUUCAAAUAUGCCUGUGGCUGCUCGUGAGGCUUUAAUUUAUACUGGUCACUAUAAGUGAAUACUUCGGAGAUAUGGGCUACAAUGUCAGUAUGAUGGCAGAUUCAACAUCUCGCUGGGCAGAAGCAUUGCGAGCAAUAUUGUGACGGCUGGCUGAGAUGCUUGCGAAUGGCAGAUAUCCUGCUCAUUUGGCAGCGCGUUGAGCUAUCUUUCUAUGAGAGUGUUGGCAAAGACAUGAGAGUCAAAAGGUACAUUUCCCAGAAGGAAUUCAGGCUUGGAAGCACCAGCAACCAGGAUCAGGAUGAUUCUCUACUGUUUACCCUUCUAUGGGAUCUAGUUAUCAGCAAGAAGAAAAGAAAAUAUAGUGAGAAAUCAGCAGUAAAGCCGCGAUCAGGGUCAUUUGGGCCUGUGUCAUCCAUGAGUAUGGGUCGUAGUAUUAGAAGCCCAGGUUCAUGUUCAAUGUAGAAGGAUUGAAUAUCAAUUUAACACGCUACACAUCAAGAAGCAUGGGAUAGAUAACUUACUCAAUAGGCCAAUGGCGGCGUCAGUGGAGGUGGCAUGAUUGAUUGAGCAAAUCUGGCGAAGAGGAUGAGAACAGAUGUCAAUGUUAUCAUCAAAAAGCUUAACAAAGGUUCAUCAACUAUGUUCUAGAGUUUCUUCUGGCAUCAUUAAACUGGCGUGACGGCAAUUUGAGGGAAAUGCUAUAGUUCCCAUGAUGAUUUGGUAUUGAUCUAGACAUAACAUAUCAUGAUGAGGUCAUAUGGAUCUUGCUACUUCAGUUUACCCUGUUGACUGCAUCAGUGGCAUAUAUCAAGGUAAAAACCAGUUUAAUAAGUUGGAGGAAUUAAUCUGGUGUCGUUUGAAUUUUCAAAAAGCUAUAAAACAUCAAGAAUCCUUUGCAUCCAAAAUCCUUUACCUGCUUCCAAACUCCUGUGUUAAGAUGAUUACAGUGGCACCGAGCACGCCACAGGUCUGGACUCUGAGCCCUUAACUCUGAUCUUCACUGGAAACAUUAUUCCUACCCAUGCAUGACAGCAUUCUCACAGAGAAGCAAUAGAUGAGCUGGUCGAGAAGGAAACUGGUGCAGCAUAUGGAUAUUAUGAAUAUAGUAUCAAUCUUUCAAGGAAUCCUAGCUUGGGAAUUGGUAGACCUAGUGAACAAAGACAUGACAAUGGAGAUGAAACAAAUGGGCAGAGAAGGAGCAAUCAACCGAAGAAGGUGUCAAACAGAGAGAGUCCUAACCAUGCAUGAGUAUACCAAGUUCAUCAACUGAAAGUCAUCUUCCAUAUUAUCCACGCCAAUCCUUCAUGCUACCCUCUUGUUUAUUAAGUUGCCUUCCAGAUGAGAAUCCCUCAAAAGACCCUAUUUUCCUCACGUCGUAACCGAGUCCUUCACUUUCUCUCUCUAAAACCCUCGUGCUAUCUCUAAGACUCUCUCGCUAAAACUCUCCAUUCCAUGAAAUUCUAGUUUUUCAACUCCCUAGCCAUAUACUGUCUCGUCACCAGUAUCGCUCCUAAGGUUCAGAUCACUUGGCACAGCACCCAUCAGAUCGGUAGUAGGCUGAACUGGGGCAAGAACCAUACUACUAAAGACAUCGAUUCGGGGUUGAAGUUCGAGCCUUAAUGCUACAGUCAAGAAUAUUUGUGCAAGCCUUGUGAAACAGGUUGCAAAUACCAUUAAUAAUGUGGCAAGAGAUGGUACCGCCUGUGCUACAGUCCUUACCCGAGCAAUGUUUACCAAAGGGUGCAAAUCGGUAGCUGCUGGAAUGAAUGCUAAGGGAUCUCGAACAAGGAUAUCAUGGAACGCCUCUGACCUCAUCUACCAGCUUUGACAGCCACUUCCACCAGUACCUGUGAAAUAUUCUGAAGCUCUGGGCUUUGACUAUAUUGUUCUAAACAGUAGUCAUCUGUAUCUAUUUGGGGAAGAGGAUCCAUUGGAGGAAUAUCUGAGAUGGAUCAGUUCGAAUGAAUAAAGGGUUUAAAGGCGAAUGCACAAGAAGGCAGAGGACUCUCCAUUCAGCUGAAAUCUAUGAUCCUAACAGGAAUGGAUGGAACAAGAAUUGAGAGAUCCUUUAACCUGUCGGGAUGCUGAUAUAGAAGGACCCUACUUUCAUGGAGCAUUUUCCUGAAGAAAAUUCUAGAGUUGACGUCAGCUUUAAUCAAGUAUCAAAAUUCUGGAAGAAGCAAAGAUUGGGAUCAAUCUCCUCCUGUGUUGACUUGUGCAUCACAUAAUUUGUUUGACGAUUUUGAUAGAAGCUUUAAACCUGUAGGGCCCAAGCAGUUCAAGAUGGUAUCGCAUAAAGAAGAUAUUUUCUCCUUGGCCAACCAUACUUAAAUGAGAAUGAUUUGACUGAAGAUGAGCUUGCUACCUUUUUAUGGUGCUAUGGGUUCAGCUGAGUACAAUAUGAUUGAUUUUCCUGAAGGCAAUUGGCAAUGGGCUGAUUCCACUUCCAAAGUUGAUGAAUGAGGCAGUGAUCCUGCAGAAGUAGAUUUAUAUGGCAGGGAUGAUGCAGAUUGAUAUGGUCAAGAUUCAAGUGGGAGCUAGGAAAUUGAGGUUUGAAAAUAAGGAAAUGCAUGUUGAAGCAAGAGAAAGGAAUACAUUAAGGAGUAGCAUGGAACCUUUUAGGCAUGGAUCUGGGCACUAUGGUUGGAUACCUUCAGAUGUCGCUUUAGUCAGUUCUGUGCUUAGCAAAGUGGCUUCAAAAAGCUCAUGGAAUGCUGCCAACACCUUCUCUGUCCCCAUCUCCAUGGUUGUCAUUCCUCAUCUCCUUCCACUUAUGCAUGGACUGGAAGGUCACCUCUAGCAUGGCCACUUUUUGAGCCAUGUCCCCCCCCCCUCCCCCCCCUCAAAUUCUUUCCCUUUGACUUUAAAAUAAUAAUUUCUUAACCCUGUUUUCAAAUGAUUUUCCAACUUCUAUUUUUUUUUAAUGAUUUCAGGUCAUCAAAUUUUCCAUCCUUAGAGUUUUUAGGUACCAACAUCCCAUUUUUAAUAAAAUUUGGUCGCCAUUUUCCUUCUGGCGAGCCAUUUUCGAAUUUUCUUUGAUUUUCAAAAUGUUUUAAAAUAAGUGUGAAUUUAUUUUUCAUAAUUCUUGGUGAUAGAAUUUACGAAAUUGAUUCACUCAAAAAUAAAUGGGCUUUGGUGGGAGCCCCACAUACGUGAUUUUAUGACUGAUUGAUUGAUCGAUUGGUUGUUUUGAUUGCUAUAUAUGAUUGAUUCAUUAUGUUCUAUGUUAUGCACAUGAUUACUCUGAAUUUGUUCACUAACCUUUGCUUCCCAUGAAAUAAAUGAGUUCAUCACUCAGGUACGUCCUUUGCCCCUCUUGUUCAUUCAGUUAUUUUUGUUUUGAGUGACAUUCACUUGGUAUCCAUUUACGGUUAAUCAAUUGCCAUGAUUGCUUCAUUUUAUUAGUAGAGACCUGACUUUAGGGACUUAGAGGGGUGUUACGGUCUUUAUCGUACCUUCCCGAUAAGUAACUUGACUCCCGAACUCGAUCCAGUUUUUCUCAAAUCACCUUUUCCAAAAUCAAGAGUCAUUCUUAGGGCUUUCUUUCUUAUUUUGUUUACCCUUUUAAAAAAUAAAACAAAAACAAGUGGCGACUCCAAGUCAUUUUCUAAUAAAUAAAAAUCAUUUUUCAAAAUAAAAAUCGAGCUCGCCAUCGAGUGGAAAACGCAUGAGCCGAAAUGAUAAUAGUUGAAAAUAUUUUUAUAUUUUGUUACUAAAAUUUUAUUUUAUAUAAUUGAGAUGAAAUUUAAUGGACAUUGUUAUUUCCCAAAAUCAACAUUAAAAAAAUAUUGAAAUUAAAAAAAAUUCUUCCAAGAAAUAUAUAUAUAUAUAUAUAUAUAUAUAUAUAUAUAUAUAAAGAAUUAGAUUUUAAAAAUGAUUUUUAAAAGCAAAAUGAAUUAUAAAAAUAAAUAAAUUUAAAAAGUGCAAAUUUUAAGUAGAAAAUUAGUAUUUUUUUAAUUUUAGAUUUAUAUUUUGAUUUUUUAGUUUUAAUUUAUUUUUUAUUUUCUUGAAUUGUUUUUAUUUGAGUUCAAAUGUGACUACUUUGUUAUGAGAUUCAUUAAAGAAAUAAUUGUUGAUUUUACAGUUAUUGCAUUAAAAGUUUUACUCAUUUAAUGAAUUGUACAUAAUUUCAUACUUCCAAUUAUUGUGAUAUUAAUGUUAUUCUCAUUUGAUUUCAGUUUGAUGACAAAAAGAAAACAUAUUCUCAAGUAGAAUUUGAUGAAAUUAGAGAAGAAUGGAUUACUUUUGUGUUUUAACUAAUCAUGAAUCAUAUUGAUGUAUCAUGAUCAUUCAUGGUGAGUCCCUUAGUUGUUAUAUGAUUGAAUUUUCCAUUGGUAUUGUAUAACAUUACUUAUUAUUUACGAACUAUUUUUAUAUCAAAAAGAGAGAAAGAAAAAAGAAAAAAGAAAAAAGAAAACAUUAGUACUUAGAUUUGUUUAUUGUUUAUAACAUCACAUUUUUAUUUUCAAUAAAAACUCUAAAACUCAUUAAACUAUGAAAUGCAGGUAUACACUCUUGGGAGGACAGUAUGCAGAAUAAAAAGAAAGGAGAAAAAGGCAACAAGAUUUAGGUUUUUAGAUAUGACUCUUAUGCCAUACAUUAUAGGACAUAAACGUUACUUUAUUUGGAAUUGAGAAUUUUGGGUUUUUGGAUGCAACUCUUGUGUCAUUUUAUGGUUAGCCGAUUUUAUGCAUAUGAAAUGUAGGUAUACAUGAAUGUUGGGAAGCUUAACAUUUCUAAAUCAUGUUUUAAUGUGUAUUCCCUUUUCUUUUUUAGUUUUGGUGGGUUUGAUGUACUAUCAUUUUGUGAACAUUUGAUUUACAAAUAUUAUUGGAUGAUGUAAUGUGUUACAAGUUCAUUCAUAAGCAUUAUGAAAAUAUAAGUUAAAUGUAAUAUGAUUAUUAUAUUUAUGGACAAUUUACACAGGUUGGUCUUAUUUAUUAAUAAACAUUACAAAAAUCUACAAACUAAUCAACAAAAAACAACCAUAUCUUCCAUAAUCAUUUACAAUGAUGUGGCACCAUAAAUUAAAGGUGAUACAUUUAACGUGACAGCAUAACUCAAAGAUGAUGCAUUUAAUAUGACACCUUAUAUAUCUCAUAAAACUCUAUAUCAAGUUAAGCAUCACUAAAAAUAUAUGAUGUCGCUUCUGAAUGUGUCACCAUUUAUCUGCUUUGGUGUCGCUUCCAAAUACGCCACCAAUUGAUACCCUCUAUGGUGUCAGUGGAUAAGGUGAUGCUAUGAUGUAGUGACACCCUAUGUUUAUAGUGACUUAUUAUAAAUGUCACCAUAUAUCUUUUUCCUUGUAGUGUGUUACUUGAUUCCUAUGUUGUCAUGUCAUUGCUUCUUGAUUUGAGUGAAACAAAUUAUAUAUAUUACAUGAUCAUUGCUUGUGAACUAACUCUCUUGUUUAUGGAAGCGCUUAACAUGCUAUUAAGGUACAUUCUUUCCUUUCUUUGUUUAUUGAUUCUUUGAGUGUGCAUGGUUUGUUUAAGUAUUCUUGAUUAUGAUUUUAUUAUUGCUUUGAUAUUUUUUUUUAUUCUUGGUAUCCACUGAUUUAUAUAUUAAUUGUCAUAUAUAAUUACCUCAAUUUAAUUAAUAGAGACUUGUUUUAAGGCUUAGAGGGGUGCUACCUUAUGGUACCUUCCCAAUAGGUAACUUGACCCCUAGACUUGGACUCGAUUUUCAAAGUCACAUUUUUCCAAAUAAGGAGUCAUUUGUAGGGUUUUAUUUCUUAUUUUGUUUUUCCUUUAAAAAAUAAACAAAAAUAAAUGGCAACUCCAAUUUUUACAAAAAUAAGUUUUGCACUAAAAGGCGAGUGUUGCCAUUAAGUGGGAAUGUGCGUGAAAAAUGAGGGUCCACACUAUGGUAUACCAUUAGAUUGUUUUUGGUUCUACCCACUAAUAUGUGAGGAACAUCGAAGGCUACCUGCUUCCAUAAGUUUCACUAUCUUGGGCAUUUUUAUUAACAAUGUACCAGAAAUUUGUUAAUAUAUGCACAUUUAUCGAAAAAUAUAUAUGAUUUAUGACUUUAUGAAAAAAUAACACAUGUAAUACAAGUUUAUUUCGUAUGCUCAUAUUACAAACAUUCUCUAUUUCAUUUUUUAAAUAUAAAUAUAUUUGAUCUCUAUCCUUUAUUUGCGUUCAAGUUCACUCCUUUUAUUAAAUAUUUUUAGGUAUACUUGAUUUUGGGAAAAAGUGACAUGGGUAUGAAGGGUUCAAAACCCCGUUUAUUUCUUUAGCUAAGAGACUAAUUUAAAUGGAUAUUUUUUGUAUUAAUGGUUCACUUUACUACUACUUUUUGGGAGAUUUGUCAUAAUUUAAUUUGUGGAUUUUAUUAUGAAAAGAUAAAUUUCUAGUUAAAACUUUUUUGUUAGCUUAAUAACUACUUCUCAUGUCAAACUUUCGGACUACACAUGUGAAAUGAUCGUGCUGUCCUAAACUCCGGGUUUGAGUCACAUCAUUAGCUUGCAUUUCCAUGAGAAGGGUUAUGAUAAAUUAGCAAUGAUGUUUCAUGCUAACGUGCCUUCAAAUUUUAAGGUUGGUGUUUUUCUAGUUGCACUAUAUCUCUUCAACAAGAUACCUUCCACAACUUUGAACUUUGACACUCUACAUAUAAAGUUAAUAUUUCUCAAAAGGUAUAACAAACACAAAUUCACCAAGAAGACCUGCCGUUUUGUCUUCCUAGCCUAUAGCUCUCUUCAAAAGAGAUAUAAAUGCUUGCAUGCAUCCCCAAACAAAUGGAGUUUAUCAAGACAUGUUUCUACUUGCAAACACUGGCUGAAAAUUUAACAGCACUCGAGCCUUCAAGCCAAAUACAGUGUCAUAGACUGAUACAUUGCCUACUAUUGAUAUAACACCUAUCUCUAGUAAUCUGCACCCUGCUACAUUUAAACUGCUUAAUUCUUAAAAUCCAUGUAGAUGCUCUUUAAUUUAGAGCUUGGAUGUAAUAAGUCUAACAGGCUCUUCCUCUUUUGUCAUUUUCUUUAUCUCCUGUUCAAACCUUUCCAUGACUGGCGGAGGCAGGCAUAUAGGUAUAACAUUCCCUUCUUCUCCUUUGCUGUUCCUGAACCGCGCACAGAAGCUAAUAAUAGAUAUAGCCCUAGCAAGCCCACUAUAGACGGGCUUCCCCCACCCGAAGUCGAUCUCUCCAGACCCGUCACGCGUGACAUCUGCAACCAUAUAGUUCCCCGGGUGCAUAAAUGAGGGCCGGCCCUUGAUGACCAUAAGAUCUGCCACUGAUUUAACGUACUCCUGACUCAUUUCCGCCUUGGCUUUCUUCACUAACCUUACCGCAUAUUCCAAUGGAUUUUUACAUAGCAUUCCAGCCUUAGUAAUUGAAGCUGGAGUCACAACAGCAUUUCCAUAGUAUCCUGGAGGCAGUUCGAAACCGCGCUUGCCUCGCAUACUGAUUGAGCAAAUAAUGCGAACAACCUCAUCAGGGUCUACUGCAAAUGCAAUUGUGCGGCAUCUCCAUACACAUGCUGUUAGAACCUCAAAUGUCGUGCUGGCACCGAGGCUUGCAGGAAGUCGGUUCCUAAGUGCUCUUAUCUCCUUGGGGCCAAAGAAGAAUGAUCGAUGAACCAAAUUAUUUUCGUCCAUGGCCAUUAGUGUGCCCUUGGUGUUGGUUACCUCCUCGUAUUCAUGAUGUAUACAGGUUAUUCGUGGUGGAUUUCGGGCAUUUAACAGCUCUCUUUGCCAUAUGGGUAGCAGAGAUGGCACAGACAGACCUUGAGCCAUCUCGCUUAUGGCGUUGAGGAAUUGGACCAAGCCAGGAAUACCACUCAUUGUGUGGUUUAGGCGCAAUGCAAAUAUAAAUCCUCCACACCUCAAUCGGGUCACCUGCAUUGUACCAAGAUUUCUUUAUCAAUAUAUACUUUAGCAACAUCCAAUGAUUUGUCUCAUUAAACUUAAUACUUAUUACUUAAUAACUUAAAUUUAUUAAGUUAAAUUAUUUUUAAAUUGUUAACUUAAAACUUAUUAUCUAAAUAUUAGGUUAUUUGAUAAAAUUUAUUUAAAAUCAUCAAAUUGAUAUAUUUAUCCUCAUUAAUUUUUAUUAGUAUUUAUUCUAAUUGACUUUAAUUUAUAUUUGUUUUCAUUAAUUUUAAAUAAUAAAUAUAUUUAAAAAACAUUCAUAUUUAUUUUAUUAUAGAUAUAUAAAAAUAAUCAUAAAAUAUUUAUUACAAAAAGUGGUUUCAAAAAGUUAUUUUUAGUAUUUUAGAAAACUAAAUGUUUUGACUUUUUCUAUUUAGUUAAAAAAUUAAAAAAUAAGUAAUAAGUAAAAAAAAUUAAAAGCAAAUCAUCUACAAUGUGAAAGUAAAUUACAUUCCACAUUAAGUUUAAUAAAAUAAAUAAAUAAAUCAAAUACCAUCUGAGUUAAGUAUUUUAAUUUAAUACUUAAAAUUAUUUAAAUAAAAAUAACUCUAAGUUGUAAGAUUAAGUUAUUUUACCAAAUAUCAUUGAUAAUGAAGAAUAUUUACCUGAAUUAAGACAACAGGGGAACCCAGAAUUCCCCCGGAGCCAGGGACAUCAUACAGAAGCUCCUCGAAGCAGGGACACAUUGGUUGAAUUGCAUCACCAAGAUUCUCAAGUGUGGUAUCGGCAUCGGCUUCAAUGAACAAGACCCCUUCACCGGUGCAGUCCACCAUGAGUUUUCUAUUAUCCCCUUCAAUCAGCCUGCCUGCAAAUGGGUAGUAGUAUACAAGCGCCUUACCUAGAGCUUCUCUAAUGACCUUUACAGGGUCUUUUCCUUUCAUUAAAGGAUUGUUCGGGUAAAACAUUAUCACAGGAAUUUGAAAGCGAAGGCCUUCUUGAUCAUCUAUAUCAGAAAGCUGCUUCAACUCUCGUGGGGUAGGGUUUGUAGGCCGAACAAACUCUGGAUCACACCGUUUAACCGAGAAUACUAGAGGAGAUGAUGACGACGCCAUGUCCUUCCAGGCAAGGAGUUUGUUGAUGGAAUAUAGAAACAAUGAUAAGAGAAAAUUGCAGGAUUUUAUGUGAUGGUCUGCUUUGAGAAGAAGGUAGCUGAUAUUUGUAGUGUACGACAAUAAUGUGUUUCACGUGUAUUUUUGCUCAACCUACGACACGGUUUAGAUAAGGGGUAGAAUUUUAAUCGUGUUUCACGUGUAUUUUUCUCUCCAGGCCCCUGGAAGCUACAACACCGUCUAGAUAAGAAAUAAUUGGUUAGAAGGGACGAAAUACUCCUCAUAUUUGAGAAUUUAUCCCCUCUUAUGUUUUUGUUCAAAGAGUAAUCUAUUUUUGACAUAAAUGCCCUUAACCAUUUCAAGUAUUUACAUUUAAAAGAAAGGGUUAUUUUCACAAGAAAAAAUAAGGAUAUUUUUAUGAAAAUGAGAUCAAAAAAUGAUAAAGGGUUAGAUUUUCAAAAUUGGGUUCCCAAUGACCCCUUUAAUCAAACAACUCUUUAGAUAAUAGGUAGAAUUUUGGGUGUAUGAUCUUUCGUUAAACGAAGUUCUGAUACCAUAUUAAAAUAUUAAUUUUCUAAAAAAUUUAAGCUUAUAGAGUUGAGUUCACAAUAUAUAUCAUGCUCUUUUGGUACCUUUUAAACAUGUUUUAAAUCUUUUGUUCAAAAUAAUCUUUUUCUCUUUUUUCUAUUCAAAAUUUACGGUCUCAAAUGUAGUUUAUGGCAUUUUCAAAAUUUAUGGUCUCUUUUGGUUAAUUUGAACAAGAUUAUGAAAUUAUGGUUUUUUUUUUUUCUGAUAAAAUGAAAAAAAAAAAAAAAAACUCAAAUGAGCUAUAAGAAAAUGACCAUUUUGACUCAAAAUUCCACGUGGAAAGUAUUUCAUUUACUUAUCUCGGACCACAGGAUAAGGUGGCUGCGUGUGAAACUAUGUGGUCUGUAUUCGAUGAUGUUUGAUAUCAUGGUGUAGGACUUGUCAGCGAUCCGCACCAAGAUAUCAACCAUACACCUGCCAUGCAUUAAUUGAUUAAGAAGGUUUCCCAUUCAAAAACCACAAAAAAUAGAGCGGUUGUUGAUGUUGAGUUAUCAUUUGACAAAACGUGUAUAGCCUGAAUCGCCUUACUUUCUUAAAAGAACAUGUGAAACAUUCACUUGCAGCACGACCAAACGUGUACUAGUUGUAUGCUGUGGCCUGAAUUACCUUACUUUCUUAAAAGAACAUGUGAAACAUUCACUUGCAGCAUAGUAGUGUAAAGCACGACCAAACGUGUACUAGUUGUAUGCUGUGGCCUGAAUUACCUUACUUUCUUAAAAGAACAUGUGAAACACAACAAAAAUUAUUAUUUUUUUUAUCAAUUUUUUUUCUUUUGUUUUUCUUUCCUCUACAUUCUUUUAAGAACCAAACGUAAAAUCAAUUAAUUAUACAUAUAUAUACACACACAAACAGACUCAUUGCAAGAGGAUAGAUCAUCUCAAGCCUCUUUAAUUAUUAUAGAAUAUAUGUAUCAUGCCAAAGACCCCUCUAAGGGCGUGACUAUCAUUUCAAACCUCAAGCUCGAAAACUCAAAGGGCAAAUGACUCAAACAAUUAUCUUGUAACUAGAAGAUCACUAAUUACUAAAUUCUUACUCAGAGUAGUAAAAUAUACUAUAAUUCUCAAAAUUUAAGUCCUAACAACUUCAAACUGAAAUGGUUCAAACAGCAAUUAAUUUCUAACAUUUAAACACUGUUCAAAAAUAAAGUUUAAACCAAAGCCCUAAUAGAGACAAAUUCCUGGCCUAACUAUCACUCCUUGCUUGAAUUGAAAGUAAUUGAAAAAAAUAAUCAGUGGAAGAGAAUGAGUUCAAACCCAAUAAGAAAUAUUAAUAUAGUUUCAUGGUUAAAACAUUUUCAACUAUGAUUACAAAUAGGAGGUAUAAUGUACAAUUUUUUAUUUUUUUAUUUUUAUAAAAACUUUGAAUUCAAACAUGCUAAAGCAUCCAAAACUUUUCAACCAAACAUUUUCAUAUUUAUGUAAAUAACAAUUUCAUAUUAAAUCUAAAUGAAAUGCAUUCAAAAUAUUUUUACUCUAAUUAUCAAAUAACAAAUGUUGCUUGAUUAGGUGAGACUUUGUUGCCCAAUUAGGUGAAACUUUACAAAUUGGAGGCUAUCCUUAAAUUUGUUCUUUUUAAGGUGGAUGGAACCAAAUAUUACUAAUGCUAAUAACCUCUAACCUAAUCCCUAGAGGAUGUGGUUUAAAACAAAUACAUUCCCUACCAAGAAAUAUAAAGGUCGAAUAAUUAUAACCUGUUGAUUAAGGCCAAAAAGGUCAAUAAUUAUAACCCAUUGAUUAUGGCAAAAAAUGUCAACAAUAUAACCCGUUGACUAGAACCAAAUAAACCAAAGUCAAACACCUUGUUUCAUUUAUUAAAACUUACAAAAACAUUAUAUCUUCAUUUUUUUAUUAUAAACAAAAGAAAAUGUUCUUACAUAUUUUUCAUGCAAAAUAUAAUUCAUCCAUGCGUAGAAACAAAAAAUAAUAUUUUACAUAAUUCAAAAUAAAAGAUAAAAAGAAAUUAUUUUCUCUUAGAAAAUCUAUAUUAAUUUCUCCUACCUCAAAAAGCACUCAAAACCCUUAAAAAAAAUUAUUAUUGAAGAAUCUAAUUUUCACCUAAAAAUAAUAUAAGAAAUAACAACUAUUACUACUACCUAUUUAUCUGAAAUUAUAAGUUUGACAAUCUAAAUAAUUUUCUAUGUUAAUAUUAUUACCACUAUUUUUAUUUUCAACUUCUGAAUCAAUAAUAAUUUAAUAAAUGAGUUUCCAAAAUUUCAUAAAAGUUGCUUCAUUUCCAAAAUCCAUUCCCAAGAGUACAUAUAUAAUAUAUAUGUAUAUAUAUCUUCUUUAUUUUUUUGUCCUUCUCAUAUUUUUUUUCUUUUCUUUUCCCAUCUCCUAGUUUCCACAUAGAACUCCCCAUCUCUUCAAUCUUUACACACAACACUACAGAUACCACACUUUCUCUACGUAUCAAAUGCACCAUUUUUUUUUUCUUUCCACUAAACAAAGGAUAUCCCUCUUUAGACCUAGAUUAUGUUUUGGAUUCUUAAUUAGAAAUAAUACAAUAUCUGCAGGGAAUUAUGGUAUCUUUAAGGUGACACAAAAUUUUCGGAAUGCAUAAACUAGGGCAUGCAUCCCAUUGGCGGAUGGUUGAAUUCAACUUCAUCUUGUUUCUGACAUCCUCGUUGGUAAUAUUUAACAGCUCUUCCGUCAUGGUUUUGGAGGUACAAGUACAAAGUUUUUGAAGAUGCAAAUUGGGAUUAGUGCCACACUUUGAGAUGUUUCCUAAGCAAUCCUUGAGAACACUUAUAGAACUCACUAUAUUUGAAGUUGUUAAAUCAACCUUCCUGAACCAAGUUAGCAAUGCUACAUGACACAAAAACUAAAAAUAAUUAAAGAAGGAACACUAGUCCCUUUCACAAUUGUUUCGUUUCUGUUAUUCGAAACAAAAAAAUAGGAAAACACGUUUGACAAUCAGAAAAUUGUUUUAUAUUUUUUGUUCUUAAUAAUAGAAAAUAGGGUGUUUUCAGAUAACAUAUUUUAAUUAUUUUAAGUUGUUUUUAUGUACUUUUUAAUUACUAUUUUAAAAAAUAAUUAUACAAAUUAUGAUUAAAAAUAAAACAUUAGAUUUAGAAAUUAUUUUUAAAACAUAUUUAAAAAAUAUUGAAAACAUGUUAAAAAUAUUUCAAGUUUCUAAAUAAAAUUUUGUUCUAUAAAAUAUUAGAGAACAAUUUUCAAAAACUGUUCUCAAAAAUUGCUUUUCAGAAUUGUCCUUGAUUUUAGCACUAAAUACACUCCCCAUGUUAGAAGAAUAUGCUUAACAUUUCACAAAUUACAACACCUAGGGCUAAAAAAAUUUAUAAUCUUAAAACUUUUUCAACAACAAUGCAAUAGAUUCCAUCUUUCCUAUUCUCUUGACAACCAAACAAAGCCUAAGACUCCUUUUUUUCUUCACUUUAAAAAAGCAAAAUAACUAAUAAAUAAAUAACAUUUUCAAUUGAAGAAAAAAAUAAAAUCACGUAAUAUUAGAGAGAACAGGAAUAAAUUGUGAGUACAAUCAACAACACAAAAUCUUGAAGGAAUUGGCCAAAUUGGAUGACAUAUUUCUCGAAAACAAUGCAUGAAACAAUUUUUAGGCCCAUACAGAAGAAAAUUUCAGCAACAUAGAACUUGAUCCUUCCUAGAAUGAAUAUUUACAAUAUUUGUCUGUUGUAAACUGUAGACAUAAUGCAAUUCACUCACAAUAUGAGAAUGAGCCUUAUUCAAUUCAAAAAAAGCUAUGGGCUUAUAUAAGCCUUAUAAAAGAGAUUAAAGAGGAAACAAACAGCCCAUGUAAGAACGUGGUAAAUGGCUAAGGAAAUAGUCAAAUCCUACCAACAUGUCCCAAGAAAUAGGAACUAUUAACAGAAUGAAAUUCUAACAACUUUGACUACUUUAACUGAACAUCCCAACAAUUCCUCCCCUAAACUGAUUGCAAUAAUGCAUUCAGUUGUUAAAGUUGACUACUUUAACAACUUUCACGUGUAUUUUUGCUCAACCUACGACACGGUUUAGAUAAGGGGUAGAAUUUUAAUCGUGUUUCACGUGUAUUUUUCUCUCCAGCCUCUGGAAGCUACAACAGCGUCUAGAUAAAAAAUAAUUGGUUAGAAGGAACGAAAUACUCCUCAUAUUUGUGAAUUUAUCACCUCCUAUGUUUUUUUCAAAGAGUAAUCUAUUUUUGACAUAAAUGCCUUUAACCAUUUCAAGUAUUUACAUUUAAAAGAAAGGGUUAUUUUUACAAGAAAAAAUAAGGAUAUUUUUACCAAAAUAAGAUCAAAAAAUGAUAAAGGGUUAGAUUUUCAAAAUUGGGUUCCCAAUGACCCCUUUAAUCAAACAACUCUUUAGAUAAUAGGUAGAAUUUUGGGUGUAUGAUCUUUCAUUAAACGAAGUUCUGAUACCAUGUUAAAAUAUUAAUUUUCUAAAAAAUUUAAGCUUAUAAAAUUGAGUUCACAAUAUAUAUCAUGCUCUUUUGGUACCUUUUAAACAUGUUUUAAAUCUUUUGUUCAAAAUAAUCUUUUUCUCUUUUUUCUAUUCAAAAUUUACAGUCUCAAAUGUAGUUUCAUUACAAUUCUAAAACCACAUCACAUUUUCAAAAUUUACGGUCUCUUUUGGUUAAUUUGAACAAGAUUAUGAAACUGAAAAGGAUUAGUUUGAACAACAAUUUGAAAAAAAAAAAAAAAAAAAACUCAAAUGAGCUAUGAGAAAAUGACCAUUUUGACUCAAAAUUCACGUGGAAAGUAUUUCAUUUACAUAUCUCGGACCACAGGAUAAGGUGGCUGCGUGUGAAAGUAUGUGGUCUGUAUUCGAUGAUGUUUGAUAUCAUGGUGUAGGACUUGUCAGCGAUCCGCACCAAGAUAUCAACCAUACACCUGCCAUGCAUUAAUUGAUUAAGAAGGGUUCUCAUUCAAAAACCACAAAAAAUAGAGCGGUUGUUGAUGUUGAGUUAUCAUUUGACUUAAGUUGGAUUAAACUAAUGGGGGGUAAAUAAAUAGAGAAGUGUAAACUUGAGAUCAAAGUUUGGAUUCUAAUUAACAAUUUAACUUAAAAAGUAAUGGACGUAUGAUUUGACUUUUUAAUCACAUAUCUCAAAAGUAUAAAGGUAGUGUUUAUUUUUGACUAAAUAAAAAAAAUCAAAAUAUUGACUUUUUUUUUUAUUAAACUAAAAGUAAUCUAUUGAUAUUAAUCAAUAUAACUAAACUAAACUUAUUGAUAACAAGUUCACUUUAAUUAUUUUGGCUAAUAUAAUUCACUUUAAUUAUGCGGAUUAAUAUGAACAUAUUACUUUUAACAAAAUAGAAAAAAUAAUAUAUUUUUACUUUUUUUAUUCAAUAAAAAAAUAAACACUAUCAAUUUCACAACCAAUAAUUGAAAAUAAACAACUUAUGCCUUAUUUGGUAACUAUUUUUUAAAACGGUUAUUAAAAAAUAGUUUUUAAGAAUAGUUUUUGAAAACUGUUCUCUAAUGUUUUGUAGAAGAACCUAAAAUUGUUUUAAACCUGUUUUUAAUAUUUUAAAUACGUUUUAAAAAUAAUUUUUAUGUCCAUAUCUUUAUUUUUAAUCAUUAUAUAUGUUUAUAUAAUUAUUCUUUAAAAUAACUCUCGAAAAACAACUGAAAAAACUAAAAGAUGUUAUCUAAAAACACCCUAUUUUUUGUUUUUUUGAUAAUAGAAAACAAAAAGAAAAUAGAAAAUAGUUUAUGAUUGUCAAACAUGUUUUUCGGUUUUUUUGUUCUAAAAAAGAAAAAACUGCUCUUGAAAACAGUUGUCAAAUAGAGCCUUAAAGUCUUAAAGCAAAUUGUUUUCAACAAAAAACUAAAAAAACAAACAUCCUCCAACCUUUUUUUUUUUUUUCACUAAUGAACCAAUAGAUUUUUAAAAAGGAAGAAAAAUAAAUGAUGAAUAAUUUUAUCAUUUUUCUCAAUUAUUUAUCACUUUUUAUGUAAUUGUUUGUUUGUUUUCGGUUCUAGUACUCCAAUAAACAAUAACAAGUGAAAAAAAAAAAAAGGCAAGGAAAGUUGAUAGAAUUUUUUUUUUUUUUUUUUUUUUAGGUUUCUAGGAAAAAGUUGAUAAAUAUAAAAAUUAAAUCUUUUAGAAUGCCCUUUCCCCAAACAUUCAUCACCUUUUUUAUAAGAAAAAUGGGAAAGGAAAUCGGUUAACAUUUUCUUCUUUUCUUACAUAUUUUCCAUCUUUGGUUCCUUAAAAGAAUAAAUAAUAUAUAAUAAAUGAAAAAGAUGAGAAAAAUUUAUAAAGUUUUUCAUUUUUUUUUUGUUAUUUAAGGAAAAGUUGAGAGAGAAACUAUUUACUCUCACGUUCAAUAGUUCUGCAAACUUUUCUCACUUUUUUUUAUUGGAAAAUGAGGAUAAUAUUUUAAAUCUGUUUGAUAACUGAUAUUUAUAGUCUAAUGGUGCACUCCAAUAAUGUGGCACAAUAUAUGUCAUGCUCAUUUGAUGGAAUAUAAUUUAUUUAUUUUUUUAAUAAUUUGAGAAAAGGGAUUCCUUUGAACAAUAAUUUGAAAAGAAGAGUAAAACGAGCUAUGAGAAAAUGACCGUUUUGACUCAAAAUUCCAUUCCACGUAGAAAGUAUUUGAUUCACAUAUCUCUGACCACAGGAUAAGGUGGUUGCGCGUGGAAGAUAUCAACCAUGCACCACCUGCCAUGCAUUAAUUGAUUAAGAGGGGUUCCACUUCAAAAACCACAUAGAGCGGUUGUGGAUGUUAAGUUGUCAUUUGACUUAAAUUAGAUUAAACUAAUGGAGGACAAAGAAAUAGAGAAGUGUAACUUGAGAUCAAAGUUUGGAUUCUAGUUAACAAUUUAUAUAAAACAUAUUAUAAUAAUGUUUGUUUUAUAUAAAUGUAUUUUAAGGGCUAUUAAUUAUUUAUAUAACUCUUAACAAAUAUUCAUUAUAAAAAUAGUUAGGGAAGAUUUAGGAAUUAUUUAGAAAAUAUUUUGAGGUGAUCACGUUUGAAAAAGUAAAAGAAAAAAAAAAGGUAAUGGGGUGUCCAGGCUUGAAAGUCUGAAUGCUUUUAAUGAUGUUCAAAACUAUAAAGUCGAAUGGAUAUUCGAAGGUAUAAUUUCAUAUAUUUUAAAAGCCAUCCAACCCUACAUAUAUUUUUAUUCAUUUUCCAUUUUCAAGUGCUAAAAAAUAAAUAUAAUAAUUGAUAAAAGUAUCUAUAAUUUUAUAAAUUUUACAUACUUUUAAAACAUGUGAUAUUAUACCUUUAGAUAUCCUUAAAAGUGUUCGACUUUGUAAUAUAUAUAUAUAUAUAUAUAUAUAUAAAUUCUUCCAUUUUCCAGUGCUAAAAAAUGAAAAAAAAAAUUAUAAAGAUGGUAAAUAUGCACUUUUAACAUCAUCAAAUAUUAUUUAUUACAAAUGUUUUAAAAUAUUUAUUAGGAUUACUAAGAGAUUGAAAAGAAAAAAUGGGAGAAGAAAAACAAGAAGAUGAGUAUGCAUUAAUUUGAAAUGGGGUGUUUAGUCUUUCACUAAUGGAUCCUUGUAUUUAAAAAAAAAAAAAAAAGUGAUACUUAAAGAAAUUAGUGGAUACAAAUAUAAAUCAAAAAGAAAAAAAAAAUCCCAAGAUUCUAAAAUGUCAAAAUCACCUUUAUGCUCAUUUUGUUCAAAAGUCUAUAAAGUCAUCUAAUUAUCUAAUUUCCCAAUACCCCCUCCAAGGGCGUGACUAUCAUUUCAAACCUCAAGUCCUAAGACUUAAAAGUGCAAAUGACUCAAACAAUUAUCUUGUAACUAGAAGAUCACUAAUUACCAAAUCUUAUUUAGAGUAGUAAAAUAUACUAUAAUCCUCAAAAUUUAACUUCAGAAAAGCUAACACAUCAACUACUUUGCUAUUGUCCUAACAACUUCAAACCCAAAUGAUUCAAACAUAAUUAAUUUUUAACAUUUAAACAAUGUCCAAAAAUAAAGUUUAAACCAAAGCCCUAAUAAAGACAAAUUCUUAGCCUAACUAUUAGUCUUCGCUUGAACUGAGAGUAUCUGAAAAAAAGAGAACGAGUCCAAAUCUAAUAAAAAAUAUUAAUAUUGUUUCAUGGAUCGAACAUUUUCAAUUAUGAUUAUAAAUAAGAGAUAUAAUGUACAAUUUUUUUUUUCAUAAAAACUUUGAAUUCAAACAUGUUAAAACAUCCAAAACUUUUCAACCAAAUAUUUUCAUAUGUAUAUCAAUAACAAUUUCAUAUCAAAUCUAAAUGAAAUGCAUUCAAAAUAUUUUUACUUUGAUUAUCAAAUAACAAAUAGUGUCUAAUUAGGUGGGAUUUUGUUGCCCAAAUAAGCAAAACUUUACAAAUGGGAGGUUACCCUCAAAUUUGUUCUUUUUAAAGUGGAUGGAACCCAAAUACUAUUAGUAUUAGUAACCUUUAACCAAACCCCUAGAGGCUGACAUUUAAAACAAUUACAUUUCCACUAAGAAAUGUAAAAGUCAAACAAUUAUAACCCAUUUAUUAGGGUAAAAAAAGUCAACAAUUAUAACCCAUUAAUUAGGACAUAAAAUGUCAACAAUAUAACCCAUUGACUAGGGCUAAAUAAACCAAAGUCAAACACUUUCUUUUAUUUAUUGAAACUUACAAAAACAUAAUGUUUUCAUUUUUUUUAUUAUAAACAAAAGAAAAUGUUCUUAUAUAUUUUUCAUGCAAAAUAUAUUUGACCCAUGCAUAGAAACAAAAAUAUCAUUUUAUAUAAUUCAAAAUAACAUAUAAAAAGAAAUUAUUUUCUUUUAAAAAAUUUGUAUUAAUUUCUCCUAUCUCAAAAAGCACUCAAAACUCUUAAGGAAUUUAUUGUUGAAGAAUCUAAUUCUCACCUAAAAAUAACAUAAGAAAUAACAACUAAGGUUUAUUACACUUUAUCCCCCAACCUAUAACGUGUUUUGCACAUUGCUCCUUUGAGUUCAAAAUUGAGUAAUAUACCCGUCAUCCUUUAUAAUUGCAUACAAUGUGCAUUUUUUAAGAGACGACGUUAUUAUUAUUAUUAUUAUUAUUGAUAGAAAGGCAUGUGCUCUCCACGUGAUUGAGUGCAAAAAUGUAGUUUUCUUUUUAAGUGAGGGUAAAAGGGUCAUUGUCAUUUUAAAACCCUAAACUCCAAUCCCUCUUCUUCCCUGUCGAUCAUUUUUCCCCGUUGCUGCUGUUGAAUCCCCAACCCAAAGCCCUAGAAUCCUAAGGAAGCUAAUGUAGGCUUUUCUUUCUCCAUUGUAUUCACCUCUCUCAUCUCUUUGCUUUAUUCGAUUUGUGGAAUUUUCUUGAUUGAAGGUCAUGACGGUGUGGAUUGAUGUUAUUUUAUUUUAUUUUAUUUUAUUGAAUUGCUUGUUUUGGAUGUGAGUGUGUUAAUUGAUUGGGGAAUUCACCAGCUUUCAAAAGAGUUGAGAUUGGAUUAUCUGCAUGUUGUUGGUUUGAAUUGUUUUUUGUUUUGGAUUGGGUUUUGAUAAUGUUAUGUUUGGUUGUGAAGACAAAAGUGAGGUUAUAAGAGGGAAAGAGAAUUUUGUGAAUUUAGGUUAGGUUUUGAAUUUUUUAUGCUCAACUUAGUUGAAUGAUUGUGCGAAUUUUUGUUUGAGUUUGUUGCUAUGUUUUUUCUCUGGAAAAUGGCAAGAGUAAAUCCUAUAGGAUUUCAAAAUUGAUUUUUUUUUCAUUUCUUUUGGUAAAUUUCAAUUCGGAUGAAUUGAUGUUGAAUUUAGAUAUAUAGGAUUAGAACUUGGGUGAGUUUUCAAAUUAUUUUUAUUGAAUUCAAAUUUUGUUGAAUUGAAGAAACAAAGUUCUCAUGGGGAUGACACUUUGCAUACAUCUCGAGUUGUUAUGACUUCAAAUGAAUUUCAUGCCUGAUUGAACAAGCUACUGAACUCUCAUUUGAAAAACCCUACUUUAACACCUAAGGAGACUGCAAAAGCAUCAAGAUCAACUGCCAAAGUGUAGUUAACGUGGUUGGGGUUGCUACUAAGGAGAAGACUACAAUUAUAUAAAGAAAAUGAUCCUUUUGCCCUCGAUCACGUGAAGAGCACAUGUGCCUUCCGUAAAAAAAUGUAACACCGUCAUUAAAAAAUGUACAUUGCAUGUAAUUAUAAAGCAUGAGGGGUACAUUACUCGAUUUUAAACUUAAGGGGGAAAUAUGCAAAACACUCUAUAGGUUGGGGGAGGGGGGGGGGGGGGAAAAGGUAAAAAAACCCAAAAACCAUUACUAUUAAUUAUUUUUUUAAAAAUUUCGGGUUUAAAAACCCAAAAAAUUUCCAUGUUAAAAUUAUUUUCCCCCAAAUUUUUUUUUCACCUCCUAUAAAAAAAAACUUUUUUAAUUUUGAUUUAAAAAAAAAAACCAAAAAUAGAAAAUUUUUUUUUAACAUAUUUUAAAAAAAAUUAAAAAAAUGUUAAAAAAAUUUUAAGGUUCCCAAAAAAAUUUUUUUUCUUUAAAAAAAAUUUAAAAAAAAUUUNNNNNNNNNNNNNNNNNNNNNNNNNNNNNNNNNNNNNNNNNNNNNNNNNNNNNNNNNNNNNNNNNNNNNNNNNNNNNNNNNNNNNNNNNNNNNNNNNNNNUAACAACUAUUACUAUUAGUUAUUUAUCUAAAAUUAUCGGUUUGACAAUCCUAAUAAUUUCCUAUGUUAAUAUUAUUAUCACCAAAUUUUAUUUUCGACUUCUAAUAAAAAAUAACUAUAUAAAUUAUGAUUAAAAAUAAAACACUAAAUAUAGAAAUUAUUUUUUAAACAUAUUUAAAAAAAUAUUAAAAAUAUGUUAAAAAUAUUUUAGGCUUCCAAACAAACUUUUAUUCUGUAAAAAAAAUUAUAGAACAAUUUUCAUAAACUAUUCUCAAAAAUUGUUUUUCAAAACUGUUCUUGAAAACAAUUAUCCUAUUAUAAGCUCUUAAAAGCUCUCAAGUUCUUUGAUUGAUAUCAUAUAUGGAUGAAAACAAAAAUCACAUCUUAUAUUCGAUUUUAACAUUAAAUGCACUCCCCAACUAGCUAACUAUAUGCUACAUCACAUAUGCCACAUAUGCCUAGCUUUCUUAGAUUUCCCCUUUAUUCCUUAAUGUUUCCAGCUAUUUCAAUGAGUAAGGAUGGUCAUGAAAACCAUUGAGACUUCCAAGAUGCACUUCAAAAAAAAUUUAACCAAAAGAAAAAACUUGUCAAUCAAGAAAAGAAAAAGAAAAUAGUCCAGUGAAAAUACAUAAAGUCAUUUUUUUUUUCCAAAUUCAAGGAACCAAACCUAAAAGAAACUACAAAAUAUCAAACCAAAAUUGAAGAAGUUGUAAAUCAAGAUAACCUUUUAAAAAUCAAUUAGUAUAUAUUGAUUAUAUUAUAGUACUUAAUGACUUUAUUAUUGUCAAAAAAUUAACUUAAAGCAUAUCCAACAAUCUCUCAAUUUAAAUUAACAAAAUCAAUCAAAACAAAUAGCAAAAGUAGGCAUCUGGGAAAGUCAUGCAUAUGAGUGAAGGUCUCUUCAAGAUUUAAACCUCCACUUAGUAUAAACAAAUCAAAUUUGUCAAGGAACUUAUUAGGUAAAUCAGAUAUGUCACACACAUGCCUUCUAGAGGUUAUCGGUCCUUUAAAGCUAACACCUUUGAAGUCUAUGAUUAAUCCCAUUUUAAUGAGUGAUCUAAAGAGGAUCUAUAGUCUCCUGCAACAUGACUAGUUUCAAUGCUCAAAACGGUAAAGCCAAUGAAGAGUGUAGCAUGUUUCACUCCUACCAUAAGUAUAUAGAUUGAUGAAAAUGUAAUAAUCCUCAUCUUCACAAAUAAUAUGACUUAUUUGCAAGAAGUCAACCAUUGGAUUAACACUAAUUUAUCAUAGGAAGGGAUAUUCAUAUAUAAUAUGAAUGCAUUACAUCACAACUAUUUCUUUGCCUCUUUUUUCAUUGAACAUGAGAAAUCUCAUCAAAUUGAGUUCCCAUUGACCAUAACUUAACUAUAGAUUUUCAAUCUCAUUCCCCUUGAUGAAAUUCUCUCUGGACUUGACAUAUUGUGUAGCCAUGAUCCCAUGAAGCCUUACAUGAUUAUGUCUCACAUAAACAAGUCUAAAAUUCCCAUUAUCGAUCUCAUUAUAUGACUUAAGCAUUGUAACAAGAUUAUCACUACAAAUAGUGAUUGAUUACAUUGGCUUAUUUCAUAUAGACGUGUCUACCAAUAUAUUCCUUAGCCGCUUACCUACCUUUCUCACAAAUGAGAGGGGAAUGAAUUCAUUUCAUUGUGUAAUGAGAUAAACAUGCUAAGGCUAAGGUUGGGUUAGGUUAAGAACAAGGUUAUUUUUCAUAUGUUUAUUUUUGCCUUGAUUUUAGAUAGAGAGGUCCUUAUGUUUUUUUGUGAGUUUGAUGUAAAUUUUUACGUUUGUUCUAUUUCACCAUAGUUUUAAAUAUCAAUUACCUUGUUAGAUUUCAAUUUUUUAUUUUAUUUAUUUAUUUUUGGCUUCUCUUUCAUAUGGGCCCCAUCUUUAUUGUUAUUUCCAUGAUUUUAAUUUCAUUCUUUGUUUCUAUUCCACUUGGUGUUGGCAUCUUGUUGUCUGAGGUUUCUAUAAGAAUUUUUAAAUUUCCAUAGUAGAGUACAACACUCAUCCUUUGCAUCGUUUUUAUCAUACUUCUAUAAGAUAAGAGGAGAAUGAUUGAUCAUUUUCAAGAAAAGGUUUUAUUUUAAGUCUUUGCACUACUUACGCUAUCUCUCCUUAUUCAUGCAUCUAGAAUUUAAUACAUUAAUGACACUUCAUUUUUAUUUCACAAAAUGUGUAUGGGAAAAAAUAGAAAAUAAGAAAACAUACUUAGCAAGCUUGAAGAACAAUCAAGGUAGAUUGCCUUAGUGAAACAAAACUCAUGUGAGAAGAAAAUAGAGUUCUCAAUAUAAUGCCCACUAGGAAGGUGGCCCAAUUCUCUACCAACUAGUGUUAAGGUUGAAUAUGUGAAAGUGGAACAAGUUGUGAUGUUUACUAAAGGUUAAAGAUAAGUGGGUUUUGUAUUAAGAUAGAUACUAUAAUAUCUAUUUAUAUUAAUUCAGUUUUCCUAUUUUAGUUAAUUAUAUUGUAAAAAUCUACAAACACAAAUACAUGUAGACUACUGGGAACAUAAAUAAUUAUGAUAAGUUAAAUUGAAUAAUAAUUAAGUUUCCAAAAUUCUCCAUUGUACAUACAAACACAACUAUUUAGUGAACCAUAUGUUAUUAUUUUCAUAGUUUAUGUAAUUGGACAUAGGUUGACCAUUGUUUAUCUUUCAUUGCAACCAUGAAAUCAUACCUUAACAUUCAGUACUACAAAUGAUAAUAUUUCAUAUACAAUUGCUAAUAAAACAUACAUAUAAUGGUGAUAAAUAAUUGUCACUAAAACCUUUCUUUUAGUUGCAAUAUAAACUUGCCACUAAAAGCAUAAUAUUAGUGAUAAAAUAUUAUUGCGGCUAAAAGUUCACAUUAAUGAUAAUAAAUAAUUGUCACUAAAUUUCAUUAUUUAGUGACAAAUUUGUGUUCUUUUUAUUGUAAUUAUAAUUUGAAAUAGUGGUAACAAGUAUUGCCACUAAAAACAAAAUUUUACAUACAAAAAAUCUAUUGUGGCUAAAGUUGUAAUAAUUAGUGGCAAUAUUUUAAACUUGUGGCUACAACAAUUAGUGACAAUACUUAUAGUGAUGGUCUUGUGGCAACCAAAAUAUUAUCACUAAAUCUUUUAGUGACAAUUUUUAAACUAUUAGCUACAAUUUUAUUCGCGGAUAAAAGUGUAAUUUUUUGUAGUGGCUUAUAUAUAUAUUUAUAUAAUUGUUUGGAUUGGAUAUUUAGAUAAUAUUGGGUGAUAUAUGAGUGUAUACAAAAUGAUUAUAUUUACAAAUGUACAUUAUUUUAUAUAUAUCACCCGAAUUUACCAUCUUACAUUGUUCAUGGCACCUCCUCAUAGGAUAGCUUUUGCACUUUAAUCCUUCUUAUUUCUUUGUGAACUACUAGAGGGAAUAUCAAUGAUAUGUCUAUAUUAUAGUUAUGUUUCACCAGUACUGAUAAUCAAUAACAAUAUAGAACAUUUUCUAUACUACUAGUUCACAUGUGGUAUGAAGAAAAUACUAUGAUCCAGUUUUUCAAAUAAUGUCAUUUUCCUUGCACCAUUUACUUCUAACAACUAUCAACAACUAUAGGCAUUUAAAAAAUUGAAUGUUUAAUUUUGGAUCAAAAGGCCGGGGUUUCAUAGAUAGACACUAGAUAAGAAAUUCUUUCAAUGAAAAAAUUAUUUGAAUCAUCAAUUUCUUCAAGAAAUCUUCAUAUGUUAAUUAGUACUUGAAGAGAUCUUCAAAUUUUCAUCUUUUCACGACAUCUUGAAUCUUGAUGGAAUUUCUUCAACAACUGUAAAAAUUUUGGUCGGUGUUUGAUGUGUGCUUUGAAAUGAGAGGAGACCUCCACUUAUUGGGUUGGAAAAUUUAUUUUAAUAUUAUCUCUUUCUUUCCUAGAGACAAUCAUCUUAUUUAUUGUGAUAAUUAUCAUUUAUUUUAAUGAUCAUAAUUAAUUAAUUAAGAUAAUUAUAAUAUUCUUUUUCUUUCUCACAAUUAAUUGAUUUCUUAUUAUUUUUAAUUUAUCAAUUUUUUUAGCAAGAUCCAUUUGAUAAGUGUCAACUAUUAGGACAUUGAGUCUUAUUUAUAUGUUGGUAAUUUUGUUCCAAUUUAUGUUUGAUCAUAGAAGUCUUUUUAGAUAGUGAAUUGCUCUCCAUUGAAGAUCAAGGGUUACUUUUCAUCCAAUUGGGAAGUCACAAGUACAUUUUAAAAGAUUUAGGUUGUGACAUAUGAGGCUUCGUUGAGGUAUAAAAAGGUUCAGUAUCAAUUUUGGACUUAUAAUUUUUUUUAAAUAAUUUUUCAAAAAAUAGAGGAUGCUCAAGUGGUUAAUCCCACUUAUAUGGUCAGCCUGCUCAAGUGGCAAUGAACCCUCAAGUGGUCCAAGUCCACUAAAGUGGUCAUGUUAGUCCUUCCAAGUUUAGAAAUGUAUUUUGGUUGAAUUUUACUCAAGCUCUAAUUUGGAAACUUAAGAUGUCGGGACUCUUUUGACUUGUGCAUAUAUAUAUAUAUAUAUAUAUAUAUAUAUCUCAAAUAAACCCUUGAGGGUUAGAGAUUCGGGCUAAGAGAUUGUAGAGAUCUAAGAGUUUAGAGAUCUCUUAUUCUUUAGGGGGACUUCUUGAGAGAAAGCCUUAUUGCCAUGCCACUUUUUAUCUCUCAUUCAAGGAUUGGAUCUUUGAAUUGUUGGUUGAUGACUUAAAUCCCUUCGGAGGGACUAAAUGAUCUACUAUGGAGCAAAAGGGAGUUGUUGCGUUGUAGAUGUGGAUCAAGUUAUAGGUACUAAAAAGUAAGCCUUUAGGGUAAAGCGGUUAGGUAAAUCUAUGUAACUUGAUUUCAAAUAGUGGAUUUAGAUUGGUACGUCUUAGACCUCAUGAUUUUUUAUCUCCACAAGUUUGUAAGGGUUUUCCACUUAAAAAAUCUCAUGCCUCAUUGUCUAUUUCUUUAUAUUUGUUAUUAUGUUUAAAGUGCCUAUAUUAAGCUAAUUUGAUUAAUCCUAAUAUAUUACAGGGCUUUCCUAAAAAGUGCAUAUCUAUUUAUUCCUACUCAUUUUCUAGUUGAUAACUUUGAUUGGUUAAUUGAUUAUUGAGUUAAUUGAUUUGUUAUCUUGGUGGUUGUGGUGGUUAUACCCAUAACUAAUUAUUGAUUAAUUUGUUGAUAUUAUUGUUGAGUUUGAUAGGUUGGUUAUUCUGGUAGUAAUUAUUAAUAUCCUUAACAUAUCUUAACAUACAUCCUUAAUCUUUGGAUAUCAAUUAACCAUAAAAAAUCAGUUGUUUAUUUGGGGCGAAUUAUUGAGAUAAAGUUUAGACAUAUUUUAUAAAUAAUUUAUUUAAAAUUUUUUAAAUCACCCAUUCACACCUCUCUGGGUGUUCCUUACUAGACUUUCAAUUAUUAUUUGAGUGGUAUUUGAGCAAUACCCAUUUUUCAUCAACAAAUUAUUAAUUAUUGACGCUUGACUUUUAAUAAGUGGACAAAAUUUGUCUUUGUACAUAUUUCUUUCAAUAUUAAUCAUUGUUAGUUAGUGGCAACCAUCUACUCAAACCGGUAGGGAGUUCUUCAUAUAUUUAAUGAUUUCUUGAAACAUCAGAAAAUUCUUUCAAUGCUUAGGUUUAUUUUUCACUAAUGGCCAGUGUUAAGGCUAUGGUUAGGUUAGAUUAAGAACAAAGUUAUGUUUCAUAAGUUUCUUUUUGCUUUGAUUUUAGAUAGAGAGGUCCAAAUGUUUCUCUAUGAGUUUGAUGUAAAUUUUUGCGCUUGUUCUAUUAUACCAUAGUUUUAAAUAUCAACUACCUUGUUAGAUUCAUUUUUUUUUCUUUUUUGGCUUCUGUUUCAUAUGGGCCCCAUCUUCUUUAUUGUUGUUUCCACGAUUUUAAUUUCAUUCUUUGUUUCCAUUCCACUUACUGUCGGCAUCUUAUUGUCUACGGUUUUGGUAAGAAUUUUUAAAUUUCCAUAGUAGAGUACGACACUCAUCAUUUGCAUCAUUUUUAUUAUACUUCUAUAAGAUAAGAGGAGAAUGAUUGGUCAUUUUCAAGGAAAGGUUUUAUUUUAAGUCUUUGUACUUAUGCUAUCUCUUGUUAUUCAUGCAUCUCGAAUUUAGUACAUUAAUGCCACUGAUUCGUCCCUAGCAGCGGCAGUGGCAAUGGCACCAUUUGAUUCGGGGUUCGAUCCCCAGCAACGGCGCCAUUUGAUUCGUCCCUAGUAGCGGCAGUGGCAAUGGCACCAUUUGAUUCGGGGUUUGAUCCCCGGCAACGGCGCCAUUUGAUUCGUCCCUAGCAGCGGCAGUGGCAAUGACACCAUUUGAUUCGGGGUUCGAUCCCCGGCAACGGCGCCAUUUGAUUCGUGCCCAAUUGGUGUCUCAGCUGAUUCGUGUCCAGCUGGUGCUCCUUGAUUGAGGGAGUAAUCAACAAAAUUUAUAACCUAUUACACCAUAUACUAGGGUAGCAAAGACAAAGCUACUAUAGAAUAGUGGCUCUAGGAUCGUUCACUGGGAUGGGUUUUCACUUUGCAAAUGAUAUUAAUUCAAAGCUGAAUUGGUGUCUUUUCAUUUUAAGGUUAGCUUUAAAAGAAAACAUAAAGAUGUUUGAAUGAAAAAGGUUUAGAUUUAAACUAACCAAAAAUAGUAACUGAUUUUACUUACAAAGAAAAAUGUUUCUUGGAGUUUAGAUCACUAGGCUCAGGUUCCUCAUACAAAAAGGAGAGUUCCGGUCACUUGUUUCUUUUCCUCGCAUUAGAGAAUUAACAUAUAGUUCAUUCUCCAACCGGUGUUGUACAGAUGCUUCCCAUUAAUGGGUUCAAACACUAAAUCCCUCUCACUGAUGCAUCUUGCAAUGACUCAUACCUCUCACCUAGCACUUGCCAUUCAAGGUGAUCUUUAACCUUGGAUUACCCAUCAAAAGCUCGCAAGAGAUAACUAAUGGAUGUCUCCUUGGAGUCCAAAAGCUUACCAAGUGUUGGCUAUUCUAGAAAAUCCUACCUUCAAGUCACCUCCCAUAAGCUCGCAAGAGAUAAACUAGUGAAUCUCCAUGGACGGAGAUCACUUUCCUUACCAAGUGUUGGCCCAAGUGACUUCAAGGCGUUUUAAGUUAACUAAAAAGAUAAAAACCAUUAACGGGUCACACUUUCUCUUCAUUAAAAACUAAAACAACAAAACUUCCAAUUUAUGCAUGUGGAAACUUACCCGGCUUUCCUCACUCCAAGAGACAAAGAGCCUAGCCUCUCAUCCUCUGAGGAAAAAUCCUCAGAGUUUGGUUGGCUAGAAAUAAAAAGAAAUGAAAAAUGAAAGAGAAGGAAAAACAGAGCAAGGCUCUGUAUAUUCUAUAUAUUGAUCGAUAUUACAUAUAUGAUUCUCUUACAGUGGAUGCAAGGGAAUAUAUAUAGAGACGUUUUUCCAACCUUCCUAACUAAGAAAUCUUAUGGUUGGUGGAUUACAAGGAGAAGAAUGGAAAUUCAUACAAAAAUAUCUGAAGAAAAAUAUCCCAAAGUGUCGGUCACAAAUAUCGGGGUACUUCAGGAACCAUUUCGCAAGAGAAAAUGGUGUCUGCGAGAUUUCGCAGGUACUCAAGAAGGGCUGCGAAAUCACUUCGCAGCAACAAGCUAUCCUCGCAGGGCUGCGAAGUUGGCUUCCACCUUGAGGUUCUCAGCUUCCAGCUUGCGGCAUAUAUAGGGUAACUUCAGGAGGAAAUCCACAACACUGUGCAAAAAGGCUGCGAAAUUCUCGCAACAAAAGGCUGAUUUCGCAACACUUUGCAAAUUUCUUCCUUCAACUUAGAGUGAUCGACUUGCAGUGGCUGUAACUUCUUCAUUUCAACUCCAAAUUGCGCACCGUUUAAAGCAUUGGAUUCUUGACUUCCUGAGAUUUGAAAUGGUAUAUAUUAUGUAGAAAUUGGACUUCAAGAAGUGCUCCAAAAGUGGCUGACAUGACUGUCAUCAAGAAUGCUUCAUGGCAGAUUUCUCUUUGCUUUCCCUCCUUGCAUUCCGGAUUUGCUUAUGGCAAAGGACUUCAAAGCUUUGGUUCUUCAUGAAUUUGAGCUUCCAAAAGCUUUGCCAUAACUUGUCCAAGUAGCUCCUCCAUCAUUUGGCAUGCUUGAAUUGAUUCAUAAGCUGAUAAAAACAUGUAAACUUGCCACAAAAUGGUUAAAACCAAUUACUAAGGAUCUUAAUGAAUUAAUUGGGUUAAAUGAAUAUGAUUACUACUCAAAGGUGCUUAAAACCAUUAUAAUUAGGUCUACAAAAUAGCACUUUUUGGUAGUAAUCAGCCACUUUAUUUUCAUUUCACAAAAUGUAUAUAGGAAAAAAAAAUAGAAAAUAAGAAAACAUACUUAGCAAGAUUGAAGGAACAGUCAAGGUAAAUUGCCUUAACGGAACAAAACUGAUAUGAGAAGAAAAUCGAGUCCUCAAUAUUAUGCCCACUAGGAAGGUGGCACAAUUCUCAACUAAUUAGUGUUAAGAAUGGAUGUGUAAAGUGGAACAAGAUGUGAUAUUUAUUAAAGGUUAAAGAUAAGUGGGUUUUGUAUUAAGAUAGAUAGUAUUUAUAAUAUCUAAAAUUAUUCUCAAUCAUUAAGAUAUAUUAAUUUAAUUUAUAUUUAUUUUCCUGCUUUGGUUAAUUAUAUGGUUAAAAUCUAUAAAAACAAAUACAUUUAGACUAUUGAGAACGUAAAUAAUUUUGAUGAGUUAAAUUGAAAAAUAAUUAAGUUGCCAAAAUUCUCCAUUGUACAUACAAAUAUAACUAUUUUGUGAACCAUAUGUUGUUAUUUUCAUAGUCUAUUUAAUUGGACAUAGGUUCACCAUUGCUUGGCUAUCAUUGCAACCAUGAAAUCAUACCUCAACAUUCAAUACUACAAAUGAGAAUAUUUUCAUUUUCAAGGAAUCAUACCUCAACAUAGGAGAAUGAUUGCUCAUUUUCAAGGAACGAUUUUAUUUUUAGUCUUUAUACUUAUGUUGUCUCUCUUUAUUCAUGCGUCUUGAAUUUAAUACAUUAAUGCCACUUUAUUUUCAAUUUACAAAAUGCGUAUAGGAAAAAAAAAAUAGAAAAUAAGAAAACAUACUUAGCAAGCUUGAAGGAACAGUCAAGGUAGAUUGCCUUAACAGAACGAAAUCAUAUGAGAAGAAAAUUGAGUUCUUAAUAUUAUGCCUAGUAGGAAGGUGGCACAAUUUUCAACUAAUUAGUGUCAAUGUUGAAUAUGUAAAGUGGAACAAGAUGUGAUGCUUACUAAAGGUUAAAGAUAAGUGGGUUUUGUAUUAAGAUAGAUACUAUAAUAUCUAAAAUCAUUCUCAAUCAUUAAGAUAUAUUAAUUUAAUUUAUAUUUAUUUUCCUACUUCGGUUAAUUAUAUGGUAAAAAUCUAUAAAAGCAAGUACAUUUAGACUAUUGGGAACAUAAAUAAUUUUGAUGAGUUAAAUUGAAUAAUAAUUAAGUUGCCAAAAUUCUCCGUUGUACAUACAAACACAACUAUUUAGUGAACCAUAUGUUGUUAUUUUCAUAGUCUAUGUAAAUGGACAUAGGUUCACCAUUGCUUAGCUCUCAUUACAACCAUGAAAUCAUACCUCAACAUUCAAUACUACAAAUGAGCAUUUUCUCAGCCUCGAAUUCAAGCAACACCAAGCCAUGGAUUGGGCCUUAAUCUAACCAUAGAGUAAACCCUUCUUGUGUUGUUUCAUUGCCUAUGGUGGUGUGCACUGAAGGCCCCUCCCAUAGGUGCUUAGAAGCACAUUAUCUUAAUUUCUUUUUCAUAUCUUUGAUCAUACAUUAGGCUAGUUUCUUAAGUUGGAGUGUGAGACUGUUUGGUGCUAAAAUACUUUAUUUUGAUGUUAAAAAAAAAAAAAAAGGUAGAGCUAUUGAUAGCUUCAAUAAACAUAAAACAUCUUGUUUUUAGUUAUGUAAAAAAAAAUUAAAUUAUUCCAAUUUUAUUAAACAUGAAUCAUCUUACACACAAUACUAAAAUAAGGUAUUUUUCUGGAAAAAAAAAAAAAGGAUUCCUUGUGUGUGAAAACUCUUUCCAAAGAGAGAAACCCUUUAGAAAAAAAUAUUAAAAUUCAAGUAAAAUCUCUUAAUGAGUGGAUGCAAUUUGGCGUUACGUUGUAAAAAACCAAUCACACAUAUUACUUGAGAAUAGUAGUCCCAUUCUAUAUAAUGGUAGCUAGGGUGGAACCCACUCUUUUUAAAAACCUAAUACACAUUGAUUCAUUGAACCUUAGCCUUCAAAUAUAUAAACAACGAUAAGGCUCAAGUUGGCAUAGGUGUUCGAGGAUUACUAUAAAAAAUGACUCUAUUCUUGUAUUAAACAUAAAUAUAUGAUUAUGCUUGUAACAUUGUGUUGACAAUAUUAACACAUAGAAAGUGCUUAUAUAUAUGCAAUAUCGUUUGGAUCCAAUAUUUGGAUAAUAUUGGGUAACAUAUGAGUGUGUAAAAAGUCAUUAUAUAUACAAAUUUACAUUAUUUUAUAAAAAUCACCUGAAUUUGUCAUCUUAGAUUGUUCAUGGCACCUUCUCAUGGGACAUCUUUCGUACUCAAAUGCUUUAUACUCCUUUGUGAACUGCUAGAGGGAGUAUGAAUGAUAUGUCUAUAUUAUAAUUAUGUUUGACUAGAAUUGAUAAUCAAUAGCAAUAUAGCAUCUUUGCUCUACUAUUGGUUCACUUGUUUUAUGAAGGAAAAUACUAUAUGAUCCAGUUUUUCAAACAAUGUCAUUUACAUCUAACAACUGUCAACAAUUAUAAACAUUUAGCAACCGUUGGUGACAUCAUCAUUGGUAAUCUGGUUCUUUAGUAGGCUAGGGUUAAUGAUUUUUUACAUGUAAAUUUUCUAAAAUAAGAAAAUUGUUGGCAAAAUUUUAUGUUGAUUUAUUUAUACUCUAUUGUCUUUAAUAUGCCCUUUGAUUCUUCAUAUCAAGACACAAACACCCUUUUAAACAAUUUAAUGUUUGAUUUUGGAUCAAAAAAUUGGGGUUUCAUAAAAACCAUUAGAUAAUAAAUUCUUCCAAUGAAAAAAAUCUUAAAACCAUUAAUUUCUUCAAGAAAUCUUCUUAUAUUCUUUAAUUGUUCAAGAGAUCCAAGUAUUCAUCUUUUCAUGAAAUCUUGAAUCUUUAAGGAAUUUCAUUAAUAACUGUAAAAAUUUUCAUUAGUGUUCAAUGUUUGCUUUGAAAUGAGAGAGAACCCUCUACUUGUUGGGUUGGAUUUUUUUUUUUUUUUUUUGGCUUCUUUUGAAGAACAUAAACUAUUUUUUAAAAGGUUGAAUUUCACCACACUUUACUGAUUGUUUUCUAAAGAAUAAAUAAACAAUACAUACUUUCUUUACACAGAAAAUGGAAUAUUACACAGAAUAGGUAAGUAAGAUUUCCUUCCAGCCUUGAUUUUCCACAUUACAAAUAUGGAGAGGCAGAUUGCGUUAUCAGCUGGCUGAUUUUCCACAGUACAAAUAUGGAGAGGAAGAUUGCGUUAUCAGUUGGCUAUGGAGAGACAGAUUGCGUUAUCAGCAGCAGCUGGCUGAGUUGGAGUUUCCUUUAUCAGCCCCCCGCAAGCUAGUGAGUGGUAACUUGUGCACUCCUAGCUUGAAUCGAAAUAAUUGGAAUGAAGUCUUAGGGAGUGCCUUUGUGAAUUUAUCAGCUACUUGUAAGGACGAUGGAAGGAAACGAGUAAUCAAAACUCCUCUUGCAACUUUUUCCCGAACAAAAUGAUAGUCCAACUCAAUAUGCUUGGAACGUGCAUGGAAAAUAGGAUUUACUGUCAUGUGAAGGGCACUGAGAUUAUCGCAUAGCAAUUGAGGAGGUUCACGUAGUUGAAUGCCAAUAUCACGGAGAAGGAAAGUAAGCCAAGUUAUUUCUGCGGCACUGGAUGCAAGGGAUCGAUAUUCGGCCUCAGCGCUUGAUCUAGAAACUGUAGGUUGUCGCUUUGAGGACCAUGAGAUACAAUUGGCUCCCAGAAAAAUACAAUACCCAGAUGUGCUUCUUCUUGUGUUUGUGCAUCCCGCCCAAUCAGCAUCACAAAAACCAGUGAGACGAAGAGAACUUUGCUUGAAAAACCUAAUUCCAUGCUCCAUUGUUCCUUUCAAAUAUCUAAGAAUGCGUUUGACAGCUCGCAAGUCAGCUUUAGUGGGUGCUUGGAAAUGUUGGCAAGCCUUGUUUACUGCAUGCACAAUAUCAGGCCUUGUGAAAGUUAAAUAUUGAAAGGAUCCAACAAGUUGCCUAUAUUGUGUAGGAUCAAUAGGUUGUUCAUCAAAAGAUGUGAUGAUGGACUUAAGAGCCAUGGGUGUGUUGAUAGGAGUACACUCCAUCAUUUUUGUGUGCUCUAGGAGAUCUCUAAUGUACUUUAUUUGAGAAACUAACAACCCAUUAGGAAGAUAUUUAACCUCCAAUCCCAAAAAAUAAUGCAAAGAUCCUAAGUCCUUGAGAGAAAAUUCACUACUCAGGGUGCUGAUGAGGUCACUAAUGAUGUUGUUAUCAUUGCCUGUGACUAUAAUAUCAUCAACAUAGAUAAGUAGCAAAACAAUAGACUGACCUUUGCGAAGAAUAAAUAGAGACGAGUCUGCUUUACCACAACAAAACCCCAGAUGAAGAAGACAUUGGGAUAGUCUAUCAAACCAGGCCCUUGGAGCUUGCUUAAGGCCAUAAAGAGAGCGAUUCAAUUUGCAGACAUGAUUCGGAAGGUCCUCAUUUAUAAAUCCUGGAGGUUGUUCCAUGAAUACUUCUUCCUUUAGAAACCCAUGUAGAAAGGCAUUCUUAACAUCCAAUUGCCUCAUUUUCCACCCCAAGGUUACUGCUAGUGAAAAGAUCAUUCUGAUUGUAGUAUGCUUUAUAACUGGACUGAAGGUCUCUCCAAAGUCCAAACCCGGUAUUUGAGAAAAACCUCGAGCAACUAAUCGUGCUUUGUAUCUAUCUAUGGUUCCAUCUUCCUUCAGCUUUGUUUUAAACACCCAUUUAGAACCCACAAUAUUUGUAGUUGGAGGCCUAGGAACCAAAUCCCAUGUUCGAUUUUGGAUUAAAGCCUUGAUUUCCUCUUGCAUUGCUUUGAGCCAAUGGGGAAUUUUCAAUGCUGUACGAUAUUUUUUUGGCUCACUAAUAUCACUUCUUGUGGCAGCAAAAGUAACCAUUUGAGAUUUUAAACUGGGAUCAUUCUUGAGUUUACUUCUGGUGAUCAUAUGAGUUCCUUUGUUAUCUGUGUGUUGGCCUUGAGGAGGAGAGAUGUCAACAACAAUUUGCUUGCUACUAUCAGGAACUUCAUCAUCAGCACUAUAACUAGUUGAUUUGUUUUGCAGAGAUGGAUCUACAUGCUCAUUUUUCUGCCAUUUUUGAGGAAAAGAUAGAUCAACUACUAGGUGCUUACUGAUAUCAGGAAAAUUACUAACCUUGGCAGGCUUGUAGCUAUUAGUAGACUCAAUCUGGGAGAGUGUUCCAGUAGUAGUAGCAGUGUGGGAAUUGUGGUCACUGGCACCAAGAGCAACAUCAGUGGGAGUUUCAGUAGUAACGACAGUAUUAUGGUCAUUUUUACUAGCAGCAACAGUGGAAAUUUCGGUAGCAACAGCAGUGGGAGUUCCAGUCGAAUUAACACAUGAUGCUUCUGUAUUUUGGUUAGUAUUGCAACGAGCAGAAAUUCUUCCUUCAACACUGAACUGGUUUCUUUGCUCAGUAGUGCAUGGGCAAUGGCUGCACUUCUUAGAGUUGCUUGAUUGGUUAGCAGUGUUCUCCUUCCAAGACUUAGUUUGGUGAUCUAUUUUUGAAGUCUCACAAGAAGCAUCUGAAGUUGAGAAUGAUACCAUUUCUAUAGGAAUCUAUAAAUGAUUUUCCUUAACAAGAGAGUUAUCAUAAGGAAAACAAUUUUCAUUGAAAAUGACAUGACGAGAUAUGUAAACUCUUUUAGUUGAAGGAUGCAAGCAUCUAUAACCCUUGUGUAGAGAGCUAUAUCCAAUAAAAACACAUGGAUAUGUCUUAGGUGAGAAUUUAUUCUUCCCGUAGUCUCUAAGGUAUGGAAAACAUUGACAGCCAAAAAUUCUUAAGCUCCUAUACUCUGGAUAUUGUUUGAAAAGCAUAAAGAAUGGACUUUCCAUUUUCAACACCGUGGAAGGCAGCCGAUUAAUGAGAUAUACGGCAGUAAGGAAUGCAUCUACCCAUAGACUCAAUGGUAGUUUGGCAUUGAAAAGCAUUGUUAGACCCAUUUCAACAAUGUGUCUAUGCUUUCUCUCUGCAACCCCAUUUUGUUCUGGAGUUCGUGGACAUGAGACUUGUUGCAAAAUUCCACACUUGCUCAAGUGAUUUUGAAAUUUAAUUGAUUGAAACUCACCUCCACCAUCACUUUGGAAGAUUUUUAUCCGUCUUUCAAGUUGAUUCUCAACCAGAAUUUGAAACUUCAAAAAACAUUCAAAGAAAUCUGAUUUUCUUCUCAAGGGAUAAAGCCAUGUAUAGCGAGUAUGAUCAUCAAUAAAGACAGCAUAAUACUUGUAUCCUUGAGUUGAAUUAUUUGGUGCAGGUCCCCAUAAGUCACAAUGAAUUUUGUCAAGAGGAUUGCUAGAAAUUUUAUUUCUUAAGCCAAAAGGAAGUUUACAGCUUUUUCCUAACUGACAACUAACACAUACCGUUGCUGAUUUCAUCCAACUGGAUACCUCAAUGAAUUUCUUAUCUUGCAGAAGCUUUAUAGAUUUUGUUUGCGGAUGCCCCAUGCAUUGAUGCCACACUUCUGAUGAUGCCUUGCUAGACCUAGUAACAGUCAUGGCUUGAAUCACAUUUUCCUCCAAUGCAUAGAGACCUUCCUUCUUAGUUCCUCUGGCUAGCACUUGCUGAAGUUGAUCCUUAAUGACAAAACCAGUUGAUGAGAAUUCUAUGGAGCAUGCGUUAUCAGAGGUAAGUUGUCCAAUGGAUAACAAAUUUUUCUUAAUUUCUGGAACAACCAAUAAUUUUUUAAGCUUUAGAUCUCUAUGUUUAGUUUUUAGUCUGGCUUCACCAAUAUGUGAGAUUCUUAAAGCUUCUCCAUUUCCAACAAAAAUUGCAUCAUGCCCUUUAUAUGGAAUUACUUGGGACAUCUUACCUGGGUCAUUUGUUAUAUGGGCUGUUGCUCCAGAGUCCACAUAAAAAUUAGGAUCCUUUUCUUCUUCAUGUAGAGCCAUAGCAGCCAAAGCUUGAGGAAUCUCUUCUGAUUGAUACGAAUAGUCAAAUCUGUUCCAGCAAUCCAAAGCUGAAUGGUUAGUUUUACUACAAAUUUGACAAAUAAGAGUACCUUCAGAUUUUUGAAGUUUCUGUUGUGGUGGAAACUGGUUGUUGAAGCUAUUUCUUGGAUUUCUGGUGCUGAUCUAUUGUGGUGGAAACUGGUUGUUGAAGCUAUUUCUUGGAUUUCUGGUGCUGGAAUGAACAUUCUGCCUUUGGUCACUGGUAGCAUUGUUAUUGAAUCGUCCUGCUGGAGUGAAGCCACGACCUUUAGAAAGAAAUCUUCCUCCUCGAUUUCUUCCUCUUCCUCGUUGGGUAAAAUAGGCUUGUUCAUGGUUUAUUGACUCCUUGUUCUCUUCAUUUUCUAUCAUAAUCAUUUGUUCAUGCCCUUGUAGAGCCAGAACAAAUUGAUUGUAAGAAGGAUACGGUGGCUUUGAUAACAUGGCCACUCGAAAAUCCAUGUAUUUAGUUCCGAGACCUUGAGCUAGUUGAAAAACUUUGUCUAGGUCACUUACUGGUUUUCUAACUGCAGCUAAUGCAUCACAAAUGCCUUUAAACUCCCUUAGAUAUUCAUCAAGGGACCUUGUGCCUUUCUUUACCCCUCGGAGUCUGUUGGUCAAUUGUACUUCCUUCUCUUUCGUCAUUGGAAGGAGCUUUUCUCCUAGAGAGUUCCAGACAUCAUAGGCAGUCUCUGUUCCAUCCAACAAAAGCAUCACUUCUUUUGUCAUGAGUCCAAGAAGCCAGGAGGUAAGUAGACCAUCAUUGUGAGACCAUGUCUCGAUUGACUGAUCAUGGGUCUCCUUUGUUUCAGUACCCAUUGUCUCCUCUGAUGCGUGUCUAUUUUCAGAGAGAUGAUGGAUUAAUCCAAGGCUUCGCACAAGAGGAAGAACUUGUGAGCGCCACAAAAGGAGAUUGGACAUAUUCAGUUUGAUGGAGACGAGGCUUGAGCAUUGAUGAAAAGCUUGAAUGCUAAGAACAUUUUCUGGGUUUGCCAUGGAAGCUUUGGAUUGUUUUAGGUUAACCCGCUCUGAUACCAUGAAGAACAGAAACUAUUUUUUGAAAGGUUGAAUUUCACCACACUUUACUGAUUGUUUUCUAAAGAAUAAAUAAACAAUACAUACUUUCUUUACACAGAAAAUGGAAUAUUACACAGAAUAGGUAAGUAAGAUUUCCUUCCAGCCUUGAUUUUCCACAUUACAAAUAUGGAGAGGCAGAUUGCGUUAUUAGCUGGCUGAUUUUCCAUAGUACAAAUAUGGAGAGGAAGAUUGCGUUAUCAGCUGGCUAUGGAGAGGCAGAUUGCGUUAUCAGCUGCAGCUGGCUGAGUUGGAGUUUCCUUUAUCAGAGUUUCCUUUAUCAUCUUUCUCAUAUGGGCUCCAUCUUCUUUAUAGUUGUUUCCAUGAUUUUAGUUUCAUUCUUUGUUUCCAUUUCAUUUGGUGUAAUAAGGAAAGAGGGUAAUUCUUCUACAGUUUGGCAUCAACGACUUGGACAUCCUUAUUCAAAAAUAUUGUCUUUGUUAAAAGAGCAGAAUAUUAUUGAUUUGUCUCAUUGGAUAUCUAAGCCUAAUAUUUGCAUUAGUUGUCAAAUGGGAAAAAGUUGCAAACUUCUUUUCAAAAGCAAUAAUAAAAUCUCCAAGUUUCCCUUUCAAAAAAUUCAUUGUGAUAUUUGGGGACCAACUCCUAUAGCUUCAAACCAAGGUUUUCGAUAUUAUGCCAUUUUUAUUGAUGAUUUUAGCAGAUUCACUUGGUUAUACCCUCUCAAGUGAAAGUCUGAUUUCUUUAGUUGUUUCAUCUAGUUUCAAAAACUUGUUGAAAAAAAAUUGGAUUCAAAAAUUAAGAUUUUCCAAUGUGAUGGAGGAGAAGAGUUCAGUUCAAUUGAAUUUAUUAACCAUGUUCAAUGUUGUGGCAUUGAACUCCAUGCGUCUUGUCCAGGAACUACUCAACAAAACGGUGUAGCAGAACGAAAACAUCAACAUAUAGGUGAAAUUGGGCUUACAAUGUCAUUUCAUGCUAAUAUGCCCUAUCUUUAUGGGUAGAAGGCUUUUUCCACGGCUGUGUUUGAUUAAUCAUUUACCAUCUUUAGUCUUGCAGAAUGAAAGCUCAUAUAAAAAACUUUACAAAAGACAUCUAGACUAUAGUGGUUUGCAGGUAUUAGGAUGCCUAUGUUUUCCUUCUCUUCGAAAUCAAGGGGGUUCAAAAUUGGGUUCAAAAUUUGUCAUAAAAACAUAUCCGAAUUUCCAAGUUUGGACGAAUGGAUUGGCAAAAUUGAUGACUCAUACAAAAUCCUUUCAAACAAGGAGAUUUCUAGAAAGGAAAAAUCAACAGCCUUGCCUAUUUCUGACUUUACAAAUUGUUGCGACUUUAAUGCUGAUUCUCCACAAAAUAAUGUUUCAGUCCCGAAUGCUCUAAUCUUUGAAAGUCAAGCAAAUCAAGAUGCAAUAUUUCCAUCAUCUACUCCAGUAGAUUCUCUCCCAAACAUGGAAGGCAUCUCCACACACCUUGACAUCCAUGACGUGAAAUGCUCAGAUUCAAGCUCUCACAUUUCCCUUCAGGAAGCCUUGAAAGAUCCUUGCUGGAUAGCUGCUAUGGAAGAGGAACUUUCUGCCCUCAACACUAAUGAUACUUGAACUUAGUUCCAAGGCCGCCUAGUAUUAAUAUUGUCGGCUCCAACUGGAUUUAUCACAUUAAAACAAAGGAAGAUGGAACCAUAGAUCGCUUCAAGGCUCGUUUGGUUGCAAGGGGAUUCACUCAAAUUUCUAGAGUUGAUUAUGAUGAAACCUUCAGUCCAGUAGUUUGACCAACAACCAUUAGGUUAGUGAUUGCUCUCUCCCUAUCCUUCAAAUGGAAGAUAAGGCAACUUGAUGUUAAAAAUGCAUUCUUGCAUUGUAACCUCAAAGAAAUUGUCUACAUGGAGCAGCCACCAGGGUAUAUUCAUCCAACUAAGAAAGAUCAUGUUUGCUUACUUAAAAAAUCACUCCAUGGAUUGAAAUAGGCACCUCGUGCCUGGUUUGAUAGACUCUCUAAAUAUCUUCUGCACCUUGGAGCACGUGUGAUGCCUCUUUUUUUAUAUAUUACAUCCAUUACUCUCAUUUAUGUAGAUGAUAUUCUCCUUACAAGGAAUAACGAUGAGUUUCUCCAACAUCUAAUCUUCAGGUUGAGUCAUGAGUUUAUAAUCAAGGAUCUCAGAUCAUUGCACUAUUUUCUUGGAAUAGAAAUGAAGCCAUUUCCUAGUGGAGUGUUCUUGUCUCAACACAAAUACACACAAGACAUUCUUCACAAAACAAAAAUGUUGGAGAGUGCUCCCCUUGCUACACCAAUGGCUGUAAAAGACAACUCUUCGAACUCAGAACCCGUUGAUGCUACCCUUUUCCGCAGCAUAGUAGGGGCUCUCCAAUAUCUCACUUUCACAAGACCCAACAUCACCUUUGUAGUAAAUAAAGUGUCUCAAUUCCUUAGCAGCCCCACUUUUAGCUAUUUGAAGGUUGUAAAAUGGAUAUUGCGAUACUUAAAUGGGACACAACAUUUUGGUCUUCGUUAUAUUGCCCAAAGCCCUACCAACCUUUAUGCGUUGAGUGAUGCAGAUUGGGCUAGUUGCACCACAACAAGGAAGUGCAUCACUAGUUUCUGCACAUUCCUUGGUACCAAUUGUAUUUCUUGGUGUGCUAAGAAACAACCCACUAUGUUUCACUCCAGCAUUGAAGCCGAAUAUCGUUCUAUGGCCUCCACCAUAACUGAGAUAACAGGGCUCGCAUUUCUUCUUCAAGAUAUUGGUGUUCCCUUGGCACAACCCCCAUAAUUAUUUUGUGAUAAUAUCAGUGCCCUUUACAUGUCACUUAACCCUUUGUUUCAUUCAAGAUGAAAGCACAUUGAGCUUGACUACCACUUUGUCCGAGAAAAGGUUGCAGUGAUUCAUCUUAUCACACGACACAUCCCUUCAUCAUCUUAGCUCUCUGAUAUCUUCACCAUGCCAUUACCCAAGGCUACCUUUCAGGUGUUCAGGAACAAACUGGGUGUUCAACCUCAACCACACACUAGUUUGAGGGGGCAUGUUAAGAAUCUAGUCAAGAAGAUUCUAAUACAGCUCAAGAGAAUAAAAUCUCCAAGCUCUAGGCUGUAACUCUAGAGAAUAAAGUCACAGAGAAUAAAAUUUCCAAGUUGCAGGCUGCAAAGGAAGGAAAAUAAACAGUGUGUAUAUUAAAACCUGCUAGUCAAUGAAAAUAGCAUCAACUUCAUCCAUUCCUUUCUAAACUUUCUUUAGAAAGCAUAGGUUGUAUCAUUUUUCUUUUCAAGAAAACAACCUUUAACUCCCCAUUGGAUCACUUUGAAAUGAAUUUGAAGGUGAUAUCAAAAUAUUCUACUCAUCUUAAGCUUUUUUAUGUAAUAUUUUGUCAACGUUUUAGGUAAAAUUAAUGAAGAAAAUAUGAUUUUUUUUUUCUCUUGCAAAUAUAAGGAUCCAUCUUAGAAAAGAGUGUUUUUUUACCAUGAACUUCAAGACACCAAAAUUAGAAAACAGGUAGACUAAUGAAAUCCCAAGUCCAAAUGGAGAAGAUUGAUUGCAAUUGGGAGGCCUACAACAAUCAGGAAAGGAUCGCAUGGAACCCACAUACCAAGAAGGCAUAAUAACAAAGUGGAUUGUUAUAGGGCAUGUGUUAGCCAUGCUCAUGUGUACAACCAAUGCGUGAUAGUGCUAUCCUAUGUCCUUUCUUGACACUGACUGCAUGUGAUAUAUCCCCUCAUUUUUCUUUGUAUUUGUUUGAUUUUUUAAAAGUAAAAAGUACACUUCUUUUUUAGUAAGUAGGAAAGCGCUUGGGGUUCAUUGACCAUGGUUUUUAGGACAAAAAAGUUCCAAGAUAUAUAUAUUUUUUUUAUGUGAUGACCUCUCAUAUUUUUCCAUGAUUAUUUAGAUUUUUUUUUAUUUUAUUAAUUUUUAAUUAUUAAAUUUGUGUUUCAAGAAAACAAAAACCACAAGAAAAUUCUUGUCUAAGUUUUUUAGAAUAUUUUUGAGAUUAUUAGAGAACAUUCUAUUCUACAAGAAAUUUUUUAUUAUUUUAUUGUUUUUAGAUUUUUUUUCUCAUGCAUUUUAUUUAAGUGGAUUAUUAUUGUAAUAAUUAUUUUUGAGGCAUGAAAAAUAGAAAAUAAUUUUCUGUGGCAGAUUUUUUUUUCUUUUUUUUUGCAAAUUUUAAUUGCUUAGUAGCUAAGACAUGUCUAGAUCUUGUUUACAAUCCUCGUAACAAGUCUAUAACCAUCAACAUCAAUAUCAAGUUGAGAGUUUCAUCUUUAAAACUGACCACUCUAACCAAAUAUAACUAGUUUAUGCAAAUGAAACUCAAUUUCUCUUAUACCCUACCUUUACCCACUUUUAUAGCCAACAUCAAAAUGAGGUGAUAGAUUUGCCAAAUCUCUCUCCCACUAAUUUUUUCAUAAUUGAAAGCUUCUUUGAUUUUAUUUCCAAGACCUCUUUAAUUAUGAAAACCUUUCUUGUAUGGUCCUCGAUUAGUGGGAGUUUAAAAAAUAAUUCCAUCAUCCCACCAUCCUAACGCCAACACCCCCAUCCCCAAAUCCAACUUGCCUUUUUAAGAACCUUUGAAGAAUCUAAGUCUUAUCCAUGCAAGGAAAGUGCAAUUUUACUUUCAUAGUCAACCAGUUAGUCUUACAAUCCUAGCUUCAUAUGAAAACAACUUGUACAAUUAUUUCCAAAAGAAAAUACAAGUUAGAAGAGAUAUCCUCAUCCCAAAAGGAAGUUCAUCACUUUUAAACUAAAAAUUUCAAAUUUCAAAUAAUUAUGAAAGGAUGACCUCUAAAUAUUCCAGCCCACAAGUCUACCAAAUCUUAAAAAUAAAUGGAAGAUGUUCAUAAUUAUGUCGAGUAAAAUAAAAUCCUUCCUUUAUGUUAUAAAACUUUCUAACCAAUUGCUUAUUUAAAUAAAAAUUUGCUGGAAAAAUUCCAGCCCCCAAGUCUAUCAAAUUGGACAUGGGUUAGCCAUCGAUUAGCUCACAUUGCAACCUUGAAAUCUCCAUUCAUCAGCUCUCAUUGCAACCUUGAAAUCAUACCUCAACUUUCAAUUCCACAAAUUAGCAAAUUCUCAGCCUCAAAUUUAAGCAACUCCCAGCCAUGGAUUUUGCCUUAAACCAGCCACUCAUUAGACUCCUUCUUGGGUUGUUUUGCUGCCCAUGGUGGUGUGCACCCAAGGCCCCUACCAUAGGUGCUUUGAAGCACAUUAUGCUUACUUCUUUUCCAUAUUACAAAUUUCAUUAAACAUGAAACAUCUUGCAUAGCAAACUAAAAUAAGGCUUUUCUAAAAACAAUUUUAUAAUUCCUUGUGUGUGAAAACUCUUUCCAAAAAGAAAGGCCUUAAAAAAAAAUAAAUAAAAUUCAAGUAAAAUCUCUUAAUGAGUCCAAAAAAUGUGGUUUUAAAUUAUAAAAGUCUAAUAUAAAAAUAUAAUUGAAUAUAGUAGUCCCAUUAAUUAUAAUUGUAGCUAGGAUGGGCUUCACACUCUUCUUAAAAAUCUAAUACACAUUGAUUCAUUGAACCCAAGCCUUCAAAUACUUAAAGGCCUAAUACAUAUUGGUUCGUUGAACCCUAGCAGUUAAAUAAUGAUCUAUGAAAUUCCUUCAACAGUCAAAUAAUCAUUUAAGAAAUUCUCAAUUCUCUCAUAUGAAGAAGAAGAAGAUUCCAAACAUGAGUCUAUUUUUUAUUAAUAGCAUGCAAAAUUGGAUCAAAGAUUUAGCAUAUGGUAAGCUAAUUCAUGUUUGAUUUGUAUUACUUUGGGAUUUCUUUAACUUUCAAUCAUUUGAAAGUAGAUGAAGUCAUAUUUUUAAAUUUUUAUGGUUCCUCUAUUUUCUUCUUGUUUUUAUUUUGAUAUUUGAUGUUAUUCUAAAUCUAAGACAUUCUUCCUCAUUUUCUUACAUAUUCUUUUAGGUUUCCAUGGUUGAAUACUAGUUAGUAUGCUCUUUGAUGCAUAACAUCUACGGGAUGUAAGUCAAGUGUGAGUUUUGUAUUGAUCCUAAACUUACAUAUACUUUCCAUAAUCUUAUUUCAUAAUUAAUUCUAAAAUGUGAAUUAUAUUGACUCUAAUUUUACACUUACUUCUCCUACUAUUUAUAUUUGAUUGUGAAUUCUAAAAUUCUUUAUUAUUACAACUCUAAAAGAAUUCAUUAAACAAAUAUACCUCACUAUUAUCUUUGGGCUAUUAUUGCUCAUAAGAUAUUGAUCACUAUGUCCUUUUACUAUUGCCAUUUUAAAUGUAAGAUAGAUACUAGUACCAUCUUCAAGUUUUAAAAAGUUGUGCUUAUUUAGAGCAUGACCAUAGUAGGGAGAGUUCCAUCGAUGUAAUCCUCAACCCGAUUGACAAUGAUUACAUUCAGAAACUAAUUUUUCUAGAUGAGGUAAUUGCUUUAAUCCAAUUUGAUUGUGAGUGGUUGGCUAAGAGUUGGAAGAGAUUGAUGAAUGAACUGAGUAGGGUAAGAUGUUUUGAAUCAAAAACUGGUUUCUGGAAAAUUUUGUUACAUGUUUGGAAUCUGUGGAGGAAUUUCAAUAUUAGAUGAGGGAUUUGUAGCAUAAGAGGUUCCAAGAGGGGUUGAUGAAGAUGAAUCCAUUUUGGAUUGAAGCAACUUUGAUACCAAAUUGGAUCUGGAAAAGAUAGCACAAAGGAAAAGAAUUCAAAGAGAAGAAAGGAAAAUAGUGUAAAGAGGCUCAAUUCAUUACUGAGCAGAGCAAGAAACAUUCUUUAUAUAAGCAGUUAUGUACACAUAGAGGGAAAUCUCACCCUACAUAGUAAUUAUUUACAAUUACUUACAGUGGUUAAAAAAAUUGAAUAUAUCUCCCCCCACACUUGCAAUGAGAAUAUCAACGACGACAACGAUCAGAGCGGUAUGGUUUCUAUAGCCACAGAUUUGGCAAGGACCACGGGGUCGAUUUCCAUUCCAAUUCGAAGAUUUCUUGUGAUUAUUAUUCUGAGAUGAAGUGGGAAGCAAUGGAACAGAAUUAGACUGACUAGCCCCCAUGUUUGCUUAAGGAAAAUCAGUAGAGCUCUUAAGUAAAAUUNNNNNNNNNNNNNNNNNNNNNNNNNNNNNNNNNNNNNNNNNNNNNNNNNNNNNNNNNNNNNNNNNNNCCCUAUGGGGGAAAUUCCCCCCCCCAAAUAUUAUUUUUUAAAAAUUUUUCCACGGGUUAAAAAAAAAAAAAAUUUGGUUAAAAAAAAAGAAAAUAUUUUCCCCCCCCCCCCCCCCCCCCCCCCCCCCCCCCCCAAAAAAAAAAAGAAUAUAAAAACUUAUGUCAUUCAUCAUCAUUUAAGAAAAAAGCUUAUCAAAUAACCUAUUAGAUAUUUAAACAUAUUGAGGGUUAACAUUGUUCAACUUUAUAUUGACAUAAUUAUUAUUUAUUAAAAAAACAUGAUCAUUUUAAAUACAAAUCAACUUAAAUUAGCUCGGUAUAUUGUUAAACUUAUUACCUAUCAGUUUUAGCUUUUAGGUUAAAUUUGUAGCUUAAUAUGGUAUUAACAAUAACAUUGAGAAUCACCAUUUCCUUCAUUUGAUAUCUCAUAUCUCGUUCACAUGUGAAGGAGAAAUAUUAACUUAAUAUAUAUUAUUGGGAUCCCAUGAGUAGCUUAACAGUUCUUUUAAUCUAUGCUGCAAACUACUAUCCACCACAAGUUGUACAAGCAAUAUAAUAUACUCUUGAUACUUUUAUUACAAUUAAGACUCUACAUUGAUGAAUUUCCUGAUUAAUCUUUGGAUAUCAAUUAACCAUUAAAAUUAUUAUUUGGGAGAAAAUCUUAAGAUAAAGUUUAGACAUAUUUUAUAAAUCCCCCCCCCCCCCCGCUAGGUGUUCCCUAUCAAACUUUCGGUUAUUAUUCGAGUGGUAUUGGAGCAAUACCUAUUUUUCAAUUGGUAUCAGAGCAAGAUAACAAACUGAUUCUUUAUCCUAUUGAUUAAAAAUUCAAUUUAUUAUUUUUUACAUUGUUUAAAAAUCAAAUUUUUAUUAAUCAUAUUAGAUAAAAAUCAAAUUUUUAUUAAUCUUAUUAAAUAAAAAUCAAACUUUUAUUGAUCUUGUAAGUCUGAUAUGGAAUAGUCAAAAAGUGGUGCUCCUUUGAAUAGUCUACUCUAUUAUGAUGGGCGUAAUUACUCCCAUUGGAAAGCAUGAAUGAUGUUUUUCCUCAAAAUGCAAGAUGAAAGAGUAUGAGACACAAUUGAAUAUGGUUAGGGACCAUCAUUAAUUCUUAAUGCUCAAGGAAGAUCAACAGGAGAACUUAAACCUAAACAUGAAAGGACAAAGCCGACACUGAAGGUAGUGAAGCCAAUGCUAGAACUUUAUUUAGUAUUCUUAAUUGAGUUUGUUUAGAUGAGUUUCACAUGAUAGCUGUUAGAGCAACAAUCAGAUAUAGUUUGUUUUAUUUGUAUCUAUCUUAUUGUUGUAACUAUCAUCCUUUAAUCAUGUAAGUAGUUAGCUGAUUUUAUGUUAUUUCAAACUCUGUAAUUUAGCUAAAGCUGCUCUUGUAUUCAUUAUUAACACAACAAUAUAAUACAAACAUUCAUUCUCAUAUUAUCUUUACAUGGUAUCAAAGCCCUCAUUCUAAUUUUUUGAUCAAUCAUGACUUCUUCUCAAAUGAUCCCUUCAAAUUCAAUCUCUUCUUCUACUCAUCAUACCUUCUUUGUCAAGCUUACUUCAAGAAAUUAUCUUGCUUGGAAAACUCAAUUUAAUCCUCUUCUUAAUUACCAAAAUCUGACUGGGUUUGUUGAUGGUUCAACUGUUGCUCCAUCGAAAACAAUUAAAGAUUCUUCUACUCUUCCUACUAAGAUUCCAAAUCCAGAAUAUGAAACAUGGUAUAAAAAGGAUCAUAUGUUUCAUUCCUGGAUCCUUUCUUAUCUUUCAGAAGAGAUAUUUCCUUAUGUUAUUGGGUUAUCUUCAUCUUAUGAAGUAUGGCAGGCUCUCUCUCAAGCUUUUGGUUCAAUUUCUCAAAACCGACAACUACAAUUGCACAUUGAACUCCAAGAAUUGAAGAAAAAUGAUCUCUUUGUCUUAGCAUAUUUGCAACGUGCUAAAGCUCUAGCUGAUGAGCUAAAUGUGGCAUGUCGUCCUCUUGCCCUAGCAGAAUUUAAUGCAAUAAUUUAUCGCAAUAUUGGCAGUGACUAUCAUGCCAUUAUCACUGCCUUAAAUCUUCGUUCUGAACCAGUGUCAUUUCAUGAACUCCAUGUUCAACUUAUUGCUCAUGAAAUUUUACUUAAGAGCUCUACUGAUCUUCCUUAAGCAAACAUGGUGGCUAGUCAGUCUAAUUCUGCUCCAUUGCUUCCCACUUCAUCUCAGAAUAAUAAUCACAAGAAAUCUUCGAAUUGGAAUGGAAAUCGACCCCGUGGUCCUUGCCAAAUCUGUGGCUAUAGAAACCAUACCGCUCUGAUCGUUGUCGUCGUUGAUAUUCUCAUUACAACUCUCACAACCAAAAUGCAACUUCUCAUGCUAAUUACUCUUCAGCUGGUCAUUCUCAAAAUAAUUGUGCAAGUUCUCAAGUUCCUGUUGCCAACUACACUCAUGGAGGUUCCACUAUGCCAUGGUAUCCUAACACAACAGUGAACUAUCACAUCACCCCUGAUUUAGCCAAUCUCAGCAUUGCUUAUGAAUAUAACGGACAUGACCAACUCCAUGUUGGUAAUGGACAAUGUUUGCAAAUAACUCAUAUUGGUAUCACAUCCCUUCCUUCAUAUUCUGGUUCUCUCUCUUUAAAAAAUGUUCUUUGUGUUCCUCAAAUUGUCAAAAACUUACUUUCAGUUCAAAAAUUUACCAUUGAUAAUUCCUGCUUCUUUGAAUUUUGGUCCUCUUAUUUUCUUGUCAAGGAUCAAGUGUUCAUGAAAAUCCUCCUGCAGGGCCUAAGUGAAGAUGGAGUGUACACUUUUCGCCCUAAUGUCAAGCAAGCAUUUACACCUGAAGCACCAACCAUGGAUGAAUGGCAUGCUACUUUGGGACAUCCUCAACGGCGUAUCUUGUCUAGUUUAAUCAAGCAAUUUCAUUUACCUUGUUCCAGUAAUUCUAGUUCUCUUUGUUCUUCUUGCAUUUUGGGCAAACAUGCUAGACUAUCUUUAGGAUCAGUUCAACAUAAAAGUACUGCUCCCUUUCAACUUAUUUACUCUGAUGUUUGGGGCCCCGCUCCUUUGUUGUCCAGUCUUGGCCAUCGCUAUGCUCUUAUUUUCAUUGAUGAUUAUUCCCGUUACACAUGGGUUUAUUUGAUUAAAAAUGAAACUGAUGUUUAUUAUGUCUUUCUUCAAUUUGAGCAAUUCAUUCAUCGUCAAUUUAAUCAGAAAAUUUUGGCAUUCCAUUAGGACGGGGGAGGGGAAUACCGAAAACUAAACACCUAUUUUAAACAAGUUGGCAUUGUUCACAGACUUGCAUGUCCUCAUACUCAUGAACAAAAUGGUGUUGUAGAACGGAAAAUUCGCCAUCUUGUUGAUACUAGUCUUGCACUUCUUGCUCAUGCUAAUUUACCACUACGGUAUUGGAAUUAUGCAUUUGAAAUGAGCUGUUCUUCUAUUAAUAAUUUGCCCACUCCAGUUCUUAAUAAUUCUUCCCCAUACUUUGUUUUAUUUCACAAACACUACUCAAAAGCCUUUUGGGUGCACUAUUUUUCCUCUAUUACGUCCAUAUAAUAACCAUAAGUUUGCAUUUCGGAGCACUCCUUGUGUCUAUCUUGGUCCAAGUCCCUCUCACUUGGGUAGUCGUUGUCUUAAUUUAUCAAAUGAUAGGGUCUAUAUUGCUAGGCAUGUUGUUUUUAAUCCUAGCCUCUUUUUGUAUCGUUCUCAUAUUGCAGCAUCUCAAGCUCCAAAGGACUAUUCAAAUUUCCCAUGGCUUCAUAUUAAAAGUGUACCUCCAUCAUCCACGAGUUCUGUUAGAAAUUCAGGUCAGACCUCUACUCCCUCUAAUAUUCCUUUAUUUUCUACCACUGAUCAAUCUUCAAAUAAUUCCUUAUUGUCAACUUAGUCCCCACCUUUGACCACGCCACCCUCCUCUCACUCUUCUAUCCCACAACAAUCACCUUCAUCAGAUUCAACCACUAAUCCUCCACUAUCUCUUAUUGUUGAUCUCACCCAUUAACUAGCUCAACUAAAUGUUGCGUCUUCUACCUCAACCUCUCCUCCUCAAAUUCACCCCACGCAGCUUCGUUCUUCCACCAUGCAAAAACGACAUGCUUGUCUUUCCACCAAAGCUAAAAAUUACCUUAUCACAGAACCACAAACCUUCACUCAAGCCAAACCAUACGCUGAAUGGUGUGAUUCAAUGCAAAGUGAAAUUAAUGCCUUGCUUCAGAAUCACACAUGGGUUCUUGUUCCUUGACCUCCAAUUGCCAAUAUCAUUGGUAGUAAAUGGGUUUAUUGAAUUAAAAGGAAAACUAAUGGGAAGAUAGAUCGAUUUAAGGCUCGGCUCGUUGCGAAGGGUUACUUGCAGCAGCCUGGUAUUGACUACACUGAGACCUUUAGUCCUAUGGUUAAAGCUACUACAAUUUGGACUAUUUUAUCAAUUGCUACUUCUUCACAUUGGUCAAUCCGCCAACUUGAUAUCUCAAAUGCGUUUUUACAUGGUUUUAUUGAUUCAGAUAUUUAUAUGGAGUAGCUCAUUGGCUUUCAAGACUCUUCACAUCCAAACUAUGUGUGUAAGUUCUCUAAGUCGUUGUAUGGUCUCAAACAGGCCCCUAGGGACUGGUUUCACAGACUCACUUCCUUUCUGUAGGACCUUGGUUUUCAAGCUUCAAAGGCUAAUUCUUCUUUUUUUAUUCUUCAUCAAGGUGCUCUUAAAUUCUAUGUUCUAAUUUAUGUGGAUGAUAUCGUCCUUACUUGCUCUGAUUCUACAAAACUGGAUUGGUUUUUAAGUAAGAUCAAAUCAACCUUUCCAGUUCGAGACCUUGGAUCCCUUCAUUUCUUCUUGGGUAUUGAGGCACAAUUUUCGGCUGAUGGUCUUCUCAUCACCCAACAAAAGUACAUUACUGAUUUGGUGGCCAAUUCUAACAUGUCUGACUGCAAGCCUUGUUAUACACCUAUGUCGACCAGCCCUCCACUUUCCAAACUCUUUAGUGAUCCUUCAUAAAAUGCAGAGCAAUAUCGCCAAGUGGUUGGAUCCUUGCAAUACAUUACUCUGACUAGACCUGAUAUCUCAUUCUCGGUCAAUACAUUAUCUCAAUUUAUGCAUCAGCCCACUCAAGAGCAUUGGACAAUAGCUAAGAGGCUGUUGCGUUAUCUUAAGGCUACUGUUGGUUUCGGUUUGUUUUUCUCCAAGCAUUCCACUCUUGAUUUGCAAUGCUUCACUGACAGUGAUUGGGGUGGUUGCCCUAAUGAUCGUUGAUCAACAAAUGGUUAUGCAGUCUAUCUAGGCAAAAAUCUCAUUUCAUGGACUUCGAAGAAAUAACCAACCAUUGCCCGGUCUUCCACCGAGAGUGAAUAUCGUGCUCUUGCUAACUCUACUGCUGAAAUUAUGUGGCUUCGAUCACUUCUCUCUUAACUUGGCUUCUCUUCCUCAAAUCCAACUACAUUGUGGUGUGAUAAUGUGGGAGCUAUUUAUCUAUGUUCGAAUCCUAUCUUUCAUGCCCGAACAAAACAUAUCAAACUUGGCUAUCAUUUCAUUUAAGAACAAGUCCAACAACAAAUCAUUCAGGUUCGUUUUAUUUCUUCAGAUGACUAGAUUGCUGAUAUUCUUACCAAACCACUUGGUCAGCGUCUAUUUGUUAAGCAUCGAGACAAGCUUCAACUUUGUUCUUCUCCACCUUCAGCUUGACGGGGGGUGUUAGAGCAACAACCAGAUAUAGUUUGUUUUAUUUGUAUCUAUCUUAUUGUUGUAACUAUCAUCCUUUAAUCAUGUAAGUAGUUAGCUGAUUUUAUGCUAUUUCAAACUCUAUAAUUCAGCUAUAUAAGCUGCUCUUGUAUUCAUUAUUAACACAACAAUAUAUUACAAACAUUCAUUCUCAUAUUAUCAUUAAAAUAGCAAAUUGUAAACAUGCAAAGGAAUCAUGGGAUAUUCUUCAAGUCACUCAUGAAGGUACAUCUACUGUAAGGAUUUUAAAAUUGCAAAUGCUUACUACUAAGUUUGAGAAUAUUAAGGUGCAUGAAAAUCAAACUUUUUCUUCCUUUUAUUGUAAAUUAAGUGAUAUUGUAAAUUCUUCAUUCAACCUUGGAGAACCUAUUCCUAAUUCUAAGGUAGAAAAUAUUGAGAUCCCUUCUAAAGAGAUUUAGACCUAAAGUAGCUGCCAUAGAGGAGAGUAAGGACAUCGAUUCCAUGAGAGUUGAUGAACUUGUAAGCUCUAUUCAAACAUACGAGAUGACCUUACCUAGUUCCGAAAAGCCUAAAGACUCUACUUUUAAGGCUUUUGAGGAUGAGGUAAACGAUAAUGAAAUGUCAUAUGAUAUAACGAGUGAUGAAUUGACUCAUAUGGCUAGAAGGAUUAAAAGGGUCAUCAAAUUCAAUAAAAGGUUCUAAAAGAACCAAGAAUCUGGAAAAGGAAAAAAACCUAAUGAACAAUCAUCCAAUGGGAAAAGAAAAGGUUCCUCCAAAGGUAAGAAUGUUGAAUGCAUUAACUAUGGAGGUUUGGGACAUUAUGCUCAAGAUUGUCCUAGCCCCAAAGACGCCAAAAAGUCUAUGCAAGGAAAAUGGAGUGAUACUAAUUUUGAAGAGAGUGGUUCCACAACUUUUAAAAUGUAAGGUACGAUCCCAAUGAUUUGUUAGCUUUUAUUGCAUCUGUUGAAUCUAUGCAUGAUAGUGAUUGUAAUAGUGAUAAUGAUGAUGAUGAGUUUACUAAUGAACAAAGGGUUGAAUUCUUGAGUAAUCUUGUUGUUGAGCAUGAAAGACUAAUAAAGAGUUGUAUGAAAAAUAAUGUUGUUUUGAAGCUCAUAAAAAUAAGAUUGAUGUGCUUAAUGCUAAAAAGACUAAUCUACUUGAGAAAGUUAGAUUAAAUAAUAUAAAAGCGUAUAAGUUUCCAACUAAUUUAAUUUUUUUCCUUAUUUCAAUGGAAAAAUCAAACACUAGAAGUUUUUUUUUUUUAUCAUUUUUUCUUUCUUCAAUUUUUUUUUUUUCUAAGAACCAAACAUAAAAUUAUAUAUAUAUAUAUAUAUAUAUAUAUAUAUAUAUAAACACAAACAGACCCAUUUCAAGAGGAUAGAUCGUCUCAAGCCUCUUGAUUACAGAAUAUAUGUGUCAUGCCAAAGACCCCCUCCAAGGACGUGACUAUCAUUUCAAACCUCAAGUUUGAAGAUUCAAAGUGCAAAUGACUCAAAACAAUUAUCUUGUAACUGUAAGAUCACUAAUUACCAAUUCUUAUUUAGAGUAGUAAAAUAUAUUGUAAUCCUCAAAAUUUAACUUAAAAAAACUAACACAUCAAUCACUUUGCUAUUGUCCUAACAACUUCAAACCGAAAUGGUUCAAACAGUAAUUAAUUUCUAACAUUUAAACAUUGUCCAAAGAUAAAGUUUAAACCAAUGGCCUAAUAAUGACAAAUUUCUAGCCUAAUUAUCACUCCUCGCUUGAAUUGAGAGUAUUUGAAAAAAAAUUAUCAAUGGAUGAGAGUGAAAUUAACUCAUAAAAUUAUUGUUCCCAUAAAUAUUUUUAUAUGUUUAACUACAACUCAGUUGCAAUUAGUAUAGAAGGUUUUUCUAAGUUGAGUGGUUAUGCCUCAUGCAAGGUUCUAUUUAUCUAAAUUAUAAAAUUUGAGUCCUAAAAGUUGGUCAAGAUAGACAAACUCCUAUGACACCAAGCCCUUUGUAUAUUUUCUCCCUUGUUCUAAUUUUUUUUAUCUAGUCAAGUGUUUUGAUUGACUAUAGAUGAGAGGAGUUCAAGUUUAAUAUUCUACUAGGUUUGCUUCGUCAGUGUUUAUACAAGAGAGAGCUCUUCUUUUCUCUACACUCACUACAUAAAAAUGCGUACCUUUCUAUAGAGGUGUAUAGGUACAGACACAAACAACUCUCUUUCUUUGUCUCUCUCUCCACGUCUUGAGUAAGACUUUGGAUUUUGGAUGUUAGGUGUAUGCUCAUGUAACAUUCACUACCAUGGGAUUCUUUUUUCACUACGUCAUAAGGGUAUCAUGAGAGUACUAAGAUAUGCCUAGAUCUAGGUCUUUCACUAUUUGUUAAUAUGUUUUUGAGGUUCUACUAUUAUUAUUACUAUUGAGUGUAUUAUGUUUAUAUUUCAACAUUAGCUUUAAAGCACAGGUUGUAUCAUUUUUUUUUCAAGAAAACAACUUUAACUCCCCAUUGGAUCAUUUUUUAAAUGAAUUUGAAGGUGAUAUCAAAAUACUCUACUCAUCUUAAGCUCUUUUUAUGUAAUAUUUUAUCAACAUUUUAGGUAAAAUUAAUAAAUAAAAAAAUAUGGUUUUUUUUUUCUCUUGCUUUAUAAGUAUCCAUCUUAGGAAAUAGUGUUUUUCUAACAUGAACUUCAAGACACCAAAACUAGAAAAUAAGUAGACUAAUGGAAUCCCCGGACCAAAAAGAGGAGAUUGAUUGCAAUUGGGAGGCCUACAACAAUCAGGAAAGCAUCGCAUGGAACCCACAUACCAAGAAGGCAUAACAACGUGGAUUGCUAUAUAUAGGGCAUGCGUUAGCCAUGCUUGUGUGCACAACCAAUGUGUGAUAGUGCUGUAGUAUGUCCUUUCUUGACACCAACUGCAAGUGAUAUAUCCCCAGUUUUUCUUUGUAUUCGAAGAUUUUUUUUUCAAUUUUUGUGUAGCCCACCUUGUAUUUUAAAAGUAAAAAAGUACACUUUUUAUUUUUAUAGUAAGUGGGAAAGCAUUUAGGGUUUAUUGACCAUGUUGUUUGGACAAAAAUGUUUCAAAAUAUUUUUUUUUAUGUGAUGACCUCUCAUAUCUUUCCGUGAUUACUUAGAUUUUUUUUUUUUAUUAAUUUAUUAAUUAUUAAAUUUGUGUUUCAACAAAAAAAAAAAAAAAAAAAAAAUCACAAGAAAAUUGUUGUCUAAGGUGGUGUUUGGUUUUCGUCUGAAUAGAAAAAACCAAAAUAUUUGAUUUUUUUUAUUCAGUUAAAAGUAACCUAUUGAUAUCAACUAAUAUGAUUAAAGUGGACUUAUUACUAAUAAGUUACACAAUUCUCCAUUGGUUGCCUGCUUCCACAAGUUUCACCAUGUUGGGCACUUCUGUUAACAAUGUACUAAUUUUUUUUAAUAUAUUCACAUUUAUCGGAAAACAUAUAUGAUUUGAGACUUUAUGAAAAUAACACAUGUAAUACAAGUUUAUUUAAUAUAAUUGGGCUCAUAUUACAAACAUUCCCUAUAUCAUUUUUUGAAAAUAAAUAUAUUUAGUCUCUAUCCUUUAUUUACAUUCAAGUUCACUCCUUUUGUUAAAUAUUUUUAGGUAUACUUGAUUUUGGGGAUAAGCAUGGGUAUGAAGGGUUCAAAAGCCCCUUUAUUUCUUUAACUAAGAGACUAAUUAAUUAGAUAAUUUUUUGUAUUAAUGGUUCACUUUACUACUACUUUUCAGGACAUUUGUCAUAAUUUAAUAUAUGGAUUUUUGUAUGAAAAGGUAAAUUUCUAGUUAAAACUUGUUUGUUAGCUUAAUUACUACUUCUUGUGUCUAGCCUUCGUACUGCACAUGUCAAAUGAUCGCGGUGCCCUAACCUUUGGCUUUGGGUCAUCACAUCAUUAGCUCACAUUUCCAUGAGAAGGGUUAUGAUAAAUUGACAAUGAUGUUUCAUUUUAACAUUCCUUCAAAUUUUUAGGUUGAUGUUUUUCUUGUUGCACUAAAUCUCAUCAACAAGAUAUAAAGUAAAUAUUUCUCAAAAGGUAUAGCAAACACAAAUUCACGAAGAAGACCUACCCUUUUGUCUUCAAAAGAGAUAUAAAUGCUUGCAUACAUGUUUUUACUUGCAAACACUAAUGCUAUGCAUGGAAAUCCAUAGCUCAGUUCCUUUCCUAAGAAGAUGAAUGGCUCACACCACUGGCCGAAAUAAGCAUUCAACAGCACUCGAGCCUUCAAGCCAAAUACAGUGUCAUAGACUGAUACAUUGCCUACUAUUGAUAUAACACCUAUCACUAGUAAUCUCCACCCUGCUACAUUUAAAUUGUGAACUUUUUUAAAGAGAUCCUAACUUAAAAUCCAUGUAGAUUCUCUUUAAUUUAGAGCAUGGAUUUAAUAAGUCUAACAGGCUCUGCCUCUUUUGUCAUUCUCUUUAGCUCCUGUUCAAACCUUUCCGUGACUGGCGGAGGCAGGCAUAUAGGUAUAACAUUCCCUUCUUCUCCUUUGCUGUUCCUGAACCGCAUACAGAAGCUAAUAUUAGAUAAAGCCCUAGCAAUCCCACCAUAGACUGGCUUUCCCCACCCGAAGUCGAUCUCUCCAAACCCGGCACGUGUGAGAUCUGAAAUAAGAUAGUUCCCCGGCUGCGUAAAUGAGGGACGGCCCUUGAUGACCAUAAGAUCUGCCACUGAUUUCACAUACUCUUGGCUCAUUUCCGCCUUGGCUUUCUUCAGUAACCUUAUCGCAUAUUCCAAUGGGUUUUUACAUAGCAUUCCAGCCUUAGUAAUUGAAGCUGGAUAAACAAAAGCAUUUCCAUAGUAUCCUGGAGGCAGAUCGAAACCGCGCUUGCCUCGCAUAUUGAUUAAGCAUGAAAUGCGAACAACCUCAUCAGGGUCUACUGCAAAUGCAAUUGUGCGGCAUCUCCAUACAUACGCUAUUAGAACCUCAAACGUCGAGCAGGCACCGAGGCUUGCAGGAAGUCGGUUCCUAAGUGCUCUUAUCUCCUUGGGGCCAAAGAAGAAUGAUCGAUGAACCAAAUUAUUUUCGUCCAUGGUCAUUAGUGUGCCCUUGGCGUUGGUUACCUCCUGAUAUUCAUGAUGUAUACGGGUAAUUCGUGGCGGAUUUCGGGCAUUUAACAGCUCUCUUUGCCAUAUGGGCAGCAGAGAUGGCACAGACAGACCUUGAGCCAUCUCGCUUAUGGCGUCGAGGAAUUGGACCAAGCCAGGACCAUCACUCAUUGUGUGGUUUAGGCGCAAUGCAAAUAUAAAUCCUCCACACCUCAAUCGGGUCACCUGCAUUGUACCAAGAUUUCUUUAUCAAUAUAUGUUUUAGCAACAUCCAAUGAUUUGUAAACUUAACAUUUAUUACUUAAUAACUUAAGUUUAUUAAUUUAAAUUGUUAACUUAAAACUUAUUAUCUAAAUAUUAGGUUAUUUGAUAAAAUUUAUUUCAAAUCAUCAAAUUGACAUAUUUACCCUCCUUAAUUUUGAUUAAUAUUUAUUCUAAUUGACUUUAAUUUAUAUUUAUUUUCAUUAAUUUUAAGUAAUAAAUAUAUUUAUAAAACAUUGAUAUUUAUGUUAUUGUAGAUAUCUAAAAAUAACAAUAAAAUAUUUAUUAUAAAAAGUGGUUUCAAAAAGUUAUUUUUAGUAUUCCAAAAAACUAAAUGUUUUGACUUUUUCUAUUCCAUUAAAAAAUUAAAAGAUAAGUAAUAAGUAAAAAAAAAAUUAAAAACAAAUCAUCUAAAAUGCGAAAGUAAAUUACAUUUAACAUUAAGUUAAAUAAAUAAAUAAAACAAAUACCACUUGAGUUAAAUAAGUUAAAUAAGUUCAUUGAUGAUGGAGAAUAUUUACCUGAAUUAAGAUAAGAGGAGAACCAAGAAUUCCCCCGGAGCCAGGGACAUCAUACAGAAGCUCCUCGAAGCAGGGACACAUUGGUUGAAUUGCAUCACCAAGAUUCUCAAGUGUGGAAUCGGCAUCGGCUUCAAUGAACAAGACCCCUUCACCGGUGCAGUCCACCAUGAGUUUUCUAUUAUGCCCUUCAAUCAGCCUGCCUGCAAAUGGGUAGUAGUAUACAAGCGCCUUACCUAGAGCUUCUCUAAUGACCUUUACAGGGUCUUUUCCUUUCAUUAAAGGAUUGUUUGGGUAAAACAUUAUCACAGGAACUUGAAAGCGAAGGCCUUCUUGAUCAUCUAUAUCAGAAAGCUGCUUCACCUCUCGUGGGGUAGGGUUUGUAGGCCGAACAAAUUCUGGAUCAUGCCGUUUAACCGAGAAUACUAGAGGAGACGAUGACGAUGCCAUGUCCUUCCAGGCAAGGAGUUUGUUGAUGGAAUAUAGAAACAAUGAUAAGAGAAAAUUGCAGGAGUUUAUGUGAUGGUUUGCUUUGAGAAGAAGGUAGCUGAUAUUUGUAGUCUAAUGCUGCACUCCAAUAAUGUGGCCGACCAUUUUGCUCAGCCUACGACACGGUUUAGAUAAGGGGUAGAAUUUUAAUCGUGUUUCACGUGUAUUUUUCUCUCCGGGCCCUGGAAGCUCUUAGUGCAUAUUUGUGAAUUUAUCCCCUCAUAUGUUUUUAUUCAAAGAGUAAUCCAUUUUUGGUAUAAAUGUCCUUAACUAUUUCAAGUAUUUACAUUUAAAAGAAAGGAUUAUUUUUAGAAGAAAAAAUAAGGAUAUUUUUAUCAAAAUGAGAUCAAAAAAGGAUAAAUGGUUAGAUUUUCAAAAUUGGGUUCCCAAUGACCCUUUCAAUCAAAUAACUCUCUAGAUAAUACUUAGAAUUUUGGGUGUAUGAUUUUUCGUUAAACAAAGUUCUGAUAUCAUGUUAAAAUAUUAAUUUUCCUAAAAAAUUAAGCUUAUAGAGUUGGGUUCACAAUAUAUAUCAUGCUCUUUUGGUACCUUUUAAACAUGUUUUAAAACUUUUGUUCAAAAUAAUCUCUUUCUCCUUUUUCUAUUCAAAAUUUACGUUCUCAAAUGUAAUUUCAUUACAAUUCUAAAACCACAUCGCAUUUUUAGUGUAAAUUUGAAUAAGAUUAUGAAAUUAUGGUUUUCUUUUUUAUUUUUUUCUUUUUUUUUUUCUUUUUUUUUUUUUUUGUUUUGAGGAAAAGGAUUAGUUUGAACAACAAUUUGAAAAAAAGACUCAAAUGAGCUAUGAGAAAAUGACCAUUUUGACUCAAAAUUCCACGUAGAAAGUAUUUCAUUUACAUAUCUUGGACCACAGAUAUGUGGUCUGUAUUCGAUGAUGUUUGAUACCAUGGACUUUUCAGCAAUCCGUACUAAGAUAUCAACCAUACACCUGCCAUGCAUUAAUUGAUUAAGAAGGGUUCCCAUUCAAAAACCACAAAAAAAUAGAGCGGUUGUUGAUGUUGAGUUAUCAUUUGACUUAAGUUCGAUUAAACUAAUUAACAAUUUCACUUAAAAAGUAAUGGAUGUAUAAUUUACCUUUUUAAUUACAUAGCUCAAAAGUAUUAAAAUAAAUCAAAAUAUUUAACUUUUUUUAUUCAACUAAAAACAAUCAUACUAAUCAUAUUAACAAGUUUGACCUUUUUAAUCAAAUAACUCUUUAGAUAAUACGUAAAAUUUUGGGUGUAUGAUCUUUCGUUAGACCUUUUUAAUCAAAUAACUCAAAUGAGCUAUGAGAAAAUGACCAUUUUGACUCAAAAUUCCACGUGGAAAGUAUUUCAUUUACAUAUCUCGGACCACAGGAUAAGUGGCUGCCUGUGGUCUGUAUUCGAUGAUGUUUGAUAUCAUGGUGUAGGACUUGUCAGCGAUCCGCACCAAGAUAUCAACCAUACACCUGCCAUGCAUUAAUUGAUUAAGAAGGGUUCCCAUUCAAAAACCACAAAAAAUAUAAUCAAGAAAGGUUCCCAUUCAAAAACCACAAAAAAAUAGAGUGGUUGUUGAUGUUGAGUUAUCAUUUGACUUAAGUUAAAAUAGUUUUAAAAUAUUUUUUAAUAUUAGUUACAAAGUUAUUAAUAUUUUAGGUCAUUUUUUAUAUUCAUUUUAUCUUCUUUCUUAUUUUCAUCCAAAAAGUAUUUUUUAAAAUUUAAAUAUUUUUUCUUCAACUUUUCCAUUCUAUUUUUGAAAAAACAAACAUACAUUUUCCAUUGUAUCCAAAUAUAAAAAAUAAAAAAUAAAAAAUCAUUUUCCUUAAAGAAAAAAUCAUUGCAUCCAAACAUACAAACGUACACCUGCCAUGCAUUAAUUGAGUAAGAAGGUUCCCAUUCAAAAACCACAAAAAAUAGAGCGUUUGUUGAUGUUGAGUUAUCAUUUGACAAAACAUGUAUAAGUUGUAUGCCGUGGCCUGAAUCACCUUACUUUCUUAAAAGAACAUGUGAAACAUUCACUUGCAGCACGACCAAACCUGUACUAGUUGUAUGCUGUGGCCUGAAUUACCUUACUUUCUUGAAAGAACAUGUGAAACAUUCACUUGCAGCAUAGUAGUGUAAAGCACGUAAAUUGUCCCCAAUCUAAAAGUAGUAUUAUUCACUGGGAACGUGUUGUUCAUUCGUACAUGUAUAUUUGAAUGGAUCUUCAUAAGAUUUAGUAUGCAAAUUGUCUCUCGUUUUGCACAAGAUUCAAGGAGUUUCUACCAUUCAAUUCCUUUUUUUUCAAAUAUUUUUGUUUUAUGAAUCAACCCAUUAUGAAUAGUAUGAAAAACUUCAAACCAAAUGUUACAACCAAUCCUUAAGUAGUAUUAUUCACGUGGAAUGUGUUGUCUAUGCUAACAUGUGCAAGUGCAUGCAUCUUCAAAAGAUUUAGCAAUUAAAGAAGAAAUAGUCUUUCAUUUUGCACAAAUUUGAGAGAGUUUCUACCAUUUAGUUCAUUUUUAACCAAAUAUUUAAAUCUUUUUGUGAGGAAAAAUGUGAAGAGAAAACAAAAAUAGGGAGAAAAAUUAGAAAAAAAAUAAAUCGAAGUUAAUAAAUUAUUGUUUAUUUUUGUAUAUGCGGCUUUUAUUUUUUAUUUUUGUAUACGCGGCUUCACAUUUUGUAAAGAUUAAAUAAUUUAAAAGCGUAUAAGUUUCCAACUAAUUUAAUUAUAUUUUAUUUUUUCUAUAUUUCAAUGGAAAAAUCAAACACUAGAAGAUUAUUUUUUUUUUUAUCAUUUUUUUUCUUUUUUUUUUCUUUCCUCAACAUUCUUUUAAGAACCAAACAUAAAAUCAAUUAAUUAUACAUAUAUACACACACAAACAAACCCAUUACAAGAGGAUAGAUGAUCUCAAGCCUCUUUAUUAUAGAAUAUGUAUCAUGCCAAAGACCCCUCCAAGGGCAUGACUAUCAUUUCAAACCUCAAGCUCGAAAACUCAAAGGGCAAAUGACUCAAACAAUUAUCUUGUAACUAGAAGAUCACUAAUUACCAAAUUCUUACUCAGAGUAGUAAAAUAUACUAUAAUCCUCAAAAUUUAACUUAAAAAAACUAACACAUCAACCACUUUGCUAUUGUCCUAACAACUUCAAACCGAAAUGAUUCAAACAGUAAUUAAUUUCUAACAUAUAAACACUGUCCAAAAAUAAAGUUUAAACCAAAGCUCUAAUAAAGACAAAUUUGUAGCCUAACUAUCACUCGUCGCUUGAAUUGAAAGUAUUUGAAAAAAAUUAUCAGUGGAAGAGAAUGAGUUCAAACCCAAUAAGAAAUAUUAAUAUAGUUUCAUGGAUAAAACAUUUUCAACUAUGAUUACAAAUAGGAGGCAUAAUGUACAAUUUAUUUAUUUUUUAAAAAACUUUGAAUUCAAACAUGCUAAAACAUCCAAAACUUUUCAACCAAACAUUUUCAUAUUUGUGUAAAUAACAAUUUCAUAUUAAAUCUAAAUGAAAUGCAUUCAAAAUAUUUUUACUCUAAUUAUCAAAUAACAAAUGUUGUUUGAUUAGGUGAGACUUUGUUACCCAAUUAGGCGAAACUUUACAAAUGGGAGGCUACCCUUAAAUUUGUUCUUUUUAAGGUGGAUGAAACCAAACAUUACUAAUACUAAUAACCUCUAACCAAAUCCCUAGAGGAUGGGGUUUAAAACAAUUACAUUUCCCUCCAAGAAAUAUAAAGGUCUAAUAAUUAUAACAUGUUGAUUAAGGCCAAAAAGGUCAAUAAUUAUAACCCAUUUAUUAUGGCAAAAAAUGUCAAUAAUAUAACCCAUUGACUAGAGCCAAAUAAACCAAAGUCAAACACUUUGUUUCAUUUAUUAAAACUUACAAAAACAUUAUAUCUUCAUUUUUUUUAUUAUAAACAAAAGAAAAUGUUCUUACAUAUUUUUCAUGGAAAAUAUCAUUCAUCCAUGCAUAGAAACAAAAAUAAUAUUUUACAUAAUUCAAAAUAACAGAUAAAAAUAAAUUAUUUUCUCUUAGGUUAUGACACCAUGAUCAUUUCACAUGUGAAGUCUGAAGGCUUGACAUGAGAAGUAGUAAUUAAGCUAACAAAAAAGUUUUAGUAGAAAUUUAUCUUUUCAUACAAAAAUCCAUAAAUUAAAUUAUGACAAAUCUCCCAAAAAUUAGUAGUAAAGUAAACCAUUAAUUCAAAAAUAUAUAAUUAUAUUAGUAUCAUAGCUUAAGAAAUAAAGGGGCUUUUGAACCCUUCAUACCCAUGUCACUUAUUCCCAUAGUCAAGUAUACCCAAAAAAAUUUAAUAAAAGUAGUGAACUUGAAAGUUGAAUAAAGGAUAGAGAUCAAAUACAUUUAUUUUUCAAAAAUGAAAUGGGUAAUGUUUGUAAUAUGAGUUCAAUCAUACGAAAUAAACUUGUAUUAUAUGUAUUAUUUUUAUAAAUUCUCAAAUCAUAUAUAUUUUUCGUUAAACAUGUGUAUAUUUAAAAUAAAAAAUAAAAAAAUUGGUCCAUUGUUAACAGAAGUGCCCAACAUAGUGAGACUUAUGAAAGCUAGUAGCCUUAGUUGUUCCUUACAUAUUAGUGGGUGGAACCAACUUAAACCAUUAAGGGAGUUUAUGUCGACUCCUUUGUGGGCUUAAGUGACUUAAGCUCAUCUUGGGCUUGACUCACUUAAUCCAGUCCUCUAGGUAAUAAUUAAUUAAUUAACUUUAUUGGGCUCCAAUUAAUUAAUUAGCACAGUCCAAAAAGACCAUUCAUAAGCUCUUGUACAACCUAAAAUAUUUGCCAAAAUGCUCUUUUGCACACAUAUGAUAAAUAACCCAAUUAUCCUUUAAAUAAUGUGCCAUCAUGGAAUAUGAGAUAGAAUCAACAUUGGGACCAUAGGAAAAUAUUGGAUGCUUUAGAAUCAAAUUUUGAAAUUGACUCAACAUCCCACUAUGAGGAGUCAACUAUAUUCUAGUACUUGAUGAUAUUAAAUCAAGAUACUAAACUCGGGUCUAUGUCCUACUAAUCAUUGUAUGUAAGCUCCCCAUUAACUAGUGUCUAUAAUUUAACAAUGUGAAUAAUAUCAGUCUCUCAAGAUUACCUCUAUAAUCCUUGAGUCUCAAAUCCUCCUAUUAUGUGAUCAACUCGUUAGGAUAGAGCCCCUAAAAGCAUGACAUGAUGUAACAUGGACUUUAUUAAUAUUUAUAUUAUGAUUAUGGUUUUCCUUUCUAUAUUUCAUUUAUGCAUUAUAUAUGUUGAACAUUUAUACCUAACAUCUUUUGCAUUGUACAUAACGGGUGCAUUAGGAGUUGCAUAAAAAUCUAAGUCAUGGAUUCCUUGCAAGUAGAUGAUUUUAUCACAACUGGUUUAUAGACUUAGGUAAUCCAUUUGAGGUGUUAGUAUACCAACUCCUGAUUGGAGGAAUGAUUGUUCUUGAUCAUUAGGAUAAUUUUCCCAUGGGAAGUGCACUAGUGUGUAUGGUUAUACAUUGAAUAUGACCUAUGGCGAAUCAUGACAUUAGCUAUCGGUUAUUCAUAAUUCACUAAGUUACUAUUCUAUAUAGACUCUCAACCUUGAGAGGAUAUUGAUCUUAUGUUGAGGUCAUCAGGAAACUUUGACCUAUAGAUGAUAAGGUGGUUGUAUAUUCCCUAUGAACUGGGUUGUUGUUGAUAGAGGUUGGUAGCAAUAGGUAUUCUCAAUAAAGACUUCAUGAUAUCUCAUAGGGUUGAGAUAGUGUGUCUCCUCGGGUGAUCAUAAGGACACAUGAUCAUGAAAUUUGUGGCUAUAGUAAUUGCUUAAGUAGAAUUUGACAUAUACUCUUGUGAGCUAGAGUAUGUCAAUUGAUUAUAUAAAAUGAGGAUUUGACCUAUAGGUGAGACCCUAAGAUGGUUAUAUAUUCCUUAUGAAUUAGGUUGCUAUUGACAGAGGUUGAUGGCAAUAGGUAUUCUCAAUAAAGAUACCAUGAUAUCUCAUAGGAUUGAGAUAGCAUGUCGCCUUGGGUGAUCAUAAAGACAUGUGAUCAUGAAAUUUAUGGCUAUAGUAAUUCCUUAAGUGGAAUUUGACAUAUAAUCUUGUGAGCUAGAGUACAUUAAUUGAUUACAUAAAAAGAGGAUCUGUAACUCAAGGAUUGGAGAGGUAAUCUUUAGAGGUUGAUAACAUAUAGCUUGUUAGAUUAUGAACACCAAUUCAUGGGGAGACUACAUGCCGUGGAUAGUAGAACACGGACCUGAUUUAUAUCUUAUUGUAAUUUCAUAGGAUACUAGAGUGUAAUGGACUCUUUGUAAUGGGAAGUCAAGUCAAUUUUAGAAUUGGAUUAUAAGGGAGUUAGUAUUUUCCUAUGGGCCCUAGUGGUCCCCAUUCAAAAUAUUGGUUCAUGAACGACACGAUUUUAAGGGUAUGUUUGGGUUUUUUAUUCAUAUAUGCAUAAGGGUGUUUUAAUAAAAAUGCAAGCUUGCUUUGGUAAAUGUAAGGUCUUUUUUGUAAUCCAUAUUUUCUAACUUGAUGUAGUGAUAAACUAUGAUUUCCUAACAUUAGUAAUCUUUUCAUUAGAUAUUUUGUUUGAGUGAGAUUGGGAUUUUAAGUGCUUUCAAAGUAUUAACAUUUUCAUAUUAUUUACAAUGUGAUCAAAAUUGAAUAUGUAAUUAAUAAAAUUUAAAAAUGACUAAGAAAUUUAAAGAAAUAUGUCAAAUUUUCCAUAUGAAUUUUAAUUUAUUAAUUGGCUUGUUAUGACUAUUUUUCUUGCUUAAAAUUAAGUUUAGGAGCUUUAAAUUACUGACUUAUUAUUUUUAUUUUAUUUUUUUGUAUUUUUUCUUUUUCAAUUGUAGGUGAAGAUGCUAAAGCUCCAACACCAACCAAUAGUAGAGGACGUUAUGGCAUAAUUGAAGCAAAAUUUUGUGAGAAAGUGUUGAGGAAAAGAGUAGGAUAUGUCAAGACUCUUGGUUUUGACCCUUAACUAGUUUCAUUAUCUAGAUUCAAACCAUCAUCUUCUCAUCUUGAAGUAGAGUUGCAACAUAGACUAGCUGAGACUUAGCUACUUAUGGAGACUCAGCAAUAACUGCAUGUACUCGGUAGGAGGGAAUUGACUAUCUGGAGGUCCUACUGUAUUUGUAAGAUUAACAACAUCAACAAUAAUUUUUGAAGAGAUCUUAUGUCAUCUAUGAUUAGGCUAAGGGUGCUGAUGAUCCUUUAUGAUAUUCAUAUAAUGGAUCUUUCUUAUCCAUUUGUCCAUGUUGAUGUGGUUAUUCUUUUACUGACACUUUUUCAGACUAAUAUUUUAUUUUUUUAAUUUAGUGUUAUGAUUACUUGUUGGGGUUUUACAUAUAUUGUCAAUGAAGUUAUGUGAUAUUUAUUUUGAAUUUUAUAAGUAGGUUUGAGAGUAAAAUUUUUCUUUACAAUUUUCUAAUCGGAUUUAAAUAGUAUGAAAAAUUGUAUAAUUAUAAUAUAAAAAAUGAAAAUUGUAAAUACAUUUCCUGAUGAAAACAUUUCAUUACUAAAGAUAUAUCCCAAUGAAACUUUUUUGUUGUUGAAGGUUUUCAUACCAUUUACAACAAAUUUAUAAUUUAUUGACAAUAUUUUGGGAGACGAAAUUAUUUUGUUACUAAAAGGUUUUGGAAAUGAAAUAAAUUUGUCACUAUUAAUUAUUGACGAUUUUUGGGACAAAUUUUGGUUGUUUUCAAUGACAACUUCUUAGUUUUACCGAUGAAAUAUUUCAUUGGGAAAAACCUUUAGGGACGCAAAAUUUAUUUUGUUAGGGAAAAUUUUGGGUGAUGAAAUGAUACUUUCGUUGGGAUACUUUUAGCGACGAGUUUAGGGCAAUGAACAUGGCACGAAAUAAUUUUCAUCGGUAAAUGUCUUUACAGACGAAAUUCGAACUUCUAGUGACAAAAUAUUUUAUCAGUAAAAGUCUAUUUUCUUGUAGUGAAGGUUGCACUAGAUUAUAUGAAUGGUCUUUCUAAACUAGGCUAAUUAAUUAAUUAGAGCCCAAUAAGGCUAAUUAAUUAAUUAGGACCUAAGUGGGCUAGAUUAAGUGAUCCAAGCCAAAGUUGGGCUGAAGUCACUUAAACCCAUAGGAAAACAUAUAGAAAUCCCCUUAGGGGUUUAGGGCUUUAGUUUUAUGCUCUUCGCUUUGAGAUUCCAUAGAGAAAUCUUAGCCUCCCUUUCUAAAGAGAAUACUACCUUUCUCUAGUGCUUAGAUCUAUGAGAGAGAGUGAUUAAGCAAAAGGUUGCUUGGUUGGUGAGGCCUGUGAUUCAUUUUAUAGGACUUCAUCAAAUGGAAUUAACCCGAGAAUAUCCAAAUUGAAGGUAUGAUCUCUAUUAUUUCUAUAUCUAUGUUAUCUAUGGUUUUUAUUGCCACGUUUUUCCAUUGCGAUUAAUUCUAAAGAGCCCUGAAAUAGUAGCAUGCACCCUAAAUGAUCUAAGGCUAGGAAUGGAUGUUAGGAUAAAGCCUUUAAAAGCAUGACAUGAUGUAACAGAUUUAGAAUUCAUUAUUUAUUUGAUGAUAUUUCAAGUUCACUUUUAUCUAUCCUAAUUUCAUGCCUUAUACUCUAUGAGCAUUCUACCUUAACAUCUCUUGCAUUGUACAUGACUUGGGUGCAUUAAGAGUUGCAUGGAAAAUCCAAGUCAUGGGGCUCAUUGCAAGUAGAUGAUUUGUUCACAAUCGGUUUGUAAACUUAGGCAAUCUAUUUAAGGUUGUAGUGCAUUGCCAAUUGAAGGGAUGAUUGGUGUUGGCCAUCGGGAUAGGAUUCUCAUGGAGAGUGUACUGGUGUAUACAAUUACACAUUAUACUGGACCUACAGUGAGUCAUGACAUAAGGCUAUUGGAUAGUUCAUAUGUGGACCUCCAUUUUUCACGUGCAUUCUUACUCGAUGACGAGACUCACUUUUUAUUUGUGAAAAUUUGAUUUUUCGAAAAAAAUAUUGGAGUCACCACUUAUUUUAUUUUUUUUAGAAGGAAAACAAAAUAAGAAAUAAAACCUUAAAAAUGACUUUUGAUUUGAAAAAGCAUGUCUUUGAAAACCCAAGUCUAAGCCUAAAGAUCAAGUUACCUAUGGAAAACGUAUGGUGAUAAAUCGUAGCACCCAUCUAAGCCCUAAGGCAUGAAGAUUGAUUGGUUAAUCUAUGAAUACCGAAGAAUAAGAAUCAUGCAUGAUAAUAAAGAAUGUAGGAAAGAUAGAUUCGAAGUGUAACCUCAGCUGCAAGCUGAGUGCUAUUGUGAUGGACAAGGUUAGUGCACAAUGAGAAACAUAAAAUAUCUCAUGUAUAUCUAGGAAUAAAGCUAAAUCAAUCAUUUAUUUCAAUAAACAAGAUGACCAAAAUCAAUUAACAAAGAAGUACAUCAUGUAUAUAGGACCCUACCACUACCCAUUUUAUAUCAGCAUGGAUUAAUUAUAUGAGUUUCAUUAAUUUAGUAGUUAGAAAAUUUAUUUAUUUUAUUAAAAUUGAAAAUUUAUUAAAAAUUAGGGAAAUUAAAAAAAAAAUACUUGCCAAAAUAAAAAUAAAUGGCAGCAAGAAGUUUAUCAAAAUUUGGAUUUUAUCAAAAUAAAUGGCAGCACUCGAGCCUUCAAGUUAAAUACAGUGUCAUAAACUGAUACAUUGCCUACUAUUGAUAUAACACCUAUCACUAGUAAUCUCGACUCUGCUACAUUUAAAUUGCGAACUUUUUUAAAGAGAUCCUAAGCUACAUUUAAAUUCUUAAAAUCCAUGUAGAUUCUCUUAAAUUUAGAGCUUGGAUGUAAUAAGUCUAACAGGCUUUGACUCUUCUGUCAUUCUCUUUAGCUCCUGUUCAAAUCUUUCCAUGAUUGGCGGAGGCAGGCAUAUAGGUAUAACAUUCCCUUCUUCUCCUUUGCUGUUCGUGAACCGCAUACAGAAGCUAAAAAUAGAUAAAACCCUAGCACCCCCACCAUAAACUGGCUUCCCCCACCCGAAGUCAACCUCUCCAAACCCGACACGUGUGAUAUCUGAAACAAGAUAGUUCCCCGGCUGCGUAAAUGAGGGUCGGCCCUUGAUGACCAUAAGAUCUGCCACUGAUUUCAUGUACUCUUGGCUCAUUUCUGCCUUGGCUUUCUUUAAUAACCUUAUCGCAUAUUCCAAUGGGUUUUUACAUAGUAUUCCAGCCUUAGUAAUUGAAGUUGGACACGCAAAAGCAUUUCCAUUGUAUCCUGGAGGCAGAUCAAAACCACGCUUGCCUCGUAUAUUGAUAAAGCAUGAAAUGCGAACAACAUCAGGGUCUACUGCAAAUGUAAUUGUGUGGCAUCUCCAUACAUAUGCUAUUAGAACCUCAAACGUCGAGCAAGCAUCGAGGCUUGUAGGAAGUCGGUUCCUAAGUGCUCUUAUCUCCUUGGGGCCUAAGAAGAAUGAUCGAUGAACCAAAUUAUUUUCGUCCAUGGCCAUUAGUGUUAGAAAUUGAAUAGGAGUAUAAAUGAAACUGGAGAAAAUCAACUUUACUGAAUUGAAUAACAAACUUGGCUAAUAUAUAGCCUUACAGAAAAUAGCCCAUAUCUAGAUAACUCCUAAACGUGCUGAGAAGAUAACCCUCAGCAAAUAACAGAACCCAAAAUAAUAGAUAACUCCUAAACGUGGUGGUAACUAACCACUAAAGAUAAACAUAAAAAACUAACAUUAACCAAUAAGAUAAACAUAACAAAACUAACAUUUCCUCCCUUAAACUGAACACUACAAGUUUCAGUUUACAUUAGUUUUAGAGCAAACUCCCAAUUGUCCUCGCAGCUUGACAAAGGUAUUCAACUUGAGUGGUUUAGUCAUUAUAUCAGCUAACUGCUCUUGUGUAUCGCAAUAUACUAAUUCCACAGAACCAUCCUUUGUAAGGUCUCGAAGAAAAUGAAAACGGACAUCUAUGUGCUUACUUCGACCAUGCAUUACUGGAUUCUUUGAAAGUUUGAUUGCAGAGCUACUGUCACAUUGGAUAACACAUGACCUGCUUUGAUUUUGAUCUAGCUUUCCCAACACCCUUUUUAACCAUAGUGCCUGACAAGCACAUGAAGUUGCUGCAAUGAAUUCUGCUUCUGUGGUAGAUAAACUCACUACUGGUUGCUUUUUUGAUGACCAAGAGAUUGCCCCUGAACUUAAUAAAAAAACAUAACCUGAGGUGCUCUUUCGAUCUUCCAAAUCUCCAGCAUAAUCACUAUCAGUAUAAACAACAAGUUCAUCAUCUCCUCCCUUCCUAUAGAAAAUCCCAAAAUCAAUUGUUCCUCUCAGAUAUCGUAGCACCCUUUUUGCUGCCUGUAAAUGUAGCUUAGUAGGAUUUUCCAUAUACCUACUAAUAAUACUCACUACAAACAUUAGAUCUGGUCGAGUAGCUGUGAGGUACAUGAGACUUCCUACUACUUGUUUGUAGUAAGUCUUAUCUACCUUAACUCCCCCUUCAUCUUUCACAAGCUUACAACCAGGAACAAUAGGAUUAAAAACAGAGUUACUUUUAUCCAUUCCAAAUCUAUUGAGUACCUUUAAAGCAUACUUUUUUUUACUUAUGAAGAUACCAUCAGAUUUUUGCAAGACUUCAAGUCCAAGAAAAUAUCUCAUCUUACCAAGAUCAGUCAUAUCAAACUCAUGCUUCAUGGAAUGUUUAAACUCAGCAAACAUUAAUUCAUCAUUUCUAGUAAAGAUUAGAUCAUCAACAUAUAAACUAACGAUAAGAACUUUACCUUCCUUGUUAGUUUUGAUGAACAAGGUAUGCUCAUAGUCACAUUUUUCAAAAACUUCCUUCAUGAAAUAUGCUUCUAUACGACUGUACCAAGCACGGGGUGCUUGCUUGAGCCCAUAGAGUGCCUUCUUUAACUUAUAAACCUUUUGCUCAUUUCCUUUUUGCACAUAACCACAAGGCUGCUCAACAAAGACUUCUUCAUUCAACUCACCAUGUAAGAAUGCAUAUUUCACAUCUAACUGAUAAAUGGACCACCCUCUUUGAGCUGCAAGUGCAACUACCAACCGAAUCAUUUCCAUACGUGCCACAGGUGCAAAAAUCUCAGUAUAAUCUACCCUAAAACGCUGUGUGUAACCCUUCGCCACAAGUCGAGCUUUGUGCUUUUCUACUUCUCCAUUUUCAUUAAAUUUAGUCUUGUAAACCCACUUUAGUCCAAUUGUUUUUCCUCCCUUAGGUAAAUCUGUCAAUUCCCAUGUGCCAUUUUUCUUGAUCGUUUCCAUUUCUACAUCCAUAGUUGUUCUCCAUUUCUCACUUUUAACAGCUUCUUCAAAAUAAAUUGGAUCGGCAGCUGCAAACAUAGCAAGUUGGACUUCAUGCUCUUCCUCAGAAAGUCCUUCUCCUGUCUCAUAAUCGCUUGUCCAAACAGGUGGUCUUCUAUUUCUUGCGACAUUUGAAUUGGAAGGGUUGUCUCUAUUUUGAAUUAAUAAAUCAGAUGCAGUAACUGCAGCAUCAAAUUCAGCGGCUGUGGCAAUAGCAUUAUUUUCUUCUGUGUCUUCUUCUAUAUCAGCAUCAAGAUUAGAGUCACUUUCUUCUUCAUUCACAGUUGCUUCUUCCCCAUCAUAACCCCAUUCCAGAUCACACACGAUGGCUUCUUCAUACUUCUUAUCCCAAUCCCAAUUCUUGUCUUCUUCAAAUACAACAUCCCUACUGAUUAUGAUCUUUUGUGAAAUUGGGUCAUAGAGUCUGUAAGCCUAUGAUUCUUCACUAACUCCCAGCAAUACACAACUGAAACUUUUAUCAUCAAGCUUUGUUCUUUUAUUGUCAGGCACAUGAACAUGUGAAAUGCAUCCAAAAACUCUAAAAUAGUUAACUGAAGGUUUAAGUUUACCCCAAGCUUCUUCUGGAGUUUUGUUUUGUACUGCAAAGGUUGGACUUCGAUUCAAAACAUACACGGUCCAAUUUACAGCUUCAGGCCAAAAGGUUUUGGGAAGUUUUUUCGCCGAUAACAUACUACGAACCAUAUUCAUAAUGGUUCUAUUUUUAUGUUCCGCAACUCCAUUCUGUUGUGGCGUAUAUGCAGCUGUUAAUUUUCGUCAUAUGCCAUGAACAUCACAAAAAAUUGCAAAUUCCUGGGAUGUGAACUCGCCUCCUCGAUCAGUACGCAAACAUCUAAGAAAUGAACUUGUUUUCUUCUCAACAUAAGUCUUAAAACUUUUGAAAACAGCAAAGGCUUCUGAUUUCUCUACCAAAAAAUAAACCCAUGUUUUUCUACUAAAAUCAUCAGUGAAAGUGAGCAAGUACCUUUUCUUGCUGUUUGAGAUUGGAUUAAUCGGUCCACAAAUGUCUGCAUGCACUAACUGUAGAAUUUCAGCAGCUAGCUAGUUGCUUUUCUUUGGAAUUGAAGACCUGUGUUGUUUUCCCACCAAACAAUCUUUGCAUAGUUUAGAGGGAGGCUGAAAUUGUGGUAAUCCAUUCACCAUCUUCCUUUGUUGAAGAGUCUUUAAACCUUGAAAACUCAAGUGGCCAUAUCGACAAUGCCAAAGCUACAAAAUGUCUUCUGUGACUGUGUUAAAACAAGUAGAUGAGAUAGGCUGGGAUAGAGCAUGUAACAUAAACAUCCGAUUUGAAGACAUUUUGGUAUCCAUAAUCAAACCUUUCUGUGAAUGAAACACCUUACACUUGCCAUGUUGAAACAGAAUGGUAAGCCCUUUUUCUUGUAAUUGUCCAAUACUCAGCAAAUUAUUCUUCAACUCAGGGACAUAAAAGACUCCUGUGAUGAUCUGUGUCAUUUCAUUCACUUUCAGCCUUACAUUUGAUUACUACUCAAAAAGUGCUAUUUCAUAGCUUGUAAUUAAUCCUUUUAAACACUUUUGAGUAGUAUUUAUUGCCUUUUAACUCAAUUAACAUGUUAAGGACCCUUGUAAUCAUUUCUAAUCAAAUUGUGUAAGUUUUGGUGUUUUUGUUAGUAAUUUGAUCACCAAAACAAUCCAAGAUUGAGGAGAGUUAUUUGGAAUCCAUGGCAAAGCAAUGAAAAGCUCAAAUUCAUGAAGAAACCAAGCUUUGGAGCCUCAUAGUCCUUUGCCUUAGUCGUUCAAAGUAUGCAAGGAAAGAGCAAGGAGAAAGGAAAAACAGAGUGAAGAAAACAGAGAAAAGCCAUCUACAGUCUUCUUUUGCACUUUUGGAGCACUUCCCGAAGUCCAUUUUCUACAUUCUAUAUACCAUUUCAAAGCUCAGGAAGUUAAGAAUCCAAUGCUUCAAACGGUGCGCGAUUCGGAGUUCAAACGAAGGAGUUACAGCCAUUGCAAGAAGAUCAAUCCAAAGUGUUGCGAAAUCAGCCUUUUGUUGCGAGAAUUUCGCAGCCUUUUUGUACAGUGCUAUGGAAUUCCUCCUGAAGCUACCCGAUACAUGCCGCAAGCUGGAACGCUGAGAACCUCAAGGUGGAAGCCAAUUUCGCAGCCCUGCGAGUUUAACUUGUUGUUGCGAAAAUAUUUCGCAGCCCUCUUGAGUGUCUGCGAAAUCUCGCAGACACCAUUUUCACCUGCGAAAUGUCCUUAGCGCUUCCCGAUAUUUUUUGCACCGACUCUUUUGGAUAUUUUUCUUCAGAUAUUUUUGUAUAAUUUCCAUUUUCUCCUUGUAUUCAACCACUCAUGUAAUUCCUUAGCUAGAAAAUAUCCAAGGAAGGGUAAAUUACUUUCCUAUAUAAACUCCCUUGCAUCCACUGUAAAAUCAUGAGAUGUGAGAUAUAUGUAAUAUCGAUCAAUAUAUAGAAUAUACAGAGCCUUGCUCUGUUCUUCCUUCUCUUUCAUUUUUCAUUUUCAUUUUCUUUCUAGCCAACCAAACUUUGAGGAUUUUUCCACAGAGGAUGAGAGGCUAGGCUUUUUGUCUCUUAGAGUGAGGAAAGCCGGGUAAGUUUCCACAUGCAUAAUUUGGAAGUUUUGUUGUUUUAGUUUUUAAUGAAGAGUAAGUGUAACCCGUUAAUGGUUUUUAUCUUUUUAGUUAACUUAAAACGCCUUUAAAUCACCUGGGCCAACACUUGGUAAGGCAAGUGAUCUCCGUCCAUGGAGAUGCACUAGUUUACCCCUUGCGAGCCUUUGGGAGGUGACUUGAAGGUAGGAUUUUCUGGAAUUGCCAACACUUGGUAAGCUUUUGGACUCCAAGGAGACAUCCAUUAGUUAUCUCUUGCGAGCUUUUGACGGGUAAUCCAAGGUUAAAGAUCACCUUGAAUGGCAAGUGCUAGGUGAGAGGUAUGAGCCAUUGCAAGUUGCAUCAGUGAGAGGAAUUUAGUGUUUGAACCCAUUAAUGGGAAGCAUCUGUACAACACCGGUUGGAGAAGGAACUAUAUGUUAAUUCUCUAAUGCGAGGAAAAGAAACAAGUGACCGGAACUCCCUUUUUGUAUGAGGAACGAGCCUAGUGAUCUGAACUCCAAGAAACACUUUUCUUUGUAGUUAAAAUCAGUUACUAUUUGUGGUUAGUUUAAAACCAAACCUUUUUUCAAUUAAAGCAUCUUUAUGUUUUCUUUUAAAGCUAACCUUGAAAUGAAAAGGCACCAAUUCAGCUUUGAAUUAAUAUCAUUUGUGAAGUGAAAACCCAUCCCAGUGAACGAUCCUAGAGCCACUAUGCUAUAGUAGCUUUGUCUUUGCUACCCUAGUAUAUGGUGUAAUAGGUUAUAAAUUUUGUUGAUUAAUCCCUCAAUCAAGGAGCACCAGCUGGACACAAAUCAGCUGAGACACCAAUUGGGCACUAAUCAAAUGGCGCCGUUGCCGGGGACCGAACCUCGAAUCAAAUGGUGCCGUUACCACUGCCGCUGCUAGGGACGAAUCAACAUUCCCCUUUCCUAAUACAGACAUGCUCGUGUUAUUCCCAAGUUCACUGAAUCUCGAAAGGUUCCAUUAAAAUAUGAAAAAUAAUCUUUUUUUCCACACAUGAUUGCUGCAUCCAGAAUCAAGAAACCACAUAUCUUCUCGACUGGUUUUGUUUAGAUCCACAUACGCCAUCAACAACAUCUCCUCUUGAUUCUCUGCGUAGUAAGCCCCUGUCUCUCGGUGUGGACAUUCUCAUGCAAAAUGUCCUAGCUUGUGACAAUUAUAGCACUCCACAGUAGCCUUAUCAAAAGAUCUUCUGUUCCGUCCUCUUCCUUUUCCUCUAUAAUUUCCAUGACCACGACCUCUACUUCCGGAGUGAUCUCCAUGAGUAACUUUCAAAGCCUGUUCUUCUUCUAACACAUGAGAGGUCAUGCGUUGUUCAUGGACAAGAAGACUACUCUGCAACUCAUCUAUGGUUAAAGUGUCUAAAUCUUUAGACUCUUCAAUGUAACAAACAACAUAAUCAAAUUUGGAAGUCAUAGAUCGUAAAAUCUUCUCAACAACAGCAGUAUUUCCUUUAUCCUCACCAUUGACUUUCAUUUUGUUGGCAAUGGCAAGAGUGCGAGAGAAAUAUUCAUUCACAGUUUCUCCCGACUUCAUGUGAAGAAUUUCAAAUUCCUUCCUCAAAGCUUGCAAAUUUUCACGCUUCACUCGUGUGGUGCCUUGAAAUUUCUGCUUCAUAGAAUCCCAAAUAUCCUUCGUAGUCUUUUUGUUUAGAAUUGUCUUUAGGAUAGAACGAUCUAAUGCCUGAAAUAGAUAGUUUUUUGCCUUCAAAUCCUUUAACUGCUGAUCUUCAAUGUGCUUCCUCUGUGCAUCUCUGAGAAUAGCAUCUUCAGCCACUGCAGGAACUCCAUUCUCCACAAGUCCCCAAUACUCCUUGGAACGCAAGAAGUUUUCCAUGAGCAUUGCCCAGUGAUCAUAGUAGCCAUCAAAUUUCGUAAUAGCUGGCUGGACAAAUGAACUCUCUGUCGUCAUUGUUCAAAUAGAACACACGUAGAAGACUGCUGCUUCUAAAUAAUCAGGCCCCUAUGAUGGGGCUCUGAUACCAAAUGUUAGAAAUUGAAUAGGAGUAUAGAUGAAACUGGAGAAAAUCCACUUUACUGAAUUGAAUAACAAACUUGGCCAAUAUAUAGCCUUACAGAAAAUAGCCCAUAUCUAGAUAACUCCUAAACGUGCUGAGAAAAUAACCCUCAACAAAUAAUAGAACCCAAAAUAAUAGAUAACUCCUAAACGUGGUGGUAACUAACCACUAAAGGUAAACAUAAAAAACUAACAUUAACCAAUAAGAUAAACAUAACAAAACUAACAAUUAGUGUGCCCUUGGUGUUGUUUACCUCCUCGUAUUCCUGAUGUAUACGGGUUAUUCGUGGCGGACUUCGGGCAUUUAACAGCUCUCUUUGCCAUAUGGGCAGCAAAGAUGGCACAGCCAGACCUUGAGCCAUCUCGCUUAUGGCGUUGAGGAACUGGAUCAAGCCAGGAGCAUCACACAUUGUGUGGUUUAGGCGCAGUGCAAAUAUAAAUCCUCCACACCUCAAUCGGGUCACUUGCAUUGUACCAAGAUCAUCUUUACCAAUAUAUGCAUCACCUCCUCGUUUAUUUUGAUUAAUAUUUAUGCUCAUUAAUUUAACUCGCAUUUAUUUUUAUUAAUUUUAAGUACUAAUAAAUUUAUUUAUAAAACCAUAAAAUAUUUAUUAUAAAAAGUGGGUUAUGGAUGUAGAAUCAUAAUUCUAAAAUAUACUCUCACUAAAAUAAUUAAAAAAAAAAAGCUUUUUAGUAUUCCAAAAUACUAAAUCUUUUGAUUUUUUUUUAUUCGUUAAAAACAAAUCAUCUAAAAUAUGAAAGUAAAUUAUAUUUAGCAUAAAGUUAAAAAUAAAUAAAAAUACUACUUGAAUUAAUACGUAUAAUUAAAAAUAACUUUAAAUUGUAAUAUUAAAUUAUUUCAUCAAAUAUCAUUAAUUCUUAUAAUGAACACAUUGGUUGAAUUGCAUCACCAAGAUUCUCAAGUGUGGUAUCGGCAUCGGCUUCAACGAACGAUCAUGAGUUUUCUAUUAUCGGCAUCGGCUUCUCUAAUGACCUUUACAGUGUCUUUUCCUUUCAUUAAAGGAUUGUUUGGGUAAAACAUUAUCACAGGAACUUGAAAGCGAAGGCCUUUUUGAUCAUCUAUAUCAGAAAGCUGCUUCACCUCUCGUGGGGUAGGGUUUGUAGGCCGAACAAACUCUGGAGCACACCGUUUAACCGAGAAUACUAGAGGAGACGAUGACGAUGCCAUGUCCCUCCAUGCAAGGAGUUUGUUGAUGGAAUAUAGAAACAAUGAUAAGAGAAAAUUGAAGGAGUUUAUGUGAUGGUUUGCUUUGAGAAGAAGGUAACUGAUAUUUAUAGUCUAAUGCUGCACUCCAAUUUGAGAAAAGGGAUUCCUUUGAACAAUAAUUUGAAAAGAAGAGUAAAACGAGCUAUGAGAAGAUGACUCAAAAUUCCAUUCCACGAUAGAAAGUAAUUGAUUCACAUAUCUCUGACCACAGGAUGAGGUGGUUCCGCGUGGAACUCUGUGGUCUGUAUUCGAUGAUGUUUGAUGUCAUGUGUUGUACUUUUCAGCAAUCCGUAACAAGAUAUCAACCAUACACCACCUGCCAUGCAUUAAUUGAUUCAGAAGGGCUCCAAUUCAAAAACUACAUAGAGCGGUUGUGGAUGUUAAGUUGUCAUUUGACUUAAAUUAGAUUAAACUAAUGGAGGAUAAAGAAAUAGGGAACUGUAAACUUGAGAUCAAAGUUUGGAUUCUAGUUAACAAUUUAACUUAUGAAGUAACAAUAUCGGAGAGUUAUCAAUAAAUUCAACUUAAUUAUAUUGUUUGAUAAAUUCAUUUUAAUUAUAAUAAUUGAUAUCAAUAAUUAUUAAUUUAAUAAAAAAAUUAAAUAUUUUAAUUUUUUCUAUUCAGUAAAAAAAACAAACACCACUUAUUUCACAAUUAAUAAUUGAAAUAAGAAAACAUAGAAAAACGAAAAAAAAAAAUGUGAGAGAAAUAAGAUGGUUAAAUGGAUUGACUAAGCUAUUAAAAAAAUAAAACCAUGAAAAAUAGGGUUGUUUAUUAUGAGCUAUUAAUUUGACUAGAAAUUUAAUGAAUGGAUAAUGUCACACUAGCAUAAACUAAUGGACCAAUAAAUAAAUAAAUAAAAGUUUAACUUGUCACCUCUAAUUAAAUUAAGCUUCAAAUCCACCCACUAUGUUAAUGCACCUAAAAUAUCAUCACUAUCCUUUUCUUCUGCACCACACCUUUUUUUUAUCUUCUUUUCUCAUUUUUUUUUCAUAUCUUCAACAAAAGUCUAAAGUCAAAGCUUAUUCUCCCGAGUUUGUUUGUGAUCUAAAAAGUGUUUAAAUUAAGUUCAAAGUACAUUUCAACCUCUUUUUGUAGAUUUUAGUUUAUGUUCAUAACAUUAUAAUAAUGUUUGUUUUAUAUAACUGUAUUUUAAGGGCUAUUAAUUAUUUAUAUAACUAUUAACAAAUAUUUAUUAUAAAAAUAGUAAGGGAAGAUUUAGGAAUUAUUUAGAAAAUAUUUUGAGGUGAUCACGUUUCAAAAAGUAAAAGAAAAAAAAGGUAAGUGUCCAGACUCGAAAGUCCGAACGCUUUUAAUGAUGUUCAAAAUUAUAAAGUCGAACACCUUUAAGGAUAUUUGGAGGUAUAAUUUCAUAUAUUUUAAAAACCAUCCAAUCCUGAAAUUACAUAUAUUUUUAUCGAUUCCUCCAUUUUCAAGUGAUAAAAAAAAUGAAUAUAAUAAUCGAUAAAAAUAGCUGUAAUUUUAUCAAUUUUACAUGCUUUUAAAACAUGUGAUAUUAUACCUUUAGAUAUCCUUAAAAGUGUUCGACUUUGUAAUAUAUAUAUAUACACGCACUUCUAUAUUCCUCCAUUUUCCAGUGCUAAAAAAUGAAAAAAAAAAUUAUAAAGAUGGUAAAUAUGCACUUUUAACAUUAUUAUAGAUUAUUUAUAACAAAUGUUUUAAAAUAUUUAUUAGGAUUACUAAGAGAAUGGAAAGAAAAAAUGGGAGAAGAAAAACAAGAAGAUGAGUAUGCAUUAAUUUGAAAUGGGGUGUUUAGUCUUUCACUAAUGGAUACUUGUAUUAAAAAAAACGAUACGUAAGAAAUUAAAUUAGGUGGAUACAAAUAUAAAUUAAAAAAAGGAAAAAAAGAAAAAAAGAAUCCCGAGAUAUAUGCUGAAAUUAUAACUUGUAAUAAAUGUCAAAAUCACCCUUAUGCUCAUUUUGUUCAAAAGUUUAUAAAGUCAUCUAAUUAUCUAUUUUCCCUAAAUGCAUGUUUGGUACAUAGAAAUGAGAAGAGAAUGAGCAUCUCAUUCUUUUUCUCCUUGGUUCUCAAGUCUGGAUAACUUAAAUUAUGAUAGAAAUGGAAUAAAAAAUAAUUUGGAUGGAAUUGAAAUCCCACAUAGGAUUUCAACUCUAUGCAAUUAUGAGGUAUUUUGAUUCUCUUGCAAGUUAUUUUUAAAAUAUUUUCAAUUUAAAAAAAAAAAAAAAAAACUAAAAACAUUUUUAGAUAAGUUAAUUUUAAUUUUUUUUAAAAAAAAAUUUGUAAAAAAGAAAAUUUUUAAAUUCAAUUUAUACAAUGUAAACUAAAUUUAACUAAUAUCUUAUUAAAAAUAAAAACAAAAUUUUAAUUACAAAUAAAUGAAAAAUUAAUAUUUUUUUAGUAAAAUAUGAAUAUUAAUAAUAUAAUAAAAUCAUAAAUUAUAUAUUUUUAUAAAUGUUAUAAAAAUAUAGAUAUUAAGAUUAAUUGAUUUAUUUUGUUAACAAUAAAUAAUAAUAAUUUAAAAUUAAUAAUUUCUAACACUUUUUAUAUGAUUUUAUAAAUACUAUAAAAUAAAAAUAUUAACAUCUUAUAAAAGCAUAAUUAAUUUAUUUUAUUAGAAAUAAAGAAUAAUUAUUAAAAAUUAAUAAUUGCUAGUACUAUUCUAUUUUAAAUGAAUAUAAAAACAAAUAAAAUUUAAUUUUUUUUAACAUAUUAAUAAGCCAAAUUUUUUUAAUAUAUGCAUACAUUUAUUACUUACUUACCAAGAUAACAUUCUAAAUUAUUUUUAUUUAAUUUAUAAUUAAUUAAUCAAUUUUUUAAUUUCAAAUUAAUAUUAAAAAUUACAAAAUUUAUUAGAGAAUUUAAAGCAGUAGAAAAAAUUGGAAGAACAAAUAUUUAUUUUAUUUUAUUUUUUUAAUUAUCUUUAAAAAACAAAAAUCAAUUAGUAGUAUAAAUUUUUAAAAUAAAUAUGCAAAUAUUAUUGACAAUUUAUUUAUUUCUUCAUUUUUAUUCUCAUUUUAACUUUAUAUUAAAAUACAAUGAAAUUAUCAUUUCAACCUUAUGCUGUCCAUUGGCUUCUGUGUUUGUUUAACGGCCCCCUUAAAAGCCAUGGUCCUUUCCUCCAAGUUGUCUCUUUCAAUGUCACAUAUGUCAAAUACCGAAACUUUUCUCACUUUCUCUAUUUGGUAAAUGAGAAAAACCUUGUCAACUUACUACAAUUCAAAUGUACACAUAUAAAAUUUUAGUUAAUUAAAUUAUUAUUAAAUUCCUCUUUAAAAUUAUGAUUUCUUAAUUCAACAAAAUUCAGGUUUAAUAAGUGAUGAUUCAUAUAUAUUGAACAUAUGACAUACAAUUCAAAAAAGGAUACUUAGUGAAAUAUGAAAAACUGCAAAAUUAAGUCUUACAAAAUAGAAACAAAUAUGUCAAUUGAAGUUUAAAAGAUAAUUAUAAAUAAAUAUUUUCUUAUUGAUAAAUUUCUUGAACAAAUUAAGAGAAACAAAUCUUCUAAUUAAAAUAAAAAGAAUUAAAAAUAAAAAAAUAUUCUCUUGUUAGCAAAUCUCUUUAACAUAGAAGACAAGUUUCUAAAAUCAAAAAGUCAAAUUCUUUGAAUUAAACAAAUUAAAUUUUGAGUCCAAAUUUAAUUCUCUAACUUCACCAAUAAAUAGUAAUGACUUCCUUCAAUGGAGGGGAUCAACAAAACAAUUUCAUACGGGAAAAAAGUAUUCACAAAAAAGAAAAAGAUUUCAUAAAAUUUCUCUAUACAUUCGAGAAAUUAUAAAAGCACUAUACAUGCGAUUUUCGCCUUUCGACAAAAUCAUUUGGGAAUAAGUCACUCAAGCCCUUAAUUGAUUUUCAAAACAAAGAAAACACUUCAUCGUAUUCUAUUAGAUUGUGAUCAAAGUAAAGGAAUGAGAGGAAAAAUAUUCUUUUGUAAAGAAUAUUAUCAAAGAGUUUGAACCCCACAAUUAUUUUAAUAAAAACAAUUGUUAGCAUAUUUUUUCUAUUAUUUUACUUGUUUCUCAAGACUUCACAUAAUUUGUACUUAUAAAUUUAUGCCACACCCGGUGGGACAUCUUUGUCUCUCAUCUCUUUUGCUAAAAAAAUUGAUCAUUAUUAACACUAUGACAUCCAAAAAGAUUCAAAUUGUGCAUGUCAAUAAAGAGUAAUGACAAGAUUGUCAUUACUUAAUCAACACACAGCACUACUACGAGCCUUAUGACUCAUAACAAAUCAAAAUCAACUAUUGUAGUUUCAGCAAAGCAAGCAAGUGAAAAUAUUUGUUUGUUAAGUACAAACGCCAUUAAAUAUGUUAUACAAGUGCCCAAGCAUUGGUCUCACUACCUUUAUCAUCAAUUUGUCCCACUCAAGAUUGGGUUUGCGUUCCUUAGUAGAUCUUCCAUAAACAACUAAAGGAUUGAAAUAGAAUUAUUGAUUAAAAAUAAAUCAUGAAUUUCCAACAAGAAACACCACUAAAGCAUGGCAAAAUGGAAACGACCGCUCAAGCGGACUUAACAAUCGCUCAAGCACUUUGAGCAUUCAAGCGCUUAUUUAAACGUUUAAGCGGUGGCUACAACACUCGAGCACUUUGGCUAGUGCUUAAGCAUUCUUGUUUUAUCAAAAGUAAAAAAUAAAAAUUUUUAAACCAAUUUUGAGAAACUAAUCCAAUUCAUGCCUUAACCUAACUUGUCUCUAACAAACAUCUAAAAGGAUUCCUAUGCCAUAAUGAAAAGGAAUAAAUUUGUCAAUAUUUAAAAAUGUCAUAACAUACACAUUAAGAACUUGAUUUUUAAAGUAUAAAAUAUACAAGGGUGAAAUUCUAGUGGACUUGGAUUAUUUCCAAAAUAUCGAAUUUUAGGUACACUAGAGUGCUUCCAACACUAUUGAUGACAAAAUAUAAGUGUCAUGCCCCAAGACCCCUUAUAAGGAUGUGAUGGUCAUUUCAAAUCCUAAGUCGAAGACUCAUAGUGCAAAUGACUCAAACAAUCAUCUUAUAACUAAAAAAUAACUCAUUACCAAGUUCUUAUUCAAAGUAGUAAAAUAUAUUAUAAUCCUCAAAAUUUAACUUCAGAAAAACUUACACAUCAACCACUUUGUUAUUGCCUGAACAACUUCAAACCCAAAUGGUUCAAACAAUAAUUAAUUUCUAAUAUUUAAACAAUGCCCAAAAAUAAAUCUUAAACCAAAAUCCUAAUAAAAACAAAUUCCCAAUCUAACUCACUCCUCGCCCAAAUUGAAAGUACCUAAAAAAAAUUAUUAGUGGAAGAGCAUGAGUUCAAGCCCAAUAAGAAAUAUUAAUACAGUUUCACGAAUCAAACAUUUUCACUUAUGAUUACAAAUAGGAAAUAUAGUGUAAAAUAUUUUUUACAAAAACUUUGAAUUCAAACAUGCUAAAGUAUCCAAAACUUUUCAACCAAACAUUUUCAUAUUUAUAUUAAUAGCAAUUUCAUAUCAAAUCCAAAUGAAAUGCAUUCAAAAUAUUUUUACUCUAGUCAUCAAAUAACAAAUGGUAUCUGAUUAGGUGGGACUUUAUUGCUCAAUUAGGUGAAACUUUACAAAUAAGAUAUUACCCUCAAAUUUGUUCUUUUUAAGGUGGAUGGAACCAAACACUACUAGUACUAAUACUAGUAACCUCUAACCAAACCCCUAGAGACUAGAGUUUAAAACAAUUACAUUCCCUACCAAGAAAUGUAAAGGUUAAUUACCAAUUAUAAUUCAUUGACUAAGGUAAAAAAAGGUCAACAAUUAUAACUCAUUGACUAGGACAGAUAAAGUCAACACAAUAUAACCCUUAGACUAAGGCCAAAUAAACCAAAGUCAAGCACUUUGUGUCAUUUAUUCAAACUUACAAAAACAUAAUACCUUCAUUUUUUUUUAUUAUAAACAAAAGAAAAUGUUCUUACAUAUUUUUCAUGCAAAAUAUAAUUGAGCCAUGCAUAGAAAUAAAAAUAACAUUUUACAUAAUUCAAAAUAACAUACAAAAAGAAAUUAUUAUCUUUUAGAAAAUCUAUAUUAAUUUCUCCUACCUCAAAAAGCACUCAAAACCCUUAAAGAAUUUAUUGUUGAAGCAUCUAAUUUUCACCUAAAUAUAACUUAAGAAAUAACAACUAUUACUACUAGCUAUUUAUCUAAAAUUAUAGGUUUGGCAAUCCCAAUAAUUUCCUAUGUUAAUAUUAUUAUCACCAAUAUUAUUUUCAACUUCUGAUAAAAAAUAAUUAUACAAAGUAUGAUUAAAAAAUAAAGCACAAGAUAUAAAAUUAUUUUUUAAAAAUAUUAAAAACAUGUUAAAAACAUUUUAAGUUUCCAAACAGACUUUUUUUUUACAAAAAAUUAUAGAACAAUUUUUAAAAGUUGUUCUCAAAAAUUGUUUUUCAAAACUGUUCUCGAAAACAAUUAUCAUAUUACAAGGUUUUAAAAGCUCUCAAGUGCUUUGAUUGAUACCAUAUAUUGAUGAAAACAAAAAUCACAUCUUAUAUUCGAUUUUAACAUCAAUGCACUCCCCAACUAGCUAACUAUAUGCUACAUCAUAUAUGGCUAGCUUUCUUAGAUUUUCCCAUUAUUCCUUGAUGUUUCCUGCUAUUUCAAUGAAUAAGGAUGGUCAUGAAAACUUUUGAGACAUCCAAGAUGCACUUCAAAAAAUUUUAAACAAAAUAAAAAACUUGUAAAUCAAGACAAGGAAAUGAAUAUAGGCAAACGAAAAUACUUGGAGUCAUUUUUUUUUCCAAAUUCAAGGAAACAACCUAAAAGAAAUCACAAAAUAUCCAAUCCAAAAUUGAAGAACUUGUAAAUCAAGAAAACCUUUUAAAAAAUCAAUUAAGUAUACAUUGAUUAGAUUAUAGUACUUAAAGACUUUAUUAUUAUAAAAAAAUUAAUUUAAAUCAUAUCCAACAAUCCCUCACUUGAUUUAAAUUAACAAAAUUAAUAAAAGAGAUAACAAAAUUAGGCUUCUAGGAAAGUCAUGCAUAUAAAUGGUCUCUUCAAGAUUUCAACCUUCACUUAGUAUAAAGUAUAAACAAAUCAAAAUUUGUCACAAAACUAAUUAUUAGAUAAAUCAAAUUUGCCAUACAUAUAUUCAUUUUAGGGCAUAUUUAAUAUGCAGGAAUGAGGAGUAGGAAUGAGCAUCUCAUUCAUUCUUAUAUUUGAAUAACUUAAAUGAUGAUGGGAAUAAAAUUAAGAAUGAUUCCAAAGGAAAUGAAUUUCACUUAUAAAUGAGAUUUCAAUUUAUCUCUGGAAGGAGGUAUUUUUAUUUUUAAGUGCAAGUUAUUUUAAAAAUACUUUUCAAAAAUUUAAAAACCAAAAGGCUUUUCUGGAUAAUUUUUUUUUAAAAAUAAUUUUUUAUUUUAUAAAAAAAAUAUUGUAAAUUCAAUUUAAAUAAUAUAAAAUAAAAUUAAUUCAAGUGUUAUUAAAAAUGAAAAUAAUUUUAUAAUUAAAAAUAAAUAAAAUUAAUAAAAUAUGAAUAGUAAUAUUAUGAUAAAAUUCUAAAUUAUAUUUUUUAUAAAUAUUAUUAAAAUAUGUAUAUUAAUAUUUUGUAAAAGCAUAAACUAUGUAUGGUAUAUAUGAGAGUUUUUUUUUAAAUGAAAAUGAAAUAUUAUUUAAAACUAUAUGUAUGAAAUUUAUUACCAAUUUAUUUCUUUUUUCAUUAUUAUUUUUAUUGUUACUUAACAUUGAAAUAAAAACAAAUAAUCAUUCUAUUCUUACAUUCCUAUAUGCAUUCAAACACAAGAAUUGAAAUCACCAAAUUCAUUUCUAUUUAAAAAGUAGGAACGGAAAGAAAAAUUUUUAGGAACAGAAAGAAUAUUUUCGUUCUUAUUCCUCAUUUCCAUAUACCAAACCUGACCUUAGGUUAUUGUUCUUUUAAAGCUAACACCUUUGAAAUCUAUUUAAUCCCAUUUUACUAGAUCGGAUAUGCCAUACCACACAUGUCUUUUAGAGGUUAGCGUUCCUUUAAAGCUACCACCUUUGAAGUCUAUGUCUAAUCCCAUUUUAAUGAGUGAUCCAGAGAAGAUAUAUAUAUAGUCUCUUGCAACAAUGACUAGUUUCAAUGCUCAAAACGGUGAAGUCUGUCAAGAGUGUAACCCGUUUCACUCCCACCAUAAGCGUAUAAACUGAUGAAAAUGUAAUAAUCCUCAUCUUCACAAAUAAUAUGACUCAUUUGCAAAGAAGUCAGCUACAGGAUUAACACUAAUUUAUCAUAGGAAGGGAUUUUCAUAUAUAAUAUGAAUGCAUUACAUCACAACUGUUUCUUUGCCUCUUUUUUCAUUGAACACGAGAAAUCUGAUCAAAUUGGGUUCUCACUGACCAUAACUUCAGUACAGAUUUUCAAUCUCAUUCCCCUUGAUGAAAUUCCCUCUGGACUUGACAUAUUAUGUAGCCACGAUCCCAUCAAAGAUGAGUCCCCUUACAUGAUUAUGUCUCACAUAAACAAGUCUAAAAUUCCCAUUACAGAUCUAUAUGACUUAAGCAUUGUGACAUGAUUAUCACUACAAAUAGUGAUUGUUUACAUUGGUUUAUUUCAUAUAGACGUGUCUACCAAUAUAUUCCUUAGCCGCUCACCUUCAUUUCUCACUAAUGAGAGGGAAAUGAACUCAUUUCAAUGUGUAAUGAGAUAUACAUGUCAGCCUUUUGGAUUUCUAAGUAAUUGCACCUUCUACCAAAGUGAAGAUCCAUCCUAUGACAGAUGUCCCAUCCUCCAAAGAAGAAUUCCAUGAGGCAUCACUGUAACCUUCCAAGUGCAAUAGGAAACCUCCUAUAGUGUAAAAUGUAGGGAAUUAAACCGAAUUCCCAACCUAUGAGAAACAAAAAUAGAGAAAACACACGGCAAGGAAAAACAAUCACACGCACAAGACAAUAUUUACGUGGUUCGGCAAUUUGCCUACGUCCACGGAGUUGCAGGGAUAUCACUAUUAUCAGGGGAGAAUACAAAGUACAACCACAGCGGCUACAAUAUUUUCUCUCUAUAUAUAACACAGUGAUUACUACUCAAAAAGUGCUAUUUGAUAGCCUAUAAUUAAUCCUUUUAAACACUUUUGAGUAGUAGUUUAGGCCUUUUAACUCAAUUGGCAUGUUAAGGACCCUUGAAAGCAAUUUUAAUUACUUUGUGUAAGUUUUGGUGUUUUUGUUAGUAUUUUGAUCAUCAAAGCAAGUCAAGACUGAGGAAAGUUAUGAGGAAUCUUGGGCAAAGCUUAGAAGUCAUUUGCCAAGAGUGAAUCCAGAAUGCAAGGAGAAAAAGUAAAGAGAAUCUUCCAUGAAGCAUAUUCUUGAUGACAGUCGUGGCAGCCACUUUUGGAGUACUUUCUGAAGUCCAAUUGAUGCAUGCUAUAUACCAUUUCAAAGCUCAGGAAGUCAACAAUCCAAUGCUUCAAACGGUGCGCAAUUUGGAGUUGAAAUGAAGAAGUUGCAGCCAUUGCAAGCCAAUUACUCCAAGCUGAAGGAAGCAUUUUGCAAAGUGUUGCGAAAUCACCCUUUUGUUGCGAAGUGAUUCCGCAGCCUUUUUGUACAGUAGGGUGUAUUUCCUUCUGAAGUUGCCCGAUAUAUGCCGCAAGCUGGGAGCUGAGAACCUCAAGGUGGAAACCAACUUCGCAGCCCUGCGAAGAUAGCAUGUUGUUGCAAAAUGAUUUCGCAGCCCUCUUGAGUGUCUGCGAAAUCUCGCAGACACCAUUUUCUCUUGCGAAAUGGUUCCUGGAGCAUCCCGAUAUCUGCUACCGACAUUGGGAGAUAUUUUACAUUAGAUUUUUGUUGUCUAAAUACCAAAAUACUCCUUGUAAGCCACCAAUUACAAGAUUCCUUAGCUUUUAAGUUAGUAAAAAAAGAGAAACUAUCUAUGUAAUAAUUAGUUUUAUAUUAUGUUCAUAUAUACCUCUCGGGAGCCUGUUCUCAGAGAGGAUCAUUUUGUAAAGUUUUGGGUAAGCAAGUAAAGUUCAGUUCUUUGUUUUGCCUUACCUUCUCACUUUGUAUUUUCAUAUUUUACUAAGUUAUGAACUCUCUGAGGAGUUUCUCCCAGAGAAUGAGUAACUAAACCUUUAGUUCCUUGGAGCUAAGGUUGCCGGGGAAGGUUCCAAGUGCAAGAAUGCAAAGCUUUGUGGUUUUAGCUAGUAAUGAAGAGGAAGAGAAAUCCUUUAGUGAUUUCUAUGUUUUUAGUUAACUUAAAACACCUUAGAGUCACCUGGGCCAACACUUGGUAAGGCAAGUGAUCUCCGUCCAUGGAGAUGCACUAGUUUACCCCUUGCGAGCCUCUGGGAAGUGACUUGAAGGUAGGAUUUUCUAGAAUUGCCAACACUUGGUAAGCUUUUGGACUCCAAGGAGACAUCCAUUAGUUAUCUCUUGCGAGCUUUUGAAGGGAAGUCCAAGGUUAAAGAUCAUCUUGAAUGGUAAGUGCUCGUGAGAGGCAUGAACCAUUGCAAGUUGCAUCAGUGAGAGAAUUAAAGUGAAAUCUAAUUAAAGGAUGUAUCUGUACAACACCGGUUAGAGAAUUGACUAUAUGUUGAAUCUCUAAUGCGAGGAAAGGAACCAUCUGACCGGAGCUAUGUCUUUUGCAUGAGGAACCACCCCAGUGAACCUAACUUUCCAAGGAAUGCUUUUCUUCCUAAGUUAUUCCGAUUACUUGUUGUGUUAGUUAGUUUAAGUCUAAAUCUUUACCAAUCAAAGUUUGUGUUUUAUUUCUUAAGCUAACCUUGAAAUGAAACAAGACCAAUUCACUUGGAAUUGGUAUCAUUGAUAGCUUGCUAAUCCUUCCCAGUGAACGAUCCUAGAGCCGCUAUACUAUAGUAGCUUUUUCUUUGCUACCCUAGUAUAUGGUGUUAUAGGUUAUAAAUUUUGUUGAUUACUCCCUCAAUCAAGGAGCACCAGCUGGACACGAAUCAGCUGAGACACCAAUUGGGCAUGAAUCACAUAGCAACCACACCACACUAAAAAACCCUAAUUACAAAAGGUGGUUCCACAAUGGGCUAAACGGGCCCAACAGGCCUCAGUAAAUCUCCCAUUAAAAAGUCAUGCAAUAUUAUUCAGGUCAGGUCGCCAAACCGGAUCAAACAAAACUAGGCUCCACAAAGCCUAACAAAUCUCCCACUUGGAGACUAGUUCAAUCAUCAACAUCAAACCGCUAUCCUCCAAGAAACAAUCCCUCAUCCCUGCAACUCAUCCUCCUAUCCUCAAGCUAGAAGACCAAUUGAAGCUGCGCACAACUUCAACUUCUCAAUAGUGACACCCUUAGUCAACAUGUCUGCCGGGUUCUUAGAUCCACAAAUCUUCUCAAGUAUUACCAGUUUAUCUUCAAUAAGGUAAUGGAUAAAGUGGUAUUUUGUUUGUAUAUGCUUCGACUUUGAAUGAAAAGCCAAAUUUUUGGCAAGAAAAAUAGCACUCUGACUGUCACUGUGUAGAAUGCCCAUCUUCUGCUUCUUACCCAAUUCAUCUAAGAAACCAUUUAGCCAAAUCAUCUCCUUUCCAGUUUCAGUUGCUGCAACAUACUCAACUUUUGUAGUAGACAAAGUAACAAUCUUCUGUAGAUUUGAAGCCCAUGAUAUAGCUGUACCACCUAGAGUAAAAACAAACCCAGUAGUACUCUUUCUACUAUCAAUAUCACCAGCAAAAUCAGCAUCUACAUAACCCUGUAGUUUCAAACUUGCACCUGUGAAACAAAUACAUGUAUCUAAUGAACCCUUUAGAUAUCUUAGAAUCCACUUGACUGCCUCCUAAUGUUGCUUUCCAGGCCUACUCAUGAAUCUGCUCACAACUCCCAUUACAUGUGCAAUGUUUGGCCUUGUGCACACCAUAGCAUACAUCAAGCUGCCAAUAACUGAGGCAUAGGGCACCUUGCUCAUUUGGUCAUUUUCUUCUUCUGUCUUCGGUGACUGUUCUUUGCUUAGUUUGAAAUGACUCCCCAAGGGUGUGCUCACUGGUUUAGCUUUAUUCAUGUUGAACCUGCUGAGAACUUUCUUCACAUACUCUGACCAUGAAAGCUUCAAUGUACCAUUAGCCUUGUCUCUAAUGAUUCUUAUACCAAGGAUUUGCUUUGCAGCUCCCAAAUCCUUCAUUGCAAACUGUUUGGACAAUUGUUUCUUCAGAUUAUUAAUCUUCUCAAUGUUAGACCCUGUAAUAAGCAUAUCAUCCACAUACAAUAGUAAUAUGAUGUAAGAAUUGUCAAAAGGCUUAACAUAACAACAGUGAUCAGCUUCACAUCUCUUGAACCCAAUUCUAUGCAUAAAACUGUCAAAAUUCUUGUACCACUGUCUAGGAGCUUGUUUAAGGCCAUACAAGCUCUUUCUUAGUUUGCAGACUAGAUUCUCUUGUCCCUGAACAAUUAACCCUUCUGGUUGAAUCAUGUAAAGGUCUUCCUCCAAGUCACCAUGAAGGAAUGCUGUCUUCACAUCUAACUGCUCAAGAUGUAAGUUUUCUACAACCACCCUUCCUAGUACAAGUCUGAUUGUUGACAUCUUCACAACUAGAGAAAAUAUCUCUGUGUAAUCAAUGCCCUCCUUCUGCUGGAACCCUUUAACAACUAAUCUGGCCUUGUAACGUUUGCUACCAUCAUGCUCAUUCUUUAUUCUGUAUACCCACUUGUUGUGCAAAGUCUUCUUUCCUACUGGCAAUUCAGUCAGUUCCCAUGUCUAAUUCCCCAACAGGGAAUCCAUCUCAUCCUUCAUGGCUAACUCCCACUUGCUUGAAGUCUCAUCUUGCAAGGCUUCAUCAUAACACUCUGGCUCACCACCAUUAGUCAACAGGAGAUAAUUUAAAACAGCUGAAUAAAGCUGCGGAGGUCUAAUGUUCCUGGAAGAUCUGCGAACUUCAGCUAUAGGUGUACUCAGAUCUACCUGUGAAUUUACAUUCUCCUUAUCUUCUUCACCCCCUUUUUGGACAGUACUUUUAGUCAAUUCAUCUAAGUUGACAAACUCAGAUUUCUUUUGAUCUAUCUCUGUAACAUCUGACACUAUAGUUGACCUGUCCUUGUACAUAACCUGUUCAUUGAAUAUCACAUUUCUAUUUCUGAUGAUUUUCCUAUUUUGUUCAUCCCAAAACCUAUAGCCAAAUUUCUUAUCACCAUAGCCAAUGAAAAAACAUAUUUUUGACUUUGCAUCAAGUUUACUACGAGCAUGAGAAUCAAUAUGAACAUAAGAAACACAACCAAAAACUUUUAAAUGUGAAAACUUCACCUCUUUACCGCUCCAAAUCUCCUCAAGAAGUCUGAACUCCAUGGGAACUGAUGGUCCUCAGUUUAUCAGGUAAGCUGCAGUGCUAACAGCAUCAGCCCAAAAAGUUUUUGGUAGUCUAACAUGCAACCUCAUACUUCUAGCAUGCUCAUUGAGAGUUCUAUUCAUGCGCUCAGCCACACCAUUCUGCUGUGGUGUCCCAGGAAUAGUCUUCUCCAUCCUAAUUCCCUGUGCAGCACAAUACUCACUGAACCCUCCAUCUAUGUACUCUCCUCCAUUAUCUGACCUCAAACAUUUUACUUUCAAACCUAUUUUUGUCUCAACUAUGGCCUUCCACUUCUUAAAAGUUUCAAAUACAUCAGAUUUAUUUUUCAGAAAAUAAACCCAUACCUUUUUGCUUGAGUCAUCAAUAAAAGUGAUGUAGUACCUUGAACCUCCCAGGGAUGCAAUCGGAGAAGGCCCCCACAAAUCAGUGUGUACUAGUUCCAAUCUUUUAGCCUUCGGUGUCCUGCCAGUUUUAAAAAAAACUCACCUUUUUUUGCUUUCCUAAGAUGCAACUUUCACACAUGUCAAAAUCAAUGGACUUCAAUUCUGGUAGUUUUCCUUUUGACAACAGCAUCUUCAUCCCUUUCUCACUCAUGUGACCAAGUCUACGGUGCCAUAGACUUGUAUCAGUACUUGCAUUAGCAACUGCAAUUGUGUCUCUUGGACUUGAGGUCAUAUAUAGAGUACCAGUCUUCUUUCCACGAGCCAAUACCCUAGCUCCCUUUGUAACCUUCCAAGUACCACCAACAAAUAGUAUUGCAUGUCUUUCAUCAUCAAGUUGUCCAACAGAAAUCAGAUUCCUCCUCAGGUCAGGAAUAUGUCGAACCUUCUCCAGUAACCAAAUAGACCCAUUGGGCAAUGAUAUCCGGACGUCUCUCAAACCCACAACAUCCAAGGUUGAACCAUCAGCCAAAUACACCUUACCAAAAUCACCUGCAACAUAAUUCUGUAUGAUUUCUCGGUGUGGAGUGGUAUGAAACGAAGCUCCUGAAUCCAAAACCCAAUCAUCAAGUGGACUGUCUACUGCAAGAAGUAAUGCAUCCUGUACCUCUUCUGUUACAACAUUAGCAGAAUCAUCUUCAUUCUUCUUCUUAGGACUUUUGCAUUGCCUUUUAAAGUGACCUGUUUUCCCACAGUUCCAGCAUUGUACUUGUUGGCCUGAUCUAGAUUUACUUCUGUUCCUAUUAGAAUUUCUGGAUUUUGAUCUACCUUGGUUUGAAUUUCUAUCAUUACCUCUGCCUCUUGUCUCAAGGUUUAGGGUAGAACCAGAUCCUGAGGUUUCGCCUGAAUCUCUUCGGCGAAUCUCCUCAGCUAGAAGUAAAUCUCGUAUAUCAUUGUACUUGAGCUUUUCCUUUCCUGUAGAAUUGCUUACUGCCAUCCUCAUUGCCUCCCAACUGUUUGGCAAAGAAGCCAAGACGAUCAGAGCAUGAAUCUCUUCAUCAAAAUCAAUUUCUACAGAUGACAAUUGAUUUGUGAUUGUAUUAAAUUCAUUUAGAUGUUGUGCUACUGAUGCAUUCUCUGCCAUCUUCAAAUUGAACAAUUUCUUCAUCAGAUGCACCUUAUUGUUUGCGGACGGCUUUUUAUACAUACUGGACAAAGCCUUCAUCAGAUCUGUUGUGGUCUUCUCCUUUACAACAUUAUGUGCAACAGACCUAGACAGAGUUAACCUAAUAACUCCUAGAACCUAUCUGUCAAGAAGCGCCCAUUCCUCAGCCUUCAUACUCUCAAGUUUUGUCCCCAAAAGAGGCAGAUGCAAUUUCCUCCCAUAGAGAUAAUCUUCAAUCUGCAUCCUUCAAUACGCAAAGUCUGUGCCAUCAAACUUUUCUAUUCCAGACGCCUUUCCUGCUUCCUCUGCUAUUGCUCCCACUCAAACCUAACCCUAGGCUUUGAUACCAGUUGUAGGGAAUUAAACCGAAUUCCCAACCUGUGAGAAACAAAAAUAGAGAAAACACACGCCAAAGAAAAACAAUCACACGCACAAGACAAUAUUUACGUGGUUUAGCAAUUUGCCUACGUCCACGGAGUUGCAGGGAUAUCACUAUUAUCAGGGGAGAAUACAGAGUACAACCACAACGACUACAAUAUUUUCUCUCUAUAUAUAACACGACAACCACACCACACUAAAAAACCCUAAUUACAAAAGGUGGUUCCACAAUGGGCUAAACGGGCCCAACAGGCCUCAGUAAAUCUCCCAUUAAAAAGUCAUGCAAUAUUAUUCGGGUCGGGUCGCCAAACCGAAUCAAACAAAACUAGGCUCCACAAAUCCCAACAUAAACCAUAAAAGAUUGUCCCUUUUAAGUACUAGAGUAAAGUAGUCCAAUGCACUUCACCUAGGUUACUUGUCUAUAGACACAAUCUUCCAACUUCAAAAGUUAUAUCAGGCCUGGUGCAAUUCAUGACAUACAUAAGACUGCUAAUAAUAUGUUAGUACUUUGUGGAGAAAUAAUCCUACCUUUAUUCUUCUCCAACUCGAUGCUCAAAUCUUAUGGAGUUAGAACUAGAGAACACUCAAGACAAUCAUAUCUUUUGAGGAUCUUUUCAAUAUAAUAUGACUAUGACAAGACAAUCCCACCAUAAGGUCUAAGUACUUUGAUCUGAAGAAUAACAUCAACUUCCAACAAGUCCCACAUAUAAACUUAGAUGACAAACACUCUUUAGUUUUAGUAAGACAACUUUCUACAUCUAUUAUAGAUAUCAGCAUGUUAUCCACAUGAAGGCAUAUGAAGACUCUAAAAUCUCUUACAAAAGUAGAUGCAAACAUUGAUCUCAUUUAUAUAAUCACCACUAUUAAGAAGCACAUUUUUGUAUUUUUCAUGCCACAUCUUUAGUGCUUGCUUCAGUCCAUAUAAAGACUUCUAAUUAACAAACUUUCUUCUCAUGCUAAUACAAAUUAAUACCUUGUGGUUGAUCCAUGUAUAUUGCCUCAAGUAAAGAUCUCCAUUCAAGAUUGCUGUUUUCAUACCCAUUUGAUGAAUGAUCAAACCAUUCAAAGUAAUAAUGCUAUUAUCGACUUGAUAUCUAUGAUUCAGGCAAAGAUGUCAACAUAAUCAAAUCCUUAACACUUGAAUCAAGGUUUUGAGCAUAAAGAUUCCACUGACCUAUAAAAAAUGGGCCCCCCCUCCGAAAAAGUUAUAUAUAUAUAUAUAUAUAUUAAAAAAUGAAUAAAAAUAAAAAAACCACAUUUUACACAACAGAGGCUUCCUCGUGAAUGGUAGAUGACGUUUCAACUUUCAUGAUCAUGGUAUGGUAUAUAAUUUUUCUUCAUUUUUCUUUCUUUGGCUUUUUUUGCGCAAACAUCAAUGAUUUUAUCAUAUCUAUUUUUUUUUUUUUUUUAUGCCCAAAUGCUCUAAAGAUACCUGAAAAUACUUAAAAAGCAAAUCAAAUCAGCUUUCACACAAAAAAUAAGUCCUAUAAAAUUAGAAUUAGAUAUAUAAAUUUGAAGAAUAAAAUAUUAUUAUGUAGGACAUAUGUUACAUAAAAUGUAAAUGAAAUGAAUAUGAUGAAUUUUUUUUUUCAUUUAUCUUAGAUAUUUUACAUGUAACUUAAAAUUUUAAUUUAAUAUUAAUAAAUAAAAUUAUAUAUAUAUAGUGGCCACGGUGAUAGUGGAAUUGAAAUUUGAACUUGCAUCUUAUUUUAUUAUAUAAUUUCAUAAAAUUAGGAUCAAAUAUGUAAAUUCUAAGAAUAAAAAUACUAUUAUGCAAGAAAUGUAUUACAUGAUGUGAAUGGAUAUGCAUAUAGAGAGAAGAAAUAAAAGAGAUAAGAGAAAAUAUAGCAUUGCAUUGUCAUUGAUGAUUGAUGAAUGUUUAAGGGAUAAACAAUGACUUCUGCUCUCAUUCAAAUUUUAUCUCCUACUCUAAUUCAAACUAAUAAUAGACUUUUAUUCUAAUUCAAACUUUAUAUCCUAUUAUAAUUCAAACUAACAAUAAAUAGAUAAAUAAUAAAUAUUAAUUUUCUCUAAUAUGACCCUUCAAAAUGGAGCUACAAUCGAAGAUUCCAAUCUUAGUCUUGAUAGAAAGAAAGUGACUACAAUAUAGUUCGAUCAAAAGAGAGCACACUAGUAGUAGUGGCAACAAAUCUGUAUUCAGAUUUUGUGGAGGGCAACCUUCACAAGGUCCAAGUGUUGAGUGGAUUUGACUUGGUGAUGGAGAGGUUAGGCAAAAGUAAUAAAAAUGGACAAACUUUGAGCAAAAACCCAAAGACAAAGGAAAUCAUCUCACAUUACUUUUGGUUAAGAAUAGAGCUUUGAAGCAAAAAAUUGGACAAUAGAAGAGAGACCAGAAGAUUUAAAUAGGGAGAAAAAUAGAAUUUAAUCAUGCAUGGAAUAUGUUUGUUUUCAUGAAACAAGAAAAACAAGCAAUCGAAUCUAAAGAAGACGAAGAAUCAAGGGAAAAAUAAACAAGAGCAGUUGUUUGGCUAUCGAGAAAACACAUGAAAAGACCAAAAAAGGAAAAUCUUGAAAAAGAGAAAAAUGUAUAUGAAAAAAAAAAUUGUUUAGAAAAUAACCAAUAAAAAAGUUUUCAAGAACUCAUAAUGAGUGUGGAGAAAAUAGGUUACAAUAAAAGUGAGUAAAAAUCAAGAGAACUAAGGUUUUCAACUUAACUUUGAGAAAGCUUUUAGAGAGAGAGGAAGGGGGUAGAGUUGAAGGUGAUAAAGAAGUAGAGAUUAAAUUAAGGGAACCAAUACUAGUAGGACGUAAAGGAGAAGAAUAAUGGAUAUGAAGAAUUAACAAACAAUAGAGUUUAACAUACAAUCAACCAACUUAGUAAAAAGAACAUCAACAAAAUGAAUGAGUAAAAGAAUGAUAUCGUGUAUCAAAAUUAGAAUUUAUACAAAUCUAGAGUGAAUUUGAACCGACAACUCACAUAAUGCAGAUGGAAUUUGGGACAAAAAUAAUUUCUAUUGAAGAAAAUCAAUUGAAUUUGAUAUGGAAAAAAAUUAUCCAAACCAUAGAACUUGCAAAUAUAAACCCCAAAACCGAAAAAUGAAAAAGAGCCAACGAAAAUAGGAAAGAAUAGUGAUUGAAAGGAUUGACUUUAAAAGGAGAAGUAGUAAGUUUGAACCAAGAAAAUUUGGAGCUCCUGAUUUGUAAAUGGGCAUUGAACCAAGAUAUUGCAUUGGAAGUUGGAAGGAAUGAGGCAUUGAUAGGCCAGGUCGAAGCAAAGAUUGUUGGUGUAAAUGAGGAAGCUCAUUUAGGGAGUCAUAGUAUCCUUGCCAUUACAUAGGCACAACAAGGCACUACUAUUUGCAAUAGGAGAAGGUAGUGUAGGGCCUAGGCGUUGCACCCUAUAUUUGCUCUAGGUUGAUAUAAACACAGGCUUUAGUGCCAUAGGAAGCAACAGGAAGUUGUUGCGUCACAGACGUGAAUCAAGUUAUAGGUGUUGAAGAGUAACUCUUUAGAGUAAAUGAGUCAAGUAAAUCUGUGUAACUUGAUUAGUGGAUCUAGAUUGGUAGGUGAUAACCCGACUCUUGGUAGCUUGGCAUGUAAGGGUAUCAACAAAAUUUAUACCUAAGGUCCUUACACUAAAGUAGCAAAGCUACUAUAGCAUAGUGGCUCUAGGAUCGAACACUGGGAAGGGUUUUUACUUUAACUGGUGAAGUUCGGAGGAUGGAGUGAACUUUUCUUAAUAAAAAUUAGGUUAAGAUGAAAACAUAAAAAGAUGAAGGUUUUGUAAACUAAACUAACAUGAAAAUAGGUUAAAAGAUGGAAAAAAGAAGUUUCUCAAAGCUUUGGAUAGCCAUGCUUAACUCACUGUGUAAAAAUGGAGAUUUUGGAACUUUUCACCUCGAGUUGGGGAAGCAACUAAGGUGAUGCUUACUUCCCGAACCGGUAUGUGUUUAACAACUGAGUUUUAGUCCUUCAAAACUUACAAAAAAGGGUAGCUGAACCUCAUAAAUGCUCUUUUAAUGAUAUAGGUCAUCUCCUCGACUUGCAAUACAAUGGCUCGUAGGAAAUAACUAAUGAACGUCAGUGGAUCUAACAAUAAGAAUCCACUGAGACCAAAAGGUUAUCAAGUAUUGGCCAUUCAAAGCAAGUCAGAGGGAUUAAAAGCUUUACUUUGAAUGAAAACAUUUAUAACGCUCAGCUACUUACAUUCAUGGCUUGGAAAUCUCCAUCCUGACACGGGAGCUUCACAUGGCAUCCAUUACUUCAAGAAACUAAAAGGUUUUAGCCUUUCAUCCUUGGGGAUUUCAUCCUCCAAGGAUGUUUGGCUACUAAGAAAAUAGAAAAUAGUAGAGAGAAAAAGAAAGCAAAAGAUACUCUGUAUUUAGCUAAGUGUGUAAUUUACAUAAGUUGGUCUCCUGGGGAAAGUUCCCCGACCGUCAAAAAAUGAAAAUUACAAAACAAUAUAUAACAGGGUUGUUUACCCCUGUAUUCUUGCUUAACAACUAAGGAAUCAUCUAAUUGGUGGAUUACAAGGAGAGAAUUGGGAUUUAGACAACAAAUAUCUGAAGUAAAAUAUCAAAAAACGUCGGUCGCAAAUAUCUGGAAGCACUCAGGAGAAUUUCGCAGGCGCACAAAAUGGCUGCGAAAUUUCGCAGACGAACAAGAUGGCUGCGAAAUCAUUUCGCAGCCGAAGGCUGAUUUCGCAGCCCUGCGAAAUUGGCCUUCAGCUUGGAGUGAUCUGCUUCCAUUGGCUCUAACUUCUUCAUUUCAACUCUGAUUUGCGAACCGUUUGAAGCAUUGGAUUGUUGACUUCCUGAUCUUCGAAACGACAUAAAGCAUGCAUAAAUUGGACUUCAGGAAGUACUCCAAAAGUGGCUGAAAUUACUGUCAUCAAGGAUGCUUCAAGGUAGAUUCUCUCUUUACUUCUCCUCCUUGCAUUCCGGAUUGGUUAUGGCAAAGGACUUUAAGGCUUCAAAGCUCUGAUUCUUCAUGUUUCUGAGCUUUCCAUUGCUUUGCCAUGGAUUCCAAAUAACUCUCCUCCAUCUUGGAUUGCUUUGGUGAUCAAAUUACUAACAAAAACACCAAAACUUACACAAAGUGAUUAGAAGUGAUUGCAAAGGUCCUUAAUAUGUUAAUUGGGUUAAAAGGCAAUAACUACUACUCAAAAGUGUUUAAAAGAGUUAAUUACAAGCUAUCAAAUAGCACUUUUUGAGUAGUAAUCAGUAGGUCUUAGACCUCAUGGUUUUUUAUCUUCACAAUUUGUGAAGGAUUUAAAUGUAAAAAUCUUGUGUCUCAUUGCAUAUCUUUUUAUUCCUACUUAUAUUCAUUCUAUUUGAUGAUAUUGAUAUCCUUUGGAUUGAUUGAUUAGUUUGAUAUUGACGUUGUUGGGUUGGUUAUCUUGAAGAUUAUGGUAGAUAUACCUAUAACGAGUUAUUGUUUUCCUUAACUUCUUUCACAUUAUAAUUCAUACAUUAAUAAUUAUAUUAUUUUAUCCCUAACUAUUCACGAGAUCUUUCUAAAAGGUAAAAAUCAGUUUUUUAUCAAAUGAUUUUAGGUAUAACCCAUUUAUUUAUUUGGGAUAGCCCUGAUAUUUAUUGGGUUAAAAGAAUUGAGUAUAAUAUAUAAAUAUUUAUUUAAAAUUUUUAAUCACCUAUUCACUACCCCUCUAGGUGUUCCUUAUUGGACUUUCGGCGGUUUUUCACAUGUGUUAUUAGAGCAAAGUUUAAUCAAGAGUUAAUGACUUGACUUCAAGUAAACUUGUAAAUAAUUUCCUCAAGUGUUUUGGAGAAUCUGAUUUUGUCUUAUGGAGCUUUGAAGGUGGACGAAUGACACUUUUGUAUCAUGUUUGAUAUUCUUCCAUGGGCUUAUUGAAAAAUAUUUGGAGUUUGAUCCUAUCUUUCGAAGCUUGAUUUUUUUAUUUGAUUUUGAUCCAAGGGUGGUAAACACAUAUUCUUGGAGCAAAGUUUAAUCAAUAAUGAAUGAUGACUUGAUCCCAAGUAAACUUGUAAAUAAUUUCCUCGAGUGUUUGGGAGAAUCUGAUUUUAUAUUCUUUGGCUUUGAAAGUGGAUGAAUGACACUUUUGUAUUAUGUUUGAUAUUCUUCCACAGGCUUGUUGACAAAUGUUUGGAGUUUGAUCCUAUCUUUUGAAGUUUGAUUUUUGGAUUUUAUUUCAAUCAAAGGGUGGUAAACAUGUGUUCUUGGAGCAAAGUUUAAUCAAUAGUCAAUGAUGACUUAAUCUCAAGUAAACUUGUAAAUAAAUUCCUUCAAUGUUUUAGAGAAUCUGAUUUUGUCUUCUUUGGCUUUAAAAGUGUAGGGUCAUAUCCCUUGAAAGAUGUAUAAAAGACCCCAAUGCAUUCCCUGUAUGCACAUCUCCACAUCUAACACCUCAAAGAAUCUAUCCUUGUAGUUAAGGCUUAAGGAAUGCCAAUUAUUGAUGUAGUCAAUGAGUGGCUUGUCUUUCCAUUACUUGGUAUUGUAGAGUUUCAUCAUUAUUACAUUUCAUCGGGAACUAUAAAAGUGAUUGAGGAAUUCGUGCUCCAUUUGGUCCCAACUAUCAAUGUACUCAAGUGCAAGGUUUAUGUACCAAUAAAAUUUGUUCCCUUGGAGGGUACAGACAACUUGUUCAACUAAGAGGUCACUCUAUAUACCUACAUUGUUGUAGGUUUUAACAAAGUGGGUAACAUGUUGCUUCAGAUUUCCCUUUCCAUUAAAAAACUGAAACUUUAGAGGUUGAUGACCCACAUGCAUAUGUAGGUUAUCAAUCCUCUUAGUGUAAGACUUAGAGUAGAUGAGUGUACUCUAUGAUGGUCCGCCAUACUGCACUCUAAUGGAUAAAUAGUGAUGCCACCAAAGUAGAUUCAAUGGUUUGUUUCCUAAUCUACAUAGAUACAAUAUUCGAAGGGUGAGUGAGUCCUUGGCUUGACUUAGUUGUAUUUUGUGCAUGCGCCUUAACCUUGUUCAUAAGAGAGACUAUUUGCAAAUCUUUCUCCUCAACAAAUCUUGGUAAGUUUAGCGAUGGCACAAUCCAUUUCAGGUAAUUGUUCUUCAAUGGAUGUAGUGCUCAUUGUCAUUAUUGGCAUAGUCACCAAGAAGGAAAAAGUAAAAGAGUCAAAAUGGUUUGGAGGAGUUAUCCUCCUUUGACAUCCCAGUUAGUGAUCUAGAAUGUGAGUUGGUGUCAGAGUUUGCAUUGACAACAAAGUGGGAGACUUAUCCUCAAAUUCCUUUGUUGUUGAAGGGUGUUUUUCCCUACUAUGAAAAUCAAUGAGAUUCAAAAAUUAAGAUUUUCCAAUGUGAUGGAGGAGAAGAGUUCAGUUCAAUUGAAUUUAUUAACCAUGUUCAAAGUUGUGGCAUUGAACUCCAUGUGUCUUGUCCAGGAACUACUCAACAAAAUGGUGUAGCAGAACGAAAACAUCAACAUAUAGUUGAAACUGGGCUUACAAUGUCAUUUCAUGCUAAUAUGCCCUAUCUUUAUGGGUAGAAGUUUUUUUCCACGACUCUGUAUUUGAUUAAUCAUUUACCACAAUGUCAUUUCAUGUGUCUUGCAGAAUGAAAGCUCAUAUCAAAAACGUCACAAAAGACAUCCAGACUAUAGUGGCUUGCAGGUAUUGGGAUGUCUAUGUUUUCCUUCUCUUCAAAAACAAGGGGGUUCAAAAUUUGUCACAAAAACAUAUCCUUGUGUUUUCAUUGGAUACAGUCCAAUACACAAAGGAUAUCGUUGUUAGGAACCAAAAACAAAAAUAGUAUAUAUUUAAGGCAUGUUGUAUUUGAUGAAGAAGCAGCAUUUCCUUUUAAGCCCACUCAACUGCCGAAAAUUCUCAAAAAUUGAGUUUAUCCGAAUUUCCAAGUUUGGACAAAUGGAUUGGCAAAAUUGAUGACUCACACAAAAUCCUUUCAAAUAAGGAGAUUUCUAGAAAGGAAAAACCAAUAGCUUGAUUUCUGACUUUACAAAUUGUUGACUUUAAUGUAGGUACCUCAUUGUUCAAGGAAGAUGCUGCUCUUAACCCUUUGGAGCAGCUAGAUGAAACCAUGGGAGUCCAUAAGCUGUAAAUUCAACCUCUCCUUUAAGAGAGACUGCUGAUUCUCCACAAAAUAAUGUUUCAGUCCCGAAUCCUCUAAUCUCUGAAAGUCAAGCAAAUCAGGAUGUAAUAUUUCCAUCAUCCACUCCAGCAGAUUCUCUCCCAAACAUGGAAGGCAUCUCCACACACCUUGACAUCCAUGACGUGAAAUGCUCAGAUUCAAGCUCUCACAAUUCCCUUCGGCCAGUUCGACUUCGUACGACUCCUUACUAUUUGAAAGAUUAUGCUACAGUUGCCACCAAGGGUCCCCACCCACAUUUCCCCUCCGAACCGAAGACCCUUAGGGAAGCCUUGAAAGAUCCUUGCUGGAUAGCUGCUAUGGAAGAGGAACUUGCUGCCCUCAACACUAAUGAUACUUGAGACUUAGUUCCAAGGCCGCUUAGUAUUAAUAUUGUCGGCUCCAAGUGGAUUUAUCCCAUUAAAACAAAGGAAGAUGGAACCAUAGAUCCUUCAAGGCUCGUUUGGUUGCAAGGGGAUUCACUCAAAUUUCUAGAGUUGAUUAUGAUGAAACCUUCAGUCCAGUAGUUUGACCAACAACCACUAGGUUAGUGAUUGCUCUCUCCCUAUCCUUCAAAUGGAAGAUAAGGCAACUUGAUGUUAAAAAUGCAUUCUUGCAUUGUAACCUCAAAGAAAUUGUCUACAUGGAGCAGCCACCAGGGUUUAUUCAUCCAACUAAGAAAGAUCAUGUUUGCUUACUUAAAAAAUCACUCUAUGGAUUGAAAUAGGCACCUCGUGCCUGGUUUGGUAGACUCUCUAAAUAUCUUCUGCACCUUGGUUUCCAUUGCAUCACAUGUGAUGCCUCUUUUUUUAUAUAUUACAUCCAUUACUCUCAUUUAUGUAGAUGAUAUUCUCCUUACAAGGAAUAACGAUGAGUUUCUCCAACAUCUAAUCUUGAGGCUGAGUCAUGAGGUUAUAAUCAAGGAUCUCAGAUCAUUGCACUAUUUUCUUGGAAUAGAAAUGAAGCCAUUUCCUAGUGGAGUGUACUUGUCUCAACACAAAUACACACGACAUUCUUCACAAAACAAAAAUGUUGGAGAGUGCUCCCCUUGCUACACCAAUGGCUGUAAAAGACAUCUCUUCAAACUCAGAACCCGUUGAUGCUACCAAUCUUUAUGCGUUGAGUGAUGCAGAUUGGGCUAGUUGCACCACAACAAGGAAGAGCAUCACUAGUUUCUGCACAUUCCUUGGUACCAAUUGUAUUUCUUGGUGUGCUAAGAAACAACCCACUAUGUUCCACUCCAGCACUGAAGCCGAAUAUCGAUCUAUGGCCUCCACCAUAACUGAGAUAACAGGGCUCACAUUUCUUCUUCAAGAUAUUGGUGUUCCCUUGGCACAACCCCCACAUUCAUUUUGUGAUAAUAUCAGUGCCCUUUACAUAUCAGUUAACCCUUUGUUUCAUUCAAGAUCAAAGCACAUUGAGCUCGACUACCACUUUGUCCGAGAAAAGGUUGCAGUGGGUCAUCUUAUCACAUGACACAUCCCUUCAUCAUCUUAGCUUGCUGAUAUCUUCACCAAGCCAUUACCCAAGGCUACCUUUCAGAUGUUCAGGGACAAACUGGGUGUUCAACCUCAACCACACACUAGUUUGAGGGGGCAUGUUAAGAAUCCAGCUCAAGAAGAUUCUAAUACAUCUCAGGAGAAUAAAAUCUCCUAGCUAUAGGCUGUAACUCUAGAGAAUAAAAUCACAGAGAAUAAAAUUUCCAAGUUGCAGGCUGCAAAGGAAGGAAAAUAAAUAAAUAUUGAUUUCCUAUUCUGUAAAUACACACUUCCAUAUGUAAAAUAUACACCUUCUAUAUGUAAAAUAUAUACUGUGUAUAUUAAGACCUGCUAGUCAAUGAAAAUAGCAUCGACUUCAUUUAUUCUUUUCUAAACUUUCUUCAGAAAGCACAGGUUGUGUCAUUUUUCUUUUCAAGAAAACAACCUUAACUCCCCAUUGGAUCAUUUUUUAAAUGACUUUGAAGGUGAUAUCAAAAUAUUCUACUCUUUUUUUUUCUCUCUCUCUUGCAACGUUUCAAGAGUGUUUUUCUAACAUGAACUUCAAGACACCAAAAUUAGAGAACAAGUAGACUAAUGGAAUCCCAAGUCCAAAUGGAGGAGAUUGGUAGCAAUUGGGAGGCCUACUGCAAUCAGGAAAGCAUCGCAUGGAACCCACAUACCAAGAAGGCAUAACAAAGUGGAUUGUUAUAGGGCAUGCGUUAGCCAUGCUCAUGCGUACAACCAAUGCGUGAUAGUGCUAUCCUAUGUCCUUUCUUGACACUGACUGCAUGUGAUAUAUCCCCUCAUUUUUCUUUGUAUUUGUUUGAUUUUUUAUUUAUUUAUUUUUUUUUUGUAACCCACCUUGUUUUUUAAAAGUAAAAAGUACACUUUUUGUUUUAGUAAGUGGGAAAGCGCUUGGGGUCUAAGUUUUUUAGAAUAUUUUUGAGAUUAUUAGAGAACAUUCUAUACUACAAGAAAUUUUUUAUUAUUUUAUUGCUUUUAGAUUUUUUUUUUCUCAUGCAUUUUAUUUAAGUGGAUUAUUAUUAUAAUAAUUAUUUUUGAGGCAUGAAAAAUAGAAAAUAAUUUUCUGUGACAGUUUUUUUUUUUUUUUUUUGCAAAUUUUAAUUGCUUAGUAGCUAAGACAUGUCUAGAUUUUGUUUACAAUCCACGUAACUUGGUCUUGUUAAUAUAUUUUGAGUGAGAAUUAUAUUUUAGGUAGUAUCUUAUCAUAUUUAAGACAAGUCUAUAACCAUCAACAUCAAUAUCAAGUUGAGAGUUUCAUCUUUAAAACUAACCACUAACCAAAUAUAACUAGUUUAUCAAGAUGAAGCUCAAUUUCUCUCCCACUCUAACUACUUUUAUAGCCAACAUCAAAAUAAAUUUAAUAAUAGAGGAUCAAAGAUUUAGCAUAUAGUAAGCUAAUUCAUGUUUGAUUUGUAUUACUUUGGGAUUUCUUUAACUUUCAAUCAUUUGAAAGUAGAUGAAGUCAUAUCUUUAAAUUUUUAUGGUUCCUCUAUUUUCUUCUUGUUUUUAUUUUGAUAUUUGAUGUUAUUCUAAAUCCAAGACAUUCUUUAUCAUUUUCUUACAUAUUCUUUUAGGUUUCCAUGGUUUAAUACUAGUUAGUAUGCUCUCUGAUACAUAACAUCUACGGGAUGUAAGUCAAGUGUGAGUUUUUAUAUUGAUCCUAAACUUACAUAUACUUUCCAUAAUCUUAUUUCAUAAUUAAUUCUAAAAUGUGAAUUAUAUUGACUCUAAUCUUACACUUACUUCUCCUACUAUUUAUAUUUGAUUGUGAAUUCUAAAAUUCUUUAUUAUUACAACUCUAAAAGAAUUCAUUAAACAAAUAUACCUCAGUAUUAUCUUUGGGCUAUUAUUCCUCAUAAGAUAUUGCUCACUAUGUCCUUUUACUAUUGCCAUUUUAAAUGUAAUUAGUUAUUUCUUUUUUUUUUCCUUGUCUUUUGAUAUUCUAUGUAGAUACUAGUACCAUCUUCAAGUUUUAAAAAGUUGUGCUUAUUUAGAGCAUGACCAUAGUAGGGAGAGUUCCAUCGAUGUAAUCCUCAACCCGAUUGACAAUGGUUACAUUCAGAAACUAAUUUUUCUAGAUGAGGUAAUUGCCUUAAUCCAAUUUGAUUGUGAGUGGUUGGCUAAGAGUUGGAAGAGAUUGAUGAAUGAACUGAGCAGGGUAAGAUGAUUUGAAUCAAAAACUGGUUUCUGGAAAAUUUUGUUACAUGUUUGGAAUCUGUGGAGGAAUUUCAAUAUUAGAUGAGGGAUUUGUAGCAUAAGAGGCUCCAAGAGGGGUUGAUGAAGAUGAAUCCAUUUUGGAUUGAAGCAACUCUGAUACCAAAUUGGAUCUGGAAAAGAUAGCACAAAGGAAAAGAAUUCAAAAAAUAAGAUUGAUGUGCUUAAUGCUAAAAAGACUAAUCUACUUGAGAAAGAUUAAAUAAUUUAAAAGCGUAUAAGUUUCCAACUAAUUUAAAUUUUUUCCUUAUUUCAAUGGAAAAAUCAAACACUAGAAGUUUUUUUUUUUUUUUUAUCAUUUUUUUUAAGAACCAAACAUAAAAUUAUACAUAUAUAUAUAUAUACAAACAGGCCCAUUACAAUAGGAUAGAUCGUCUCAAGCCUCUUGAUUAUAGAAUAUAUGUGUCAUGCCAAAGACCCCCUCCAAGGACGUGACUAUCAUUUCAAACCUCAAGUUUGAAGACUCAAAGUGCAAAUGACUCAAACAAUUAUCUUGUAACCGUAAGAUCACUAAUUACCAAAUUCUUAUUCAGAGUAGUAAAAUGUACUAUAAUCCUCAAAAUUUAACUUAAAAAAACUAACACAUCAACCACUUUGCUAUUGUCCUAACAACUUCAAACCGAAAUGGUUCAAACAGUAACUAAUUUCUAACAUUUAAACACUGUCCAAAAAUAAAGUUUAAACCAAUGGCCUAAUAAUGACAAAUUCCUAGCCUAACUAUCACUCGCUUGAAUUGAGAGUACUUGAAAAAAAUUAUCAAUGGAUGAGAGUGAAAUUAACUCAUAAAGUUAUUGUUCCCAUAAAUAUUUUUAUAUGUUUAACUACAACUCAAUUGCAAUUAGUAUAGAAGGUUUUUCUAAGUUGAGUGGUUAUGCCUCAUGCAAGGUUCUAUUUAUCUAAAUUAUAGAAUUUGAGUCCUAAAAGUUGGUCAAGAUAGACAAACUCCUAUGACACCAAGCCCUUUGUAUAUUUUCUCCCUUGUUCUAAUUUUUUUAUCUAGUCAAGUGUUUUGAUUGACUAUAGAUGAGAGAAGGGAGUUCAAGUUUAAUAUUCUACUAGGCUUGCUUCGUUGGUGUUUAUACAAGAGAGAGCUCUUCUUUUCUCUACACUCACAACAUAAAAAUGCGUACCUUUCUGUAGAGGUGUACAGGUACAAACACAAACAACUCUCUUUCUUUGUCUCUCUCUCCACGUCUUGAGUAAGACUUUGGAUUUUGGAUGUUAGGUGUAUGCUCAUGUAACAUUCACUACCAUGGGAUUCUUUUUUCACUACAUCAUAAGGGUAUCAUGAGAGUACUAAGAUAUGCCUAGAUCUAGGUCUUUCACUAUUUCAACAUUAGCUUUAAAGCACAGGUUGUAUCAUUUUUUUUUUCAAGAAAACAACCUUAACUCCCCAUUGGAUCAUAUUUUAAAUGAAUUUGAAGGUGAUAUCAAAAUACUCUACUCAUCUUAAGCUUUUUUUUAUGUAAUAUUUUAUCAACAUUUUAGGUAAAAUUAAUGAAAAAAAAUGAUUUUUUUUUUCUCUUGCUUUAUCAGUAUCCAUCUUAGGAAAGAGUGUUUUUCUAACAUGAACUUCAAGACACCAAAAUUAGAAAACAAGUAGGUAGACUAAUGGAAUCCCCAGAACAAAAAGAGGAGAUUGGUUGCAAUUGGGAGGCCUACAACAAUCAGUAGAGCAUCGCAUGGAACCCACAUACCAAGAAGGCAUAACAACGUGGAUUGCUAUAGGGCAUGCGUUAGCCUUGCUUGUGUGCACAACCAAUGCGUGAUAGUGCUAUAGUAUGUCCUUUCUUGACACCAACUGCAAGUGAUAUAUCCCCUAGUUUUUCUUUGUAUUGGAAGAUUUUUUUUUCAAUUUUUGUGUAGCCCACCUUGUAUUUUAAAAGUAAAAAAGUACACUUUUUUAUAGUAAGUGGGAAAGCACUUGGGGUUUAUUGACCAUGUUUUUUGGACAAAAAUGUUUCAAAAUAUUUUUUUUUUAUGUGAUGACCUCUCAUAUCUUUCCGUGAUUACUUAGAUUUUUUUUAAUUAAUUUCUUAAUUAUAUAAAUUUGUGUUUCAACAAAAAAAAAAAAAAAAAAAAAAAAAUCACAAGAAAAUUAUUGUCUAAGGUGGUGUUUGAUUUUUGGCUUAAUAGAAAAAUCAAAAUAUUUGAUUUUUUUUUAUUCAGUUAAAAGUAACCUAUUGAUAUCAACUAAUAUGAUUAAAGUGAACUUAUUAGUAAUAAAUUACCAAAAUUCUCCAUUGGUUGCCUGCUUUCAUAAGUUUCACCAUGUUGAGCACUUCUGUUAACAAUGUAUUAGAAAUUUUUUAAUAUAUUCACAUUUAUCGAAAAACAUAUAUGAUUUGAGACUUUAUGAAAAUAACACAUGUAAUACAAGUUUAUUUAAUAUAAUUGGGCUCAUAUUACAAACAUUCCCUAUAUCAUUUUUUGAAAAUAAAUAUAUUUAAUCUCUAUCCUUUAUUUACAUUCAAGUUCAUUCCUUUUAUUAAAUAUUUUUAGGUAUACUUGAUUUUGGGAAUAAGCAUGGGUAUGAAGGGUUCAAAAGCCCCCUUAUUUCUUUAGCUAAGAGACUAAUUAAUUAUAUAAUUUUUUGUAUUAGUGGUUCACUUUAUUACUACUUUUCGGGACAUUUGUCAUAAUUUAAUAUAUGGAUUUUUGUAUGAAAAGGCAAAUUUCUAGUUAAAACUUUUUUGUUAGCUUAAUUACUACUUCUUGUGUCAAGCCUUCGUACUGCACAUGUCAAAUGAUCGUGGUGUCCUAACCUUUGGGUUUGGGUCAUCACAUCAUUAGCUCGCAUUUCCAUGAGAAGGGAUAUGAUAAAUUAGCAAUGAUGUUUCAUUUUAACGUGCCUUCAAAUUUUUAGGUUGAUGUUUUUCUUGUUGUACUAAAUCUCAUCAACAAGAUAUAAAGUUAAUAUUUCUCAAAAGGUAUAGCAAACACAAAUUCACCAAGAAGACCUACCCUUUUGUCUUCAAAAGAGAUAAAUGCUUGCAUACAUCCCCAAACAAAUAGAGUUUAUCAAGACAUGUUUUCACUUGCAAACACUAAUGCUAUGCAUGGAAAUCCAUAGCUCAGUUCCUUUCCUAAGAAGAUGAAUGGCUCACACCACUGGCCGAAAUAAGCAUUCAACAGCACUCGAGCCUUCAAGCCAAAUACAGUGUCAUAGACUGAUACAUUGCCUACUAUUGAUAUAACACCUAGCACUAGUAAUCUCCACCCUGCUACAUUUAAAUUGUGAACUUUUUUAAAGAGAUCCUAAGCUAAAUUAAACUGCUUGAUUCUUAAAAUCCGUGUAGAUUCUCUUUAAUUUAGAGCAUGGAUGUAAUAAGUCUAACAGGCUCUGCCUCUUUUGUCAUUCUCUUUAGCUCCUGUUCAAACCUUUCCAUGACUGGCGGAGGCAGGCAAAUAGGUAUAACAUUUCCUUCUUCUCCUUUGCUGUUCCUGAACCUCGUACAGAAGCUAAUAAUAGAUAAAGCCCUAGCAAG